rnacentral:lncRNA from 1 species
GGGCAGUCCUGUUGGCAAUGUGGUAGGAAGUGGAGGAAGCGCCCCAGGCCAUGGGAAUGAUGGUCGGGAUGGCGUUGGGAGAUUAGGGAAAGAUGACAAACUUUGCGUUUGAGGCUGCUGUAGAAGGUGACGAGUUGCUACCCCAACAUCAAUGCUUGCAAAUGACAAAGCCAUCAAUAAUGCUAAAGCAAAGCAAUUGAAAAAGGCCAUUUUUGUUCAGAGAUUUCGAAACAAAUGAAGCAAAUGAAACAAAGUUCUUUAUCUGAAUAGUUGUUAGUGAGGAAAACAAAGCAUGGUAUUGAGGUUUAUAUAGGCAUUGGACCAGUGAAUAAAAAUCCCCUGCCCCUAAACAAUGCCCCAUUCAUGCCCCCAAAACAAAAUAGCGCCACGUGUUUUUUUUAUUUUUUGUAGUUUAUUUUUUAAAUAAAAAUUUAUAAUGAUUAUUAAUUUUUAACUUAUUAUCAACGUUUUUGUUUUAUUUUUAAUUUCUAUUAAUUUUACCUAUUUUUUAGUUAACAAAUUUAUAAUGACUUAGAGUUAAUUUAACAGAGUUUUUUUUAUAAUCGUUCUUAUAAUAAAAUUUUACAAGGUGGGAACAAGUCCCACAAUGACAAAAUGAUCCUUAAAUUUUGGGUGGUGGCAUGCCUUUAGUCAAAGGAUCAGCUAACAUCUGCUCAGUGUUAAUGUGCUUAAUUACAACUUGCUUUUCUUUAACAUGUUCCCCUAUUCCUAGAUACUUAAUGUCGAUAUGUUUACUUUGACUUUCACUUUUGUCGUUCUUAGCCAUAAAGACAGCAGUUGAAUUGCCACAAUAUACCAUAAAUGGCCUAGAAAUCGAAUUCACAAGUCUAAGCCCAAAAAUGAAACUCUUCAACUAUACUCUAUGUGAUGUAGCCUCAAAACAUGAAAUGAACUCAGCCUCUAUAGUGGAAGUAGCAGUUAAUGUCUACUUGACGCUCUUCCAAGAUAUCCUCUGUUGGAAAAUAAUUAUUGAGUGAUGAAUGAUAAUUGUAUCUCUUGGUUUAAUAUUGCAUUUUUCCAUACAGUUGUAUCUUUUGAAAAAAAUGUAUCUCUUGGUUUAAUAUUGAAUUUUUUCAUUCAUUGUCUCUAUUCACUCAUGUCUAUUGAUUUUUCAACAAAUCUUUUCAUUCAUUUUCUCUUCUCUAUAUAAAGCCAAGUUAGGAGAUUUCAAAAACAUAUAAUCAAAACUAUCAAUAUAAAAAAGUUCUUCUAAAUUCAUUUCUCCUGGUAAUAGAGAAAGGCAAGAUUGUGUUCAAUUAAUCACUGUUGUUGUGCUACUACUGUGAUCGUUUGUUGUUGUAUCCUGGGUUACAGACGCCCAACAUUACUCAAAGCACUGAGGAGAGGACGAAUUUGUCUUAAGGAAAUUGUUUAUACAGGCCUUGACAAAAUUCUUCUUCUAAAUUUUAACUUUGUCUGAUUACAAGUAUUCUGUUGUGUUACUACUACUGCAUUGUAUUGCAUUAUCAUUGUUAUUGACAUAUUAAUACUACAUAUGAUAUCAAAAUUUUUUACAUUCUUAGGACAUAUUAAUUGUUGUAGUUUUAAUCUAAGGCGUACAGAUUGCCAUCAUAACUUAUUUAAGAUUGGUUUAUACUUCUGUUUCAGAUUUUAAUUUAUUUAAAGAUUCUGGUUUUUUAUUCCGAUUACAGAAAUGUCUCAUACAUGAAACAACUCAUCCAAUUCAAAGGUUGAGGCGAUUGUCACUGCUCAGGCUCAGGCUCAGGCUACAAGCCAAACGUUACCUGUGACUAUGAGUCAUAAUGAAAAGACUGCGAAAUUAACUGGAGAGAAUUUUAAAACAUGGCAACAGAAAAUGUUGUUCUAUUUGACCAUGUUGAAUAUGGCAAAAAUUCUGAAGGAUGACAGUCUUAUUUUUAGAGAGGAUGAGGAUUAUGCUAUUACCGUCUUCAACAUUUUCGAAGCAUGGAACAACUUUGAUUUCCUAUGCCGUAACUACAUUUUAAAGAAUUUAUCUGAUGAACUUUAUGAAGUAUACAGUAUUAAGAAAACCGCUAAGGAAUUAUGGGAAUCGCUGGACCAUAUAUACAAAAUUGAAUAUGCUAGUGCUUAGAAAUUCUUAGUUUUCAAGUUUUUAAACUUUGUAAUGGUUGAUUCUAAAGUUGUUGUAAAUUAGGUGCAGGAAUUCCAACUAAUCAUUCAUGGUAUUUUGGCAGAAGGGAUGGAGAUAAGUGAACCUUUCAGGUGGCAACCAUUAUUGAAAAACUUCCCCUUGUAUGGAAUGACUUUAAGAACUAUCUUAAGCAUAAAAGAAAGGAAAUGAUGGUGGAAGAUCUGAUUGUUAGACUUCUAAUUGAAGAUGAUAAUCGAGGUGCGACUAAAAGGCUAAACAAAGCAACCAAUCCUAACCUUGCCAAGGUAAACGUAGUAGAAGUCAAUAAGGACUCAAAGAAAAGAAAACAUUUUCAGACUAGGUCUAAAUUAGGACCAAAAUGCAGUGUUUUCAAGAAGCCAAAAUUACAAGGAAAAUGCUUUAAUUGCAAUAAGAUGGAACACAAGUCAUCCGACUGUAGGCUUCCAAAGAGGGUCAGAAUAAACGAGGCCAACGCUGUGGAAAAUAUUUCUAAGGAAGUAUUUGAUCUUGACCUCUGCGCUGUAAUUUCUAAAGUCAACUUGGUUGAUUCAAAUCCAAGAGAAUGGUGGCUUGAUACUGGUGCCACAUGUCAUAUUUGUUGUAACAAGGACUCAUUUGUUGAGUUGGUUCCUUGUGAGAAAGGGGAGAAACUCUAUAUGGGCAAUGCUGCAACUUCCAAGAUUAAAGGUAAAGGUACUGUGAUUUUGAAGUUGGCUUCUGGCAAAAAGUUGAAACUUCAAAAUGUGUUGUAUGUGCCUGACAUACGCAAGAAUCUUAUCUCUGGGACCCUUCUAAGUAUACAUGGCUUUAGGAUGAUAUUUGAAUCCUAGAAGUUAGUUUUGUCAAAAGGGGGAACAUUUGUGGGAAGGGGAUAUGUAUUAAAUGAUAUGUGGAAACUCAAUGCUACCUCUGUAAAAGCUAAUACUAUGAAUAAGAAUAAUGCUUCUUCUUCUAUUUAUAUGCUUGAGUCAUUUGAUUUAUGGCAUGGUCAGCUUGGGCAUCUUAAUUAUAAUACUUUAUGUAGAUUAAUUAACUUAGAGCACUUUCCUUCAUUUCACAUUAAUUAUAAUCAUAAAUGUGAAACGUGUGUUGAGGCAAAACUAACAAGGUCUUCAUUUCAAUCUGUUGAAAGACAUACUGAAUCACUUGAUCUAAUACAUAGUGAUAUUUGUGACUUAGAAGUUUAUUCAAACUAGAGGAGGGAAAUGUAUAUUUGCUUAAAAGAAAAGAUGAAGCUAUAGAGAAAUUUGUUCUCUAUAAGCAAGAAGUUGAAACCCAACUUAAUAAAAUAAUUAAGAGGGUGAGAAGUGGCCGUAGUGGUGAAUAUGUUGAACCAUUUGGUAAAUUUUGUGCAGAACAUGGUAUUAUUCAUGAAGUGACACCACCAUACUCUCUCUUAUCCAAUGGAGUAGCAGAUCGUAAAAAUCGAACCCUAAAGGAAAUGAUGAACGUAAUGCUAGGAAGUUCUGGGUUGUCACAAAACAUGUGGGGGAAAGCUUUUUAUCAGCGAAUUACCUUUUAAAUAAUGUGCCUUGUAAGAAAAAGAACAAAACACCAUAUGAAUUAUGGAAGGGCAAGAAACUUUGCUACAACUACUUGAAAGUGUAGGGGUGUCUUGCAAAAGUAAUGGUUCCUUUGCCGAAGUAAAUGAAAAUAUGUCCUAAAAUGGAAGAUUAUAUUUUCAUUGGUUAUACACACCACCACAAUGCAUAUCAGUUACUUGUACAUGAAUCAAAGAAUCCUAAAAUUUACAAGAAUAAGAUAUUGGAAUCUAAAAAUACCUCAUUCUUUGACAAUAUAUUCCCUUGUAAAAACUAGGGAAGAUGGGUCAAGUUUAACAAAACGAACUUCAGAAACUAUUGAUAGUUAAGACUUUCAACAAGAAGUUGAAGUCAAGGUAGAACCAGGCAUAAGUAAAAAGGAAAGGGUGGAAAAGUCCUUGGGAUCAGAUUUUCUAACCUAUAUGCUAGAAACUGAACCUCAAACUUAUAGUGAAGCUAUAUGCUCAUCUGAAAACAUUUUUUGGGAAGAUGCUAUCAAUAGUGAAAUUGAUUCUGUCAUGAAAAAUCAUACGUGGGAAUUAAUAGAUCUACCUCAGGGAAUUAAACCACUAAAUUCUAAAUGGGUUUUCAAAUGAAAAAUGAAAGCAUAUGGAACAAUUGAUAAGUACAAGGCCAAAUUGGUUAUAAAAGGUUAUAGACAAAAGGAAGGCAUUGAUUACUUUGAUACAUUUUCUCUUGUAUCAAGAAUAACUUCUAUAAGGGUGAUAUUUGAUAUUGCCGCUUUGCGGAAUCUAGAAGUUCAUCAAAUGGAUGUUAAGAAAACUUUUCUAAAUGGAGAUCUUGAUGAGGAGAUUUACAUAGAACAAACUAAGGGUCUUGUAGCUCUAGGACAAGAAAGAAAAGUCUGUAGAUUGGUAAAAUCUUUGUAUGGACUUAAGCAAGCACCAAAGCAGUGGCAUGAAAAGUUUGACAGUGUUAUGAUAUCAAAUGGAUUUAAAAUUAAUGAGUGUGACAAAUGUGUAUGUCAAAACCAUUGUUGAUGGAUAUGUAAUUCUAUGUUUAUAUGUUGAUGACAUACUCAUUGUUGGAAGUAACAAUAAAAUGGUAAAGCGUACCAAAAACUUGUUAAAUUCAAGAUUUGAUAUAAAAGAUAUGGGACUUGCUGACGUGAUAUUGGGUACCCAAAUCAAAAGGUCAUCUGAAGGGUCUCGUAUUGACUCAAUCACACUACAUAGACAAGAUUCUUGAUAAAUUUGGCAAAGAUGAUUUUGGUGUUGCCAGACUCCGAUAGAUAUAAAUCAACAUCUAUCCGAAAACAAAGGUGAAAGUAUUGACCAAGUAGAAUAUGCAAGAGUCAAAGACAGUCUAAUGAACCUUAUAAGUUGCACUAGACUUAAUAUUGCUUUCACUGUAAGCAACUUAAGUAGAUUCACAAGCAAUCCAGGGGAGAACCACUGGAAAGUGAUUGUGAAGGUACUGAUAUGUCUCAGAUAUACUUAGAACUACAGAUUACAUUAUUCCAGAGAUCCUGCUGUGUUAGAAGGAUUCUCUGGUGCUAGUUGGAUAUCUAAUAUUCAAGAUGCCAAAGGCACAAGUGGUUAUAUUUUCACAUUGGAAGGAGGAGCUGUGUCAUGGAAAUCCUUAAGGCAAACGAUUAUAAUAAGAUCCAUAAUUGAAUUUGAGUUUGUAGCUCUAGACAAAUCUAGAAAAGAGGCAGAAUGACUAUGAAACUUUUUAGAGGAUAUUCCUAAAUGGCCAAGGCUUGUGCCCACAAUAUGCAUAUAUUGUGAUAACCAAGCAACAAUUGGUAGAGCACAGAAUGUAAUGUAUAAUGGUAAGUCGAGACACAUGCGUCAUCGACACAAUACCAUUAGACAAUUAAUCUCAACUAGAGUUAUCUCUAUUGAUUUUGUAAGAUCAAAAGAUAACACUGCUGAUUUGUUAACCAAAGAGGUAAACUGAGAUCAAGUUGAUAAAACAUCGAAAGGAAUGAGACUAAAGCCUAUGAAUAUUUAAGGCGCUAUGUGAAGGAAAACCUAACCUAGUUGACUGGAGAUCCCAAGAUCUAAGUUCAAUAGGAAAACCUACUUGCAUAGACCUUGUGAGGUCACUGUGGGGGUUCUUAUCUUGAGUUCAUUCCUAUGAUGAAAACAAUGAUUAAAAUGUGGAAAAGGUUAACCAAUGCUUUUAAUGACCAUUGUUUGUUUCAGUGAAACAUACAACAUAAGUCACCUAUGUGAGAGUGAAGUGAAUUCGCUUCAAGGAGACUAUUGGGGCAUAAUUCUCUAAGCUCUUGUAGAACCAAGAGGAUGUUCACGGCUAUAUGAACAUACCCAUGAGAACCAAAAAUCUUGCCAGGGAGGUAUUUGUGUGAGGAACAUUAUCGUUUACACAAACGGUAAAACAGUUCAAGGACAUCGCGUCUACUGGUUAGCUGGUAAAGUAAAUAUACUUUCACAAGGGAAGGUUCAAAGGUUGAUGCCUACCUAUCCUAUGCAAAUAUCGAAUGUAGAAUCUAUUACCUCUUUGAGUCUUGUUGAUCCAUCAACUUCAUUUAUGUGGGGGAUUGUUGGAAAAUAAUUAUUGAGUGAUGAAUGAAAAUUAUUGAGUGAUAAAUGAUAAUUGUAUCUCUUGGUUUCUUAUUGCAUUUUCCAUAUAGUUGUAUCAUUUGAAAAAAUGUAUCUCUUGGUUUAAUAUUGAAUUUUUUCAUUAAUUGUCUCUAUUCACUCGUGUAUAUUAAUUUUUCAACAAAUCUCUUCAUUCAUUUCCUCUCCUCUAUAUAAAGCCAAGUUAGGAGAUUUCAAAAACAUAUCAUCAAAACUAUCAAUAUUAAAAUUUCCUUCUAAAUUCAUUUCUCCUGGUAAUAGGGAAAGACAAGAUUGUGUUCGAUUGAUCACUAUUGUUGGGCUACUAUUGUGAUCGUUUGUUGUUGCAUCCUGGGAGACAUACAUCCAACGUUACUCAAAGCACUGAGGAGAGGAUGAAUUUGUCUUAAGAAAACUAUUUAUACAGGCCUCGACAAAUUUCUUCUUCUAAUUUUUAACUUUGUCCGAUUACAGGUAUUCUGUUGUGUUACUGCUACUGCAUUGUAUUGCAUUAUCAUUGUUAUUGACAUAUUAAUACUACAUAUGAUAUGAAAUUUUCUUACAUAGCUCCGCCAGCAAACAUAAAUAUAUAACCUGAUGUUGAUUUACGUGAAUCAACACAACUAGAAAACUCUAAAUUGGAGUAGGCAAUCACCUUCAAAUUGCCUUAUUGUUGGUACGUAAGUAUGUAGUCCUUUGUCCCUUUAAAACAUCUCAAAAUUUUUUUUGUAGCUCUCUAGUGGCCAAUACCUGGAUUACUUUGAUAUCUUCCUGUCGAGACUAUAGAGUAGAAUAUUAAAAAAAAUGGCUUGAUUUUCCAUUGAUUAAGAAGGAAUAUAUAUACACAAAUUGGGCAACAUAUAUAGGAACUAUUCUAAAUUUAGGGGAUUGCAACUAAUUACAAUAUAGAGAACAUCUUUUGGAAUUAAUUCUCUAAUAUGCCCCCUUAAGAUAUAGCUUCGGAGGAGACACCAAUCUUGGCCUUUAAUUCUUGGAAGUGUUUUUGUGCAAGCGGUUUGGUAAGAGCAUCAACAAGUUGAUCUUUUUAAGAUUCUAUAGAGAAAAGGAUGGAGCAAGGUUUCUGGUUCCAUUCUGAACAAGAGCAUUAAAGUCAUCAGUCAUAGCUUGUGUCUGAGAUCUUUUAAGGCUUGGUUAACAGUAUGAGGCUCAACGUUUGAUCAUUGAGGAAGGAUAGCAGUGAGAGUCAUAUUGGUUAGGGGUUUGUGGAUGUUGUUUUUUGCUCUAGUGGUCACGGGAUAAGUAUUUUUGAUGGGUGGGUUGAGUUGUGGUUGAAGUAGAGUUAGUUUUAGAAUUGUGUAGUUCAAGCUAUAAACUUUUAAUUAAACUAUGUCCAAGUAAGAGAGAUUUGAGGACUGGGGUGAGUAAUCGAUUGGUAAGGGGGGUUGGGAAACCGUUUGGGCAUGUAGUGAUGAAUGUUGACAUGAGGAAUCCUUUUGUGGAGAUGUAUUGAGUGAGCUACGUGAAAUGGGGAGAAUUUGGAUUAAGGGAAGCCAUUUGGAAAUAAUCUCUGGAGUGUUACAAGAUAGAUGUGACUGGUGAGUAGUAAAGGGAAAGGAGUUUUCAAGAAAUUUGACAUGAUGAGAAAUAUAUGUUUUAAAAGUGGGCAGGUUAAGACAGAUAUAGACACUUUGUGUGGAAGAGUAACCAAGAAAAACACAAGGUAUGGAACGAGAGUUAAGUUUAUGUUGAGAAUAAGGAUGAAGCCACAGAUAACAUAAGCAGUCGAACACCCAAAGUUUAGUGUAGUUGGGUGGAGACCCAAAGAUUUUUUCANNNNNNNNNNNNNNNNNNNNNNNNNNNNNNNNNNNNNNNNNNNNNNNNNNNNNNNNNNNNNNNNNNNNNNNNNNNNNNNNNNNNNACUUAAGGAUCUUGUUUCUUAGGCAAUUUAGUAUUUCAUAUUAUGUUUUCAGUAUUGAGUACUUAGGAUUAAAUAUUAGUAAAAUAAGUGUUUUAGACACAUUUUGUGAAUGUUGUGACCUAUUAGGCUGACACGGGCCUUAGGUAGUGGUAAUAUGUUAAAUUGAGUGUGUAGGAUUGAUCUAUUGUAAUUUGGUGUAGUAGAUUAAACUAGUUUUAAUACUUAAGGAGCUUAAAUAUGAAAAGUUUCAUUAUGUUUUAGUUAGUUUUCUUAUUGUAGUUUGAAUUCAAUAAAAAGUGUAAAAUGAGUCUUUUUAUGACCUUUGGGGUCGAAUGAGACCUAAAGGUGAGCUAACGUACUUAGUGAGUGUGUAGGACACCAUUAAAAGGAAUAGGAACUUAAGGGAAAUUCAAUGUCGCAACAUAGAGAGCAGAAUACAAGAAUUACAAGACUGCCUUUGGUGUCACAACAUAGCCAUAGGAUGUCACGACACGCCCCUGAAUCUAAACUUGAACUAGAGUACACUGCCUUCAAUGUCACGGCACAGGCACUGAGUGUCACAACACCGACUUUGCAUGAGAAGAAUUAAGAGCGAGGGGCAUUUUAGUCCGCACAAUGAAAAUUAACACAAAAACGUCAGCCAACCUAGGAUUAAUGAUGAUGACAGAUCCUAACUCUAUAAAUAGGCUCAGUUAACACUUGUUUAGGGACAAUUUUUACAGUUUAGAAUUAUCUUUGUAAUUUUAGUUUUAGUUUUCUUUUCUUUUGGCUUUAGAUUUCUUUUUAUUUAUUUACGUUCGUGUUCUUCAGAUAACUUGAUUUGUAGACCCAAUCAAACUAUUGUGGAUUUUUACGCUUUCAUCAGUCAAAUACAAUCAGGAUUCUCUUAACCUUUAUUCUUGGUUUAUUCUUUAUACAUAUCUUAUUUAUCAAGUUUAUUGUGUUUAUGGAUUCCAUGAGGAACUAAUCCUCUUAUGGGACGUUAGUUAGUGGAGGUGUGAUUAACUAAUUACUAUGUAGGGUUCUUUUAGCGGAUUAGUUUUUUAGGAGAGGAAGAAAUUAAACCAUAGGCUUGACGACUCUAAGAAGUCAGUUAGGUGGGAAUUAACUCAAAAUUGGUAUGGCCUAUCUGUGAACACCUUAGCCCCGAAUCGGUCUAGACUGUGAAGUCGAGAGAUAAGUAGUCUUUCCCAACUCAUUUGUUUAGUGGAAGAUCGAGAGAUCCUGUUAGGGUAAUGACUAGUUGAUUGAAUAGAAACCUAAAAUAGGAAUUAGUUAAGAUCACUGAAAUGAGCUAAUUACCCAUGCAUAGAUUUGAUUAAGUUUAGGUUUCAGUUAUUUGAAGUUCACUUUAUUUAUGCCAUUUUUAUUUAUUUAUUUUUAAAAACCUUAAAAUCUCUUCUUUAUGUUUUCUCGCAAUAUAAUUUAUGUAAAGUACUAAUUAAUUCUAUUUGUGUUUAGGUUAACUUUAAUUUAGUACUCGUCUCCCUUGGGUACGAUCCUUAGAGUACUCACCUACUUUGUUGUAAAAAAUCUAUUACAACCUGACUCGUAUACUUAUGGACCCCACCUCAAUAUUAUAUCUUUAGUUGCAAUAUUCACACUCUAGACGUUAGUACAUCCAGAGGCGAUCAAGUUGGCGUCGUUGUUAGGGAGGCAAAACUACUAGAUUAAUUUUAAUUUUUGUGUUUUUAUAGAAUAAUUAAGAAAUUUAUAAAUUAUAUAUACAAUUUUUUCACUUUAUUUUCUGUAGCGCCCUAUUCCUAACCCUUAAGGAGGAUCUAGGAAUAGCGUGUUAUAGCCUUAAAGUCUUUUCCUUACAGAAAUGUAUUUGGCGGAACCUUAGGUUUUACAAAAAUAGUUAGGUAUAUGCUAUAGCAGUAAUAUAUAAAACAUUUAAGCUUAAGGACCCAAACACUUUUAAAACAUAAAACUUCAUUGUAAAUAUUUAAAGAAAGAGAACAGUUUGGCGAACACAAAUUUUAGUUACAAAAUAUUGUUCUUCAAAUUUCAAGCAUUGACACCACCCUCAUUUGUCAUAUGCAUAAUACAAAAUCACUAGAAGCCUCACACAAAAUGUAUCCUCUGGCAUAGUCCUUGAAGGUUCCUUUUAUUUCUUCGGUGGUCAUGAGAAGGGAAGAUAAACGGAUUAAGUUCAUAGAACUUAGUGAGUUAUAGAGUGACCAUUAGGAUAUCUAUACGUCACAGAGAUAGAAGGACUCUUUCCAACUCAGUGGAUCAUACAGUUCACCCAUUGGUGAAUUCACCACACAAAUUGACUUCAUGUAGCUCGCCUAUUGGUGAAUACUGAACUUACACAAACUUUAAUAGAAUAGGACUCAUUUUGGUGCAUACAUUGCGUCCAUGUAUUCAUGCAGACAACCUCCAUCGUGCUAGCCAAAAACCCUAAUAUAUGUUUAGAGAUCGUAUCGUUUGUUCAUUGCUUUUUCCUCUGUUAUGCUUUGCCAAUUUGGUUUGCAUUACACUCUCCCUACUAGAGGCUACAUAACAUCAUUCAUGUAUUUCGAUCUGUCGGUUCAAUGCUUUUUGCAAUGAAGGUAAUACCAUGAAUUCAUUUCUUUUGUUUUGGCCAUAUGGUUCCUUUUUCAGAGUAAGGUGGGUAAUGACUCAGAACGAAGUAAGGCCCUUUCAUUUCUUGCAUAGACAUGCAAAGCCAGACUUUUCACCAGACAUGUAAACUUACCUUGAACGAGGCAUGUACAACACACACAUUGGGUAUGAAGGAACUCGCCAGAAGGUGUAGUAGAGACUAAACAAUAGGUCCCUUGCCCUUUUCUUGAGAGCCUUUAGGAGUUUCUUGAGCUAUAACAUAAAUAGUUAACUUAUUAGACCAUGUUUUCUGAAGAACUAAACAAACUUUCAAGAACACUUAAUUAAGAAACCCGAAUCUAAAAGUUUCCUUCCUUUAAUCUUUAGUCUGUCUGUAAUGUAUGAAACCCUAGGAUCUUAUAAAUAAUAACAAAAAUAGCUAUAUUUUCAUCAUUAUUUACCAGGUUUUACGAUGCUUAAGUUAGUUGAUUACAAUGAGUUCUAAUCCUUCAAACAGGCCUUGGCUCUAACGCUUUCCCGAAAAAUGCAGAGAAAAUUUUGAAAGGAAGUAUGAAUUGCCAGAGAAAGUAUAGAAAUUGCUUAGGAAGCUAAGGUUGGCUUAUAUAGGUGCACAAGAAAAGGAAAACUUAGUGGACAAGCUUAUUUCCCUCCGCUAACUUUCUUUUGGUACCUGUGACUAAUAGUUUUCUCUUUCAUCUUAAAUGCAUGUCCUUUCAUUUUCAGAAACUUUGUCCAAUCCUGACUAGUGCUCAUUAGGCCACCUAAAUAGUUUAAGCAAAUAAUAAAAUAACAAUAUAUUUAUCGUUCCUACUAGAUUAGGGAUUUAACAAUAGGACUUACUAUUUUCAUCUAGUCGCUGGGGCAAUGAAUACUUUAUCGAAGAGUCUAGCAAACCUCAACGCUCUCCUUAAUCAGGGCUUUGUCCAAGGGCGUAUUCGUAGACCUUAAGUACCUAAUAAAUUUGUAAUCAUUUUCUUACUCGGGGGCCACAUUAUAAGCAUAAGUUCAAUUAACAUGACUCAGGUACUACACUUCGUCGGGCGAGAUGUUACAACUCUCCCCCGCUUAGGAAAUUUCGUACUCGAAAUUCAUACCUGAAAACAAUUAUAGAUAUUGUUCUUUCAUUAUGCUCUCCCUUUCCCAAGUGACUUCCUUAGUUUUAUGAUUCCUCCAUAGUACCUUUACUAAGGGAAUUCUCUUAUUCCUCAGCAUUUUAAUUUCCUUGGAUAAAAUACGGAUUGGCUCUUCCUCAUAAGAUAGGUUUGGUUCAAUCUCAAGCUAUUCAAUUUGUACCAUGUGCUCAGGGUUGGAUCUAUUCCUUUGCAACACUAACACGUGGAAGGCGUUAUGAAUCUUAGAUAGUUUAGGAGGCAAAGAUAAUUUAUAUGCCACUGGAUCACAUCUUUCCAGAAUUUCAUAAGGUCCCACAAAUCUUGGGCUUAGCUUUCCUUUUUGGCCAAAUCAUAUAAUCCUUUUCCAAGGGGAUACCUUUUUAUAAUAUUGAUUGUUUUUCCCUCUUUUCAGAAACAUAGUGAAUUCUUCUUCACUAUUUACUAUCUCUAACAAAACCUUUCACUAUUCAUUCUGCAAUGCCCUAAAAUUUUGAGAAUUUAAUUGUGAGAAUCUGCAGUAAUUAAUUUCUAUAUCUGUGGCUCUGUGUUCUGCUAUCGUGUUUAAGGUCUGGAGUUGGAGCCGCAUCGUUAAAAGUUUUAUUAUUUUUAAAACAACCCCUAUCCAUGCGUUACAAGUUAAGUGCAAUUCUGUGUGAAUCUAUGUCAGGAAUGAGCCUGUUGGUUCACUGGUUAAGCAUCUGUAUUCUAUAUGGUCCCGAGUUCGAAUCCCAUCAUAUGCAUUAGGAAAUAUUUUUCUUGUUGUCGGAAAACUUGCUGGUGGUUAAGACAAUAUGUUUCAAAUGUUCUUUUUCUUUUUCUUUUCCUCUUACGAUUUUCUUCCUUCCCUUUUAUUUUCUUUUUCCUCUUCUUUUGCUUUUGUUUUUUUAUAUAUCGUUAGAGCUCUGUUGAUGAUAGUUAGACUCUCAUUCUGAUUUGUUGUACGAGUUAGGUAAGUACAUCUUUUGUGAUAUCAAUUGUAGUAAUUCGUUAAGAGUUCUAAGAACGACGGUGUCAUAUUAUUGGUUGUUUGCGUUAAAGAAUGAUUUCGCAUUGUUAAACGAUAUUGGUUCCUUAUUUUAGGAAUAGGUGUUGGAAGUAGUGAAUCUUGGCAGGAUAAUUUGAGUAGUCACAAGUAAUCUUUCGGUAGGUGACAAUUUUGUUGAAGGUUUUGUGUCGACAUAAGUUUUUGUGUUUAAUUAUGCUUCAUUGGCGUUAAGGUCGGUUGAUUAAACGAUUGGAUGGUUGUUUUAGGUUUCAGGGACUCUCUAUAUUCGUAUUACUUCAAAAUCUCUUCAGGUGCGUAUUGAAAACCUUAAAUUCUGUGAUUUUCGGACGCCAAAAAAUGUGGCAGUCAAUGCCACACGGCUAGCUACAUGGGCGUGUGCCAGGCCAUGUGGGUGGCCGUGUAACUCACUGUUCAUUGAUUUGGAGCCAUACAAGUAAGGCACAUGGGAAUGUGUCAAGGCCGUAUGUGGCAUGUUAGUGUAGGGUUCACACGGGCAAGGACACGAACGUGUGUCUAAGCCGUGUAACUCUCUAUUUGUGACUUAGGGCCACACAGCCAGGGACACGGACCCGUGUCCAGGCCGUGUAACUUACUGUUUAUGUUUUAGAACCACAUGGGCAGAGGACAUGGGCACGUGCCCAGGCCGUGUGAGUCACACGGUCAAGGACAUGGGCGUGUUUCUAGGCCGUGUGGCAUAUAAAUAUGGUCUGAAUCUUGUUUUUGAGGCCAUGAGUGUUGCCCAACACUAAUAUUGACCUCCCCAAUGUGUGAAUGAUCUAAAUUUUUUUGUCUGAGAACUUUUUGAUGCUCUAUAACUGACAUAUGAAUAACAUAAUUGUGUAUGUACUAUGAUAGUUAUUUUUGAUAUUGAACUGUUCUAUCUAAUCGUGAAAUAAUUUAGAAAGACUGGACACAUAUUGUGUAUAUUUGUACUUUGCAUUUGCAUGGGUUAGGAUAUUGUGUAGAAGGAAGUAAUAUGCUCUGAAUUAGUGGUUAAGCCACAAUGCGUAUAAUUUUGAAUUUGGCGAUUUGUCGUAUUUUGAUCUAGCAGGUAAGCUGCGCCUCUGUAAACGUGUCAGACAUACACUCUAUGGUGUGUAGUGUUGGUUGGGCAUUGAACACCCUUAAUGGUGUGUUAGGAUGGCUAAAGACGGUGUGUAGAGGAUGGGGUUAGUAAUAUUUGCAUCCGAAUCUGAGCUGUUCUGUAUGUGAAAUUGAAAUUGCUUCUGCAUAUGCAACUGAUCUGUUCUGAAUCUGAAUUGAAAUUUUUUUCUAUUACUAAAACGAAUCUUGGGAUUCGAGAACUAUUUGAUAAAUUGUUCUAAUUGAAUGAACGUCUUUUAUGAACUGAGUUCACAACUCAUUUUUUUUUAUUGGAUUUCAAGUGGUUUUCAGACUUGAAUGGGUCGGCACCGCGAGAGUUCGGUCAAGCUUUUAUCUUUUCUUUAAAUACUACUAUUAGGGGUUUUGGUAUUCUAUGAUAUUAUGAUGUUUGAGAAGAUUCUAUACUUAGUUAAUCGUGGUGUUUAUAUUUUGUGCUGAAUGGUUAUUUUGACUACGUUAUAAAUGCGGUAUGUUUAAUGUUGAUGAUGUAACCCUCUGGACUUGGUUUGGACGUCUAGGCCGAUUUUAGGGUGUUACACAUUCUUAAUAAUUAAUACAAUUGUAACUAAGAAUUAAUUACAUUAUUCUUACUAAUUAUUAGUUUUGUAACUCCUAUUCUUGAAACAUUAUAAAUAGGAGUCUUUCAUAAUAGGUGAAAGGACUUUUAGUACUUUUGGCAUUUUCAUCAUUUUGAACUCUCAAAGUGUUCUCUUUGAAAUUCUCUUAACUUACUUCUUUGUUAAGCGCGAUCGGCAGCCAUAUUUCCUUUUUCCACUUUACUGACUAUCACCUACUGCUGCUAUUAGUGCAAUCGGAUCUUCUCCAGUCUUUCUUUUUGCCUUCUUUUAGUAUAUCUCUUUCACUUGUUUGCAGUGCUUCCUCUCUCUAUCAAAAGAAUCCUCUACACCUAUUUAUACCAAAAUCUUCUAACACCUAUUGGACCACAUUCCUAAUCAUCAUUGGUUAUCUACACUGGCCAAACCCCAUUAGUCGAAAAGAGGUUGUUUAACAUGAAUAGGGGUGCUCUAACACCCAUAGGUGUAGUGCCCCAGGUAUGCUGUGAGGUGGUUAAAUCCCCACACACUCAAUUCAGGCAUCCAGGUAGGUAAUCAUCUACCUGGCGUAUCUAAAAGACCCAUUAGGGAUGACAAGAUGUUGUCGGCACCUCGUCUAGUGGCCACGCAACUGGCUUGCCUGUCUGUUACCUUGUCUUGAGCAUAUUCACACCUACCUAGUUCAGAUGACCGUGAAUGUUGUUUAAUUAGGCCCUUGGCUUCCAAGAGUAAUUCCUUGACUCUGGUAACUUGCAUGCUCCUUGAGAAUGUCCAAAACUUAUUUAUCAAAAGAUUCCCGAGCUGCGGGUUUAGUGUUUCUUUGACAAUCUUCCUUGUCCAAUUGCUCCCUUGUAGAUCAUUCCAAACACCUCAAUCUCUUAGGCCAUGACAAGCUCCUUUAGCUUUAGUGAGUAAGAACUCACUCCAGUGUGAAGAUGUUUUUACAAAUAUAGCCCCACUUGUUUUUCUUUUUCAAUCUUUCCUUUAUUUUAUUGGAUUUAAAGGUAGAUAAUGAUCAGGUAAUUUGUUUCCCUAAUGCUUUUAUCAAAACAAAAUAUAGUUUAACUAUUUUUGAAUACAAAGUGAACACACGAACCUAUCCUAUGAACACCUAAUCCAAAUAGAUUUGUCAAUUGGUUGAGUUUGGUUAGUUUUGGUGUGAGUCAAUUAAUUAGAUCGAGUUUAUUUGGUUCUAAAGCUUUUAGGCCAAUUCAGGUUUGGAUAUAAGCUUGCCUCCAAGUUAAACUUGUUGUAUGGCAUUAAGUUACCUACAUGCAAGAAUCUGGAAGUUAGACCUAUCAAUUUGAGGUGGUAGUUGUUUUUUUAUAAGGAUGAAAAUAUAUGUUGCCAUUCUAAGUUACUUGUUAGUUGAAGUACAAAAUUGUAAAUGGAAGUGUGUUAUUGUAGCGAUUAGUAUGGUUUAACACUGCGAAAAACUGUGCAAACAAAACUAUAUAACACCAAGGAUUCCACUAUCUUUGAUUGAAAAUAUAACAAGUGAUUCACACUCUAUCACUCCUCAAGUAUAGAGAUCUCACCUUUCUACCUAAAGACUAGAGCACUUACCUCUAAAUUCUCAGCAAACACUCAAGAAUGUUUACAAUAACAGUUUGCACUCUCUCAUAAAACAAUUCCUCAAUGAACAUAUUAAAAUGCUCUCAAUAAGCUCUUAUAAAAAACCAAUACAAGCCUUCAAAUAUAUAUAAAUUUUGGCUACCUAACAUAGAAUCUAAGUGAGUAUAAAGUAACUCCGUAACCUCCUUAACCCAACCCAGAAGUUAUUGUUGGAUUCUGAAGGCCAUAUUGGCCACUGAAAUGACGCAAUAAAAAAAAUGACCAGAUUCUCAGAAACUUCCUUUUUAAAUCAUUUGCCUAUUUUAUUUCAAAAAAAUUGUAGUGGGCUUAUCUUAUUUUUAUUAUUCUUUUUUUUAUUUAUUAAAAAAACAUUUUUACAUGCUUAUAAUCACCAAUGUGUAGGUUCGUCCAAUUAUCUAACUUAACUAGUUUUAAUGAUAUUGCAUGCAAAAUACCAAAAUAACCCAGAAUAUCAAACGCAUACCAAAUUCUAUAUAAAAAUUAUUACAGUCCCAAAUAGUGAUAAAAAUUAUAAUAUUAAACUGAAAAAAUGAGACGAGACCUCCGAAUGCCGAGUUCAGGUCCUAACCUGUCAGGUAACCUAUAAGAUAGUUAUAGGGUUUGGGAAGCAAAAAUAAGCUGAAAAUAAAGAUAUGAGAGGGGAGGGAAUCGAAAUCUAAUCUCAAGGAUAAUUUCACUAACACUUAAUCAUUCGACUAGUAGCUCAUUUUCAUUUUAUGCUAACAAACACACAUAAGAUAACAUUAUAAAAUCGGGGCGUGACGACUCUCCCCUCCUUAGAAGAAAUUUGUCCUCAAAAUUUCCUGCUGAUAUACUAGUCACUUAGCCACAAAGUCUGUUAUCCUUCUUUUCAACCCAAACCAACACUUUUUCACUGCACAACUUUGAUUCCAACGUAAUUCUAGGCAAAACUUCACCCUGAACUUCUACGAACAUCUCUUAAAGAACUAAUUACAGAAACAUCACUAAUAGAUUCCUCCACCCCAAAUUCCCAGUUUUAACAGAAACAUUAUUAACAUCAAACAAUUGAGUAAAACCAAUAUUAAUCAAUACAAAGUACAAAUUUUGAAUGGAUCAUAAAAUUACCUGCAUUGAUAUUGGAUACGUCUCGGUCCUCUCAAUGCCUAGCUCCAUAAAUCAGUGUCGGCUAUCUAGCUCGAUUUUGAUCGGACCCCUCAAAAAUAACUUUCUAGCUUUCUGAUUUUGAAUCUGAUUCUAAGCUUGCAUCUGACCAGGAGGAUGACGUGGACAAUCUUUUAUUUGAUGCUCGACAGACUCACAUCUGAAACAUACACCAAUCUUUUUGUAACACUCACCUAGAUGUCGCUUAUCACAAUAUCUAAAAACCUGAAUCCUUAUUAAUCUAAUAGAACCUCCAGUAUUAGCUCCUACAUUAAAUUGUUGUGGUUUCCCUUCUCUAGACUAUAUCAAGGGUCGUAAAUAUAAGCCAGUAGGUCAUGAAUCCCUCUCAUGUUGAACUCUAUUCUUUUCCCUUUCCUCACUUUCCCAGUGCUUAGUCUUCUCAAUAAUCUUGGUUUUCUCAACCGAGGCCUCAAACACUCUUUCCUGAUGCAGGGCCACUUGGAUUUUCAAGUCAUAUCUCAGCCGAUCUUCAAACUGUAGGUUCUUGUCCUUCUCAGUCAUCAGCAUACCCAGAGCAUAACAGCUCAAUCUAAAAAACUUAGCCUUAUAUUUGGCUAUUGACAUGUCUUAUUGCUUAAGUUCUUUAAAUUCAAACCGACGGGCCUUGACAUAUGAAGUAUCCACAUAUUUCUUUUGAAAGGCCUACUAAAAGUAGGUACAAGUUAUAUGAUGAGCCUGUAUACCUCUAACCAGUGAUUACCACCAACGAUAGGCUUCGACCCUUAGAAAGGGCACAGUACCUUUAACCUUCUAUUUUGGAGUGCAGUCCAUAUCCUCUAGAAUCUUUUUAGUGGUCUCUAUCCAAUAUUCUACCACUAUAGGGCUUGUUCAAGAAGACCCCUAAAUAAUUCGGCCUUAUUAGAUCGUAGCCUCUCAGUAAUAAGCCCACUGUUUCCAGUCCUAGUCUGGGCUUUUUUCCAGCAACCCUUUGUAAAACGCUUAACAUGGCUUGGGUCACAGCCUCAUCCCAAGACUCUUGAUUUUCACCUUCAGCGAUAAGCGCAUCAACGGUGUUGUUUGUCUUUAGGUCAGGCAUACAUCCUAAAGAAGAAAAUGACUCAACUUUAGCCACUUGACAUCGCCCUUCACGGGUUCGCAUACCACGAGCUCGUGUACCACUAUAUUCAUAGCUGAUUAUACGGUCUUAAGUUUUAUCUACAGUUUGAGAAAGAUACAAACUCUAAUUAAUUCUUGAAAGUUUUCAGUUCUAAUGUUUACAUUUUUAAGCAACACAAUCCUUAGUGUUUGUAUAUAAUUUCACGCGUACUAUGAGGUCCGACAUUCAUUUUUUAAAAUAACACUGUCUUUUUUCCAAAUAUUAUGGCAUGUUUUUUUCCAGAAUACCACUUUUCAAAAUCAUGCAAGCAAACUCAUUUAAAACCUCAGGCUGAGUUUAUGAACCAAGCUUUGAUACCACCAAAUAUAACCUCCCUAACCCGACCCGAAAGUUAUUGCCAAAUCCUAAAGGCCACAUUGGCCACUGAAAUGGCUCAAUAAAAAAAUCAGAUUCUAAGAAACUUCCAUUUUAAAUCAUUUACCUAUUUUAUUUCGAAAAAACUAUAGUGAACUUCUCUUAGUUUUAUUUUUCUCCUUUUUAUUAAAAAAAUUCUUACAUGCUUAUAAUCACAAAUUUGUAGGUUCGUGCAAUUAUUUAACUUAACCAUUUUUAACGAUAUUGCAUGCAAAAUACAAAAAUAACCCAUAAUAUCGAACCCAUACCACAAUCUGUUUAAAAAUUAUUACAGUCCCGAAUAGUGAUAAAAAUUAUAAUAUUAAACUGAGAAACUGAUACAAGACCUUCGAAUGUAGAGUCCAAGUCCUAACCUCUUAGGUUACCUAUAAGAUAGUAAACUAAGGGAAUAAGCUAUAAAGCUAAGUGUGAGUUUUAAUCAUAAGAAAUCAGUGUACCAUAGAUCCCAAAAGCAUGCAAGUAAACAGAGAGAAUAUCUUAACAGUGUCAUAGAUCAUAGUGUUUCAGAAUAUACAGAAUCACAGAGUUUUCAUCAUUUAUGAACAUGUCCCUGAAUGUCAAUGUAGUUUCCAACCCAUCAAUCAGCUCAUUUUGUAUAAACCACUAGUAACAGUAAAUAUUUACAAAUAAACUACCAGUAAUUUACGGUUAAACCACUAGUAAAAAGUUAGUAGACAGACCGCUAGAACUUCAAACAAUACUCUAGUGUUGCGGCUAUAUCGCUAGAACUCUAAUAUUUGUGGAUAAACCACUAGAACUCCCAUAUUUAUGGAUAAACCACCGGAACUACUCUGUCACCAAUCUUCCCAAUCCCAUGCAACAGGAUGGCAUAACAUGCAUGAAAGAAUCGGAUACAAUACAAAAUAGUGGCAUGUAUUAACCUGCUAUCAGUAACUCAGUAACAGUGGCAUACUUUACAUGCGAUCAGUAAAUACAAAGCAAUAGGCAUGCUCUCAUGCAUUCAGUAAAACAAGUAAUAAAAAUACGAUAUCCUAGAUUAGCAGUUUAUACUUAUUCAAUCGUAGCAGACAACCCUUAGGCACAAUCGGGCAAUCAUAGAAGUAAGCACAAGUCACAUUCAGCUGUUAGGGAUAAGGGCACAUAUGUAUUUAAUUUACAUAGUCAAGGCUCGUGACAUUUGAUUUCCACAAUUUAGGGUUCAUGGCAUUUGGUUAAUCUUAACUUGGUGAUGCAGUCGUUGAAAGCACCAAAAAUAUCCUAUCCCUAAUAAAUAAUGAAAAAGAAUAGUAAAAGGGAAGUAGGGUCAAAUCCUCAGGGACUGGACUUGCAAAAUAUCUUGUUCCGUAAAAUCCCAGGCAGAGUCUUGCCCAAGACAACUUGCGUGCCUGAAAAAAAUAAAAUAAAAAAAUAACAGAAUUAAAUGUUUGGAUUUGAAAACGAAAAAUAAAAUAAAAACAAAUUUAAGAAUAUUGAAUCGAAAAUUAGAGAAAUUAAAAAUAGAAUUGAGAGAAAGAAAAUUCUUAUGGGAGAUUCCAGCCUCCAAUUGUCUCGUUCCACCUUGGGUUCAAUCCUCAGCUUUUAGAUGAUCCUUCCCAAACCGAAUAAGCCAGUUAUAGUGGAAGAGGACGCCUACGACCACCAGCUCCAAGGAUUUAGACUUACGAUGUGGUGGAACCUGACUCUAGCCAAGAAUCGCUUCUGUGGGAUCGUCUUAUGCUAGAUCAACGCUUCUCAAUGGCAAAUCCCACGCCAUUUUGUCUCUUGGGCUCGCCAACCUCUGACGCAGUAAGCUAACGAACCGACUGUGCAACCUUCCCAAAACAUACAAAGCGGCCGCCUUUGCAUACGUUGAAAAGCUUACUUCUUAAGGGACAUGGACGAAAGCGUCAACCCCGUAGUGCAGAGAAACGAUGAAUACUCAGCGAGGAGGCUAAUUAUGAAUUCUAAGCCUCAUGAACUCUUUUGGAGAUUUUUGACAACCUUCGGCUAGAUGAGUUUAGUGGCUCAUGGUUGUGGUACAAAAGAAAAUAAAUAAAAAAAUAAAGAUUUUAUUAAAAAUAAAUAUGAGAAGAACAAAAGGCUAAACUUUUGGGGAGAGAGUGUUUUCAGAAAAAUAUCUGGGAUCCCCUUUUGAGUCACUUCACCCCCUAUUUAUAGUGCUAGGGGGGAUAGUCUAAUCCUGCUUAAAUUCCUAAAAGAUAAAUACAUUUAAUUGAAGAUAAAUAAAGAUAAAAUAAAAUCCUAAAAAUAAUCCUUAAUAAUUAUCUCAAUAUUAAUUAUCCUAAUAUAAUUAAAAUAGAGUUUAAUAGAAUAAAAUCUCUUCUUUUUGCAUUUCAACCCUUGUGUCCUCCAUGCUUGCACUUUUGGCACCAACUUUUCCUUGUGUCACACAUUGGCCCAUUUUAUCUCUAAAUUCACGCUUUUGGCCCUUAAUUUUGCUUUUGCCUCAAAUUUAGUCCCUAUGAGAUAAAAGAUCAUAAAUAGCUCAAAUUAGCAGGAUCAUACUCAGAAUAAAUACAUAAUUAAUACAUAAAAAUACGUUAUUCUAGAGUGUUAUCACUUGGUAACAUACACAAUCGGUUAAGUCUUAUAAUAUUCACCAUACAAUCGGCCACCCACAUACACUUACUUGACAUUCAGCCAUAGCACAAGAAGACAUACAUAUUCGAACAACUUGCAAAACAUAUGCAUACAUAUUCAACCAACUUACAAAACAAAUACACACAUUCGACCAUGGUAUAAGGGUUACACACACACACACACACUCCAAUCACAAAUUUUUAGGACACAUACCUCAAUACACGUCCACAAAGCACUGUCAAUUGUUCGAAGCACCACUACGAUUCGGAUCUGAAACUUGGAUAUGAAAUACACACAAAACAAAAAAAAUAAGAUUUGGUGAAAUACCAUAAUAAGAUUUGACCAACACAAGGAAAAAGAAAUCAAAUACGAGAUUGGAUUUGAUUUUAAUAUCAACUUACUCUUCCACCAAAUUGUAGAUCUGAGAUGACAAUUGAUCAAAGAAUUCAAAUGUCCACCAACAAAAACAUUAAAUAAGCUUCGACCAAAUGCAAAUUGUGAUUUCGACAACAAUAAUAAUGAAAGAAUAUGAGGGAAAAAAUGAUGCGACAAUGGUGAGAAAAAAUCAACAGAGAUUUGACCACAAAUAGGGCAAAGUAGAAGAAAAAAUAGAGAGAAAAGAGAUGAACUGAGUGCAACAAAAAUUCGAUAGCAAUGGUGAAAAGAAGAGGUGACUCAAAUAAAAGUAAAACUCGGGUUUAGGGAUAGAAGAACAGAGAAAAAAAAGAUAAAAUUAAAUAUGGGAGAAAUAGGGAAGAGGGGUGGCAACAAGAAUGAGCAAAUAAGGAAGAAAAGAAAGGCUAAACAGGAAAAAGAAAAUAUAUACUAGGGUUUUAAUAGGCUUAUGCACGACACACUCUAGGGUUUGGGAAGCAAAAUUAAGCUGAAAAUAAAGAUACGUGAGGGGAGGGAAUCGAACUCAAGUCUUAAGGAUAAUUUCACUAACACUUAACUAUUAGGCCAAUAACUCAUUUUAUGCUAACAAACACACAUAAGAUAAAAUUAAAAAAUCAGGGCGUGACAAACUCCUUAAAAAUAGUUAUUACCAUAUCAACAUUCAAAGCACAAUUAAUCAAAGAUAUUCUCUCCAAAAUCAACAAUGCAAUUUCGAUCAAAUCUCCACAUUCUAAGUGUUGAAGUUGACUCCUAUUUCAGUCAAAUUUGAGAAAUAAUAUUUCAGUUAAACUCUGUUUAUUUGUUUCAAUCAAACUCUGAUUAGUCUAGAUUAUUUUAUUAUUAUUUGACCUAUGAAUUUAGCUUCACUACACCAAAACAGGCUUUUAGCGGCGCUUUUAGUGGCGCUUGGAUAAAAAACGCCACUAAAAAUCGAGCAUUAGCGGCGCUUUACAGAAAACGUAGCUAAAGAUUGAGCAUUAGCGGGGCUAAAAAAAAGAAUUAGCGACGUUUUUGAGAAAAUGCCACAAAAAACCUAAGCCCAAUGACAUCGUUUUUUGACCUUUCGGGGCUUUAGCGGCGUUUUUGGAGAAGCGCCGCUAAUGCUCUGGGCUUUAGCGGCGUUUUUGGAGAAGCGCCGCUAAUGCUCAGGGCUUUAGCGGCGUUUUUGGAAAAGCGCCGCAAAAACAUUUUAUCUGUCUAAUUACUAUUUAAAUUGUUUAUUUAUAUUAAUUAAAAUUUAAUUUAUUUUUAAUUGAAUGUUUGUUAAAAAUGGAAAAAUUAAAAUAUUAUUAUUUAAAAUAAUUUUAAAAUUUUUGGAUACAUGACUGAUUGAUUUUUAAUUUAUAUAUUAAAUAAUUUCAUAUAUAAUUGUAAAAGAUACGAUAGUAUUAAUUUUAAAAUAUUUAAUUAAUUAUCAUUAUAGUUUAGGGUUUAAUAUAUAUGGUUUAGGGUAUAUGGUUAAUUUAGGAUUUAAGGCCGGUUUAGGAGUUACAAUUUUAAUGUUUAUAUAUUAUGGAAUUAGGGAUUAUGGAUUAGAGGUUCUGGUUUAAGGGUUGUGAUUUAGGGGUUAGGGUUAGAGAUUAAGAGUUACAGAUUUAAGGUUUAUGGAUUCAGUGUCAGGUUAGGAUAUAAGCUUUAGAUUAAUUAGUGUGGUUUAAUUUAUAUUAAAUAAGGUUUAGGGUUAGGGGUAGGGAUUCGAGUUAUGGUUUAUGGUUUAGAUUAAUUAGUGUUUUUUAAUUUAUAUAUUAAAUAAGGUUUAGGGGUUAGUAGUUAGGGGUUAGGGGUUUAUAGUUAGGGGUUAGAGCUUAGAGGUUAAGAGUUAGUGAUUUAGGGUUUAGAGAUUCGGGGCUGGGUUAAGGUUUUGUUUAGAUUAAUUAGUAUUUUUUAAUUUAUAUAUUAAUUAAGUUCUUAUAUAACUGUCAAAGAGGGGUUAGGGGUUUUAGGGUUUAUGUUUUAUGAUUUAGGGCUUAAGAGAUAGGGGUUAAGGGUUUAGGGUUUAGAUUAAUCGAUGUUUUUUAAUUUAUAUAUUAAAUAAUUUCUUAUAUAAUUAUAAAAAAGAUAAUAUUAAUUUUAAUAUAUUAAAAUUAGGAUUAUAGUUUAAAUUAUUUAAGAGAUAAUAGAUCAAUUUUAUAUAUAUUAAAUGGUUUAGGAUUUAAGGUUUACUUUAGAUUUGUUAAAUGAUGAAAUUUUAUACAAUUAAUUAAUGUUUUUAUAUUUAAAAAUAUUUAAUCUAAAUUUAGAUUAAAUGGUUUAAACCAUUUGAUAUAUUUAAAUAUUAGAUUUAAAAAAAUUGAUAAAUAAAUAAAUUCAUGUAACAGAUUGAUCAUAUGGAUAGGUAAGUAUAUAUUUUGGAUAGAACCAAUUUAUAACAAAUAAAAAUGAAAUACAAAAACUAAAAUCAUUCCACAUUGAACAUGUAGCAAAAUAGCNNNNNNNNNNNNNNNNNNNNNNNNNNNNNNNNNNNNNNNNNNNNNNNNNNNNNNNNNNNNNNNNNNNNNNNNNNNNNNNNNNNNNNNNNNNNNNNNNNNNNNNNNNNNNNNNNNNNNNNNNNNNNNNNNNNNNNNNNNNNNNNNNNNNNNNNNNNNNNNNNNNNNNNNNNNNNNNNNNNNNNNNNNNNNNNNNNNNNNNNNNNNNNNNNNNNNNNNNNNNNNNNNNNNNNNNNNNNNNNNNNNNNNNNNNNNNNNNNNNNNNNNNNCUAUUACCCUUUCCCCUCUCCCUUUCUCUCUUUCCUCUUCACCUGACCCUAUCAAAGGAACCCAGCUUUCCAUCUCGCUACCAGAUGACGAUGUUUUAAACUCCUUCUUCAUCGUUUUCUCUACUUCCCCUUCUUCUUCUACUCUCCAAUGGCUAACCGAAAAAUACGAGUCCCCACCCAUUCCACCAAACAUGUUUAUCUUGUCUUUCAGAACAAAAGAAACAACACCACCAGUCUAAGCCUAAACAGAUCCGAGCUUUCUAUUUUGGCUAAACCAAUACUAUAGCUUGUUCUAUACUGUUGGUGGGUCUGUUUGUUUCCAAAGAUAACUUCACUGCAUUUUCUUUGCUUUUUCCCAAUGGAUGUUUUCUACCUUCUUUCUUUUGGAGGUUAGUUAGCUUUUUUUCUAGGUUUUUAUUUCUAUUUGGAGUUCUUUUCUUUUGGGGUUCUUUUCUGGGUUUAAAUUUGAAACUUAGAUUGCUUUUCUGGAUCUGCUACUUCUUUUAUUUCUUAUUCCAUUAUUCAGGCAUAUAUGUUUGAUUAUGUGUUAAGGCAUGAUAGAUUGAGACCUGAUAUAUGUAUAUGUAUGUAUUAUUCACCUCAUUACCUUUGCAAGGAUUAAAGAUUGUUGAAAUUGAUAUUGUAAAUAUAAAUUCUCUAAGUGGGAAUUUGUAAUAAAAUAGGUAGAAAGAACACCUGGCCAAGGUAUUAAAGAAUGAUUUCUUACAAGUUAUUAAUAACCUGGAAAGAUAGGUGAUAAACUGUGUGGUUUAGGACAACUUGCUGUCUGAAACUUGAAAGUUUUCGCCUUUUUUGUUGUUUAAAAUAUACUUUUGAUUUCAAUCAUUUCAUAUAGAAUUCCACCAUAGAUGUUCAGUUUCUGAUACUAUCUUAUAUCGUUAAUUCGUAGUUAACAUAAUAGUUAAUACAGUACGGUGGAAGUGAGUGAGGCCCUUAUAAUCGAUUUACAGAAUGGAACUGUGCUUCGGUUGGUUCUUAUUUGUGUCUCGAUUCCUGUGAUAUUUGCUCAAGAUAUUAGUCAUGGAUCGAUUGUAGUUGAUGGAACUAUGACUGUUGCUCAAGAUGUUAGGCACAUACAUAAUUUUUCAUUCACUAUAUGUCAUAUUCAUGGUAGGCACAUACAUACAAUCAUCAUUUUUGAUGCAGUCAGUUGGUUCAAGGAAAUCAAGGAAGUGUAACUGCAGCAUUGCAACAAAUUCAGGCAUUGAUUCUACUAACUUUUUUUUGCUANNNNNNNNNNNNNNNNNNNNNNNNNNNNNNNNNNNNNNNNNNNNNNNNNNNNNNNNNNNNNNNNNNNNNNNNNNNNNNNNNNNNNNNNNNNNNNNNNNNNUCAUCUUUUAAACUUUUUUUAUUUUAUCUGAUUAAUAUCUUUUUUGAGUUUUAAUUUGUACUAUUUUAAUCAAAUAAAUAUAAUUUUGAAUGUAAAAAAACAUUAAAGAAAAAUAAAAAUCACCAUCGUUAUUAUGCUAAUAUUUUUAAAAUAAAAUCAUGGUACAAAAGAGAAAAGAUCAACUGUUCUCAGGUUAAUAAUUUAUAUUAUGUCUAUUACUUUUGGUUAUUUGAUUGUCAGUUCUCUAUAGACCGUAGAGGAAAUGUAAUUUAUUUUCUUGGUUACAGGUUGCUUUUUACCUCUGCUAUGUCAUAAUGUUUUAUAAAUUGGAUAUAAGUGACUAUUUAAUCUUUGCAUUUUAAGGAGGAACUUAUCUGUUAUUUAUUUUAGAAUUGUUUUUCUUUAGCUGAAAUAACCCUUGACAAAUGUGACAUUGAAUUCCUCACUUGUAUUAGAUUUGAUGAACUGGAGACAGCAUUGAUGGAGAUGGUUAAGCAGGACAAUCGACGCGAAUUAUGUGCUAGGGUAAACUGGAAUAUGUUAUUCAAUUUGCCAAAAUUUACAGUCAAUUGCCGACUUGUUUUUAAAGAUAAUUAUAAAACUAUGUAAUUCCUGUCAUGCAAAUCAUUUUGCUUACUUUUACCUGGCACCUUAGGCUUCUUCAUGAAAUUUAAUGUCAAUAUGCCAGAACUUGCUAAAAAACCCGUGUUUCUGGUUUUCAUGAAUCAUGAAUUGGAAGUUGCUAGUUUUCUUAGCAGUUUGAAGAUUAUUUUCUUCUAUCGAUAUGUAUGUCUUUAUGAUAAUGAUGUUUGUUAAAUAUUUCAUAGAUCUUAAUGCGAUUUGAGCAAGAUCAAAAGGAAACGGAAGAUGCUUGUAGAUUUGCCGAACAAAAUCCAGCUGCACAGAGAUAUUCGUGUUCAAGUUUCUUUUUUUUUGUUUAUAAAAUUUCCCCUCAAACAUACCUUAUUGAGGCACUUGAAUUCUCGAAUCUUUUAUUUAUGCAUACUUUUAUGUCUGCAAGUAGAAGUAUAGACGUUUUGAUAAUACAGUGGCGUCAUAUGCCUUUUGUGUUAGAAUUUGAAUUGUUCCCCCUAAACAAUUUUCUCUAUGUACAGGUUUGAUUGUGGCAUGUUUAUGUAUUCUAUAUAUCAACUUCUAUAGCAGAGGCUUAAGUCUUUGUUUUGAGCAGGUAAGUCCAUGGAACAAUUUUUUAUCCUUGUAGUUCAUGUUUUAUUUUGAUUUUUCUAUGAUUAAACUCUAGUACUCAGGGCAGUAGUUGUUGGGAUGUAAAAUCUAUUGUCUAUCUGCCUAAAUAUAUGACAAAAGGCAAAAGUACAUAUUGAAGAUACUCUCACAUGCACAUUCAUUCGUUUGAAACACGAUAUCUAGUCAUUUUUCUUUGAACUGAGUUGGAUUUUUCCAUGCUUAUGUAGGAACACAUGCCUAUGCCCUAUUUUUGUUUAAGGACCGCCAAGGAAAUUCUAAAACUGAAAGCUGAUUGAUCGGAUGUGUAUGCCGGCUUUCAUCAACUACUUUCGAAGGCCUUACUAGGAAUUGAAAUGGUGUGCAAAGAGAUUGCUUCUUCUGAUCUGAUUUUUCGAUAUAAAUACUAGACAUUUUACUGCUGUUAGUAAAAUAGGAUUCUCUUCUUAGGAUAUUAGUUUGUUCACUUGUAUUAGACUCAACAAUGGCUUGCAUUGCAUUGGUGUUGAUUUGACUUAAAUUUCGAGGUUUACGAUUUUUAAUUUUUAUUAAUUAUUUACGUUUUCUCACUUUUAUUAAUUUUUAUUUUUAUUUAAGCUUCCUUUAUUUGCCUUCUUUUAUCAUUUUCAUAGAAAAAUUAAUUUAAAUAAUAUUUUUUUAUUUAUCCUUAAAAGUAUAUUUAAAGUUCAAAAUUUAAAAAUAAAACAUAAUAUAAUAUUUAUCAUAAAAAUAAAUAUUAUUUGAUUAAAAUAAUUUUUUUGCAUGAUAUGUUUUUAGCGGCGUUUUUGCGAGAAGCAUCGCUAAAGGUUUGUUCUAUAGCGGUGUUUGUGAUAAAAAGCGCCGCUAAAGGUCAUGUUCUUUAGCGGCGUUUGUGACAAAAGCGCCGCUAAAGGUCAUGGUCUUUAGCAGCGUUUGUGGGAAAAGUGCUGCUAAAGGUCAUGGUCUAUAGCGGCAUUUGUGUGAAAAGCGUCGCUAAAGGUCAUGAUCUUUAGCGGUGUUCGUGGUCUAUAGUGGCGUUUGUGGGAAAGCGCCGCUAAAGGUCAUGACUUUUAGCGGCGUUUAUUUCUAAAAGCGCCGCAAAAGUUAGUGACGCAUUCAAUAGCGGUGUAUUUUACGACGCUUGUCAAAGCGCCGCAAAUACUUUUAUCGGCGCUAAAAAACGCCGCUAAAAGACUGUUUUCGUGUAUUGCUUAUAUGUAACACCCCAAACCCAGCCUAGACGUUAUGGCCGAAUCUGGCGAUGUUACAUAGAAAGGGAUUUAAAGACAAGAUUGUCAAGUUUAAAAACUGUUACAGUAAGUUAACUUUUAUUUAAUUCGAAAAAAAAUAGUUGAUUUGCUUUAAAACUUGUCUCUUUUAUGAAGCUUUUGUAACCAAUUAAUUUAGGGAAAUCGUUUCUAUUUACGUAAAACCUUAGUUUUUAGAAAAAAAUCAUGUUUUGUAGAGUUGCAGUUUAAAAAAAAAUCCAUAAAAACAAUAUAAAGUCCCAAAUUUAAAGCCAUCCAGUCCAUAGUUUAGAAGAUACACUACACCAGAACAGGUUUUUAGCGGCGCUUCUUAGCGCCACUAAAGGUGUUUGCGGCGCUUGUGGAAGCGCUGCAAAAAAUGCUGCUAACGACAAUGUCGCUAACAUUUGCAGCGUUUACAGAAAAAAACGCUGCUAAAGGUCAUGUUCUUUAGCGGCGCUUCGAAAAAACGCCGCUAAAGGUCAUGUUCUUUAGCGGCGCUCAAAAAAAAGGCGUCGCUAAAGAUCAUGUUCUUUAGCAGCGCAUAGAGAAAAACGCCACUAAAGAUCAUGUUCUUUAGCGGCGCUUAAAGAAAAACGCUGCUAAAGAUCAUGUUCUUUAGCGGCGCUUGGUAAAAACGCCGCUAGAGAUCAUGUUCUUUAGCAACGCUUUCUUCACAAACGCCGCGAAAAGAAAUGUUCUUUAGCGGCGCUUUCUUCACAAAUGCCGUUAUAGAACAUGACUUUUAGCGGCGCUUUUAUAAAAAACGCCACUAAUUUUGGGAUUUUUGUAAAAUAAAAUUUUCUAUUUUUUCAGCCCUCCUGUAACAACAAAUCAAAAGCAACCAGAUCUAAACCAGCCAAAAGAAAUAAAUUUAUAUAAUAUUUAAAAUUAAACGAAUAGAAUAAUAUUAAUAUCAAUAAAUAAAAGUGAAUUCAUAUUUUUCUUUACAAAAAUGUUAAAAGUUAAAAUGAUAAAAAUAUUUAUGCAAUACACUAUGACGGCUGAAGUUGCGACUGCUGAAACAUCUUCAUUAUAAUCUGAAGCUGCUGUUGAAGUUCGUCGUACUUUUUGCUCUGCUCUACUUCUCUCGAUGCCGCAUCUGCUUUAAGUUGUAUCUGGAGUUCUUCAUAUUUCUUUUGAACCUCUGCUUCUCUCGCUGCAGCUUCUGCUACCCUCGCGGCCGCCUCUGCUUUAAGUUGUAGCUAGAGUUCUUCAUAUUUCCUUUGAACCUAAACUGUGGUCGCUUGCAUCUGAGCCAUCUGGUCUUUUAACCUCUGAACUUCAGCUUGAGCCUGACUCCCCGAAGCCAUGUAUUGCUGUGAGCUUUAUCCAAAAUAUUGGGUUGGGCUAACAAAAGAUCCUUGAAAUCGAACCCAACCAUACCUUUCAGGAUCCAAAACUUUAGUAAUAAUCCGGUUAUCAAUGUCUUCAGGAUGAACAGAACUAUCACUAGAAGCAAUCGCUUCGUACUCCGCCUUUUUAUCCUUUAGUUUUUCCUAAUAAAUAAAUCACAUAGUUAGGAACGCAAUAUAUAUUAAAAAAACAAAUGCAACAUAACAAUAGUCAUAUUACAAGCAAUGAAUUAAACCAUUAGAAAAUAAAAACUAUAAAUAACUGAAACAAGUCAAAUCGUAUUAAGUAAACGUACCAUAAUUUCACCAGCUUCAGAAGUCAUAGCAGAUCCAUCUUUCUUCCUAUGUGUAAUUUCAAAAAGUUGAAGGCAUCCAACUUUUUGACCGAACGACCGUUCCUACAAUAUAGUAGUAAAAAUAUUAUUUAAUGGAAAGUUAUACAUAUUUGACAAUAUUAAAAAAUUAAAAAUACCUCCGCCUCAGCUACACAUGCAAAACUUCUCGACCCGGCUGUGUGAGUGAAUUUUUAUUUCUGCCUGCUGCUUUUCCCAACUUGUUCAUGAUCCUACGUUAUGAAAUUUUUAGUACGUAAAUAGUAAAUACUAUAAACCAAAAUAAUUACAAUAGUUUGGAAUUACGUCAUACCUCGCUUUUCUUCGAAUGCCAAAAUCUAACCGCAUCUUCCCAUUAGUACCUCAGCAUACCCGGCGGGACAUUUUUCAAUUUCUCAUCGAGGGUUGUUUUUGUCUUAUAAUAAUAUUUCUUCAAAGUACUUUUGUGGUCUCUCCAUCUUUUUCCCAAUGCCUUCUUUACAUAAGCAUCCGAGAUCUCUAAAGCAAACCUCACUUGCAAAAAACACAAGUUAAUAAAGUAAAUAUAAAUGAAACUAUUUCCCAAGCAUUACAGAUGACAUUAACAUUUUGUUACCUUAAUAUUAUCGAGGGCUUGGUUUUUGUUGCUGUCGGGCAUUUGAUGCCAUGACUCGUAGUUGAUAGGCAACAUAUUCGUAUUUCGUGCUAAAAUGCCCAUGUAUCCUGCUAAAAGUCGAGCUUCUGAUCUAACAGGCUGACCAAAACUGUUUCUGCAUACCUUGACACGCUCGACUGGAUCUAACUCGUAUAAAUCUCUAAGUAGUGUACGUCCUCGACCUCUGCUCGUCCCACCAUUUUCAGCUGCAAAUGGUAUAUUAUAAUAUAAGAAUUUGAAAAAUAAAUCAAUUAUAAGUCAACACACAUGUAAAUUAAAUGUAAAAUUACUUUGAAUUCUGUAGGAUUUUCAGGUGUAAUCGGAACAUUCGAAGAUCCAAUUACUGUCUGUUGUUCAAUACUAUUUGUUUCUGUCGAGUUUGGAUAAUUUUGAACAAUGCUUCCCCUUGGAAUUUUUCUUCUAGGCAUUUUAUCUGCAAUACACAUAAAAUAGUUGAAAACUUAAUAACUAAUUACAAUAAUAACAACACAUAUAAAAUAGUUGAAAUAUAUAAUAAGACCGAGAUUUAAAUUAUGAUAUUACAUAUAAUUAAACAAUCGUAAAAUCUUACUACGUCAUUAUUCGUAAAUAUCUUCAUCCGUAUCCUGCGAACCCAUUGAAAUUGUUUACUAGUACUAGGGAUAUUAUCGUUUAAGUUUUGUUCUGGAAAGGGCAAAGUUUCUGAUCUGUCGUCGAUGUUAUCUCUACUUCCACUGCCCAUGUCAAACAAGUCUCUAGGGAUGUUACGGAGUACAACGUACCAACCCUCAUCAGUUGGAUCUUUUGAGUAAAAAACUUGUUUGAAUUGAGAUGAGAAUACAUACGGCUCAUCUAUCAGUUGUUGUCCUGUGUGAAUCAAUCGAGCGAAGUUCACCAUUGUAAAAUCAAAUUGAUCUUGCUUAAUUCCACGAGUAGUAUUAACAUCGGCCCAAUCACCUCGAAAUAAGACAACUUUCCAUUUGCCGUAGUAAUCCAACUCAAUUAUGUCAGUAAGAAGUCUGAAAUAUUCCAUAUUUCCCUCGACAGGAUUAUUGUCCCUAGCACUAGCAUAACUUGUAAUUGAGAAAUUAACAACUAUUCCAUAAUUUUGCGUUCUCCUCAACCUCUCACGAUAUUUUGUAUGAAAUCUGAAUCCAUUGAUGAUGAAUGCACUAUAUCUUUUAACCACUCGAUUUGGACCUUGGGAGAGCCAUUUAACUUCGUCGUUUACGUUCUUCCCACUCCAAACCUAUUGAAUGGAAAGUAAACUGAGUAAUUAAAAAUGUUAUGAGAAAACAUUAUUAUUUGUAAACAUAAGCUCUGCAUACCGUUUGGCUUAACCAUUCAUGAAAAGAUUCUGUAAACAACUUAUUGAUAUCUCGAUGUUGUGUUCUACGGGAGCACGAACGAGAUCUCAAUAUUUGUUCGUACUCACUAUGUUAAAAAAAUGUUCACUUUGUUAGAAGAUAAACAAAUUUUAAUUUGAUAAAUAUUUAUCAAAUUUGUAGAACUUACUUCUGUAAAGGUUCCAUUGAUUCGUGGUGAAACAGAACAUAUCAAUGUGCUUGUACCCACGAUAAGUGAUCUAAUUCUGCAAUUUCAACUUUGCCGAUUGGUUCUCCAAAACUUUGGAACAAAUAAGUAUCGGCGAAGUUAUUGUCCGUGAGUCCAGCAUUCCUAUUUGGUCUGUUCAAACUUAUUUCAACAUCUUCCAAAUAUCUUGAGCAGAAGGUCAUACAUUCCUCUGUCAAGUAGCCUUCAGCAAUCGAUCCUUCUGGAUAUCACUUGUUACGGCAGUAAGACUUUAAUUUGGAUAGGAACCUAAACACGAUAUACAACACUAUCAAAAGUUGUAACUAAAGGCAUAGAGGUGAAUGAAGGAAAAUUUUAAAAAUUUUAAUUAACAUCUUUCUAUGGGAUACAUCCAUCGAUAGAAAACGAGUCCGCCAAGAAUUGCUUCAUGCGGGAGAUGGAUUAUCAAGUGAACCAUAAUGGUGAAGAAGGAAGGUGGGAAGAUUUUCUCCAUGUUGCAUAAAGUCAAAGCGGCUCGAUCUUGUACCUUUUGAAGUUCUUGAACAUCCAAAACUUUGUCACAAAUGGCUUUCAUUAUAUUGGAUAGUUCAAUUAUACAAGACGUCACCUUCUUGGGCAUACAACAUUGUAAAGCAACUGGCAGUAAUUCUUGCAUCAAGAUGUGAUAGUCAUGUGAUUUUAUAAUCUUCGAUCUUUAACACUAACACAUAGAGAUAUAUUGGAUGCAUACGCAUCUAGAACCUUUAAAUCCUUCAACACCGUGCAGAACACUUCUUUUUUCGUCUUUGACAUUGAAAAAAUAGAAUGCGGCAACCGAUAUUUCCCAUUCGGAAUUGGAUUGGGAUGAAGAUCAGUCCGAAUUCCCAUUUGGACUAAAUCAAGUCUACUUUGAAGAUUGUCUUUCGAUUUUCCGUCGACAUUCAAAAUUGUACCCACAAUGUUCUUGCAGACAUUUUUCUCAAUGUGCAUAACAUCAAGAUUGUGUCGUAAAAGGUGAUGCCCCCAAUAAGGCAACUCAAAAAAAAUACUUCUUUUUUUUCCACAAGUCCGCCUCAUUAGGAUUGUCCUCUUCAUCAGAGUCAUCAUCAGCUUCAUCUUUUGAUCUUCUAUUUCUUUGCGUGUUUGGCAGUUGGUUCAUCUUCCCAUAAAUGAAAUUCAUAUAUUCUAACAUGAUCAAGAUUUCAGACCUACUGGUCUGCGAAAGAGCUUCUCUGAACUCUUCAGUACCGUCAAAUACAGAACUCUGAAAUCUAAAUCUAUGAUUUUUCGGUAACCACCGACGAUGCCCCAUGUAAGAGAACUUCUUCCCAUUGUACAACCAUUGCGAACAUGUUUGUGUAGCACAAUAAGGACACGUAUAACGACCUUUGGUACUCCAACCGGAUAAAUUGACAUAAGCGAGGAAGUCAUUAAUGGUCCACAUCAGAGCUACACGUAAAUUAAAGUUCUCCUUUCUCAGCACAUCGUAUGUCUCGACACCAGCCCAUAAUUGUUUUAAUUCUUCAAUAAGUGGCUGUAAAUAAAUGUCGAUAUCAUUCCCGGGCCCUUUCUCUCCAGGGAUAAUCAUAGAUAAGAUAAGGGAAGAUUGCUUCAUGCAAAUCCACGGAGGCAGAUUGUAAGGAACAAGCACUACUGGCCAAGUACUGUACGCAGUGGUCAUGAUCUUGAAAGGAUUAAAUCCAUCAGAUGCUAGCCCAAGCCUCACACUCCUAGGAUCGCUUGCAAAGCUUGGAAAUUUAUUGUCAAAUGAUUUCCAAGCUAAAAAAUCUGUUGGAUGCCUUAAUAAUCCAUCAUCGGUUCGUCCAUCAUGGUGCCACGUCAUAGACUCCGCUGUCUUGGACGACAUGAAAAGCCUUUGAAGCCUUGGUAUAAGGGUAAAAUACCGCAAAAUCUUGAUUGGCUUCUUUCUCAACUGUGCAUCAUUUUCAUCGUCGUUCCCAUCUUCUGUGUUUCUAUUUAUCUAACGGGAUUGGCCGCAUACAUGACAGCACUAUUGGUUUUUCCGAUCGCCCCAAUACAACAUGCAGUCAUUUGGGCAACUAUGGAUUUUGUUGUACCCAAGGCCAAGGCCUAAAUCUUUUAUCAUUUUCUUCAUAUCUUUGCAUGACCGAGGGAUUUUUGCAAACAAAAACAUUUCUCUCAAAAACUUUAACAGCAUUUUCAAUGAGUUUCCGGUCCACCCUCUCAAACAUUUUAACUGAAAAAGACGAACACAGAAGGACAUUUUUGAAAAUUUUGAUCCCUCAUACAGUUCUUCGUUCAUGUCAUUAAGUAGAGCGUAGAACUUCACUGCUUUUCCAUUCGGCUCUUCAUGAGGUACACUACUUCUCGGUUUGGUAAAAGCAGUUCCACCAAUAUUACAAUCAUCAGAUGCCAUAAAAUCUGCUAGGAACGAAUGCACACCAUGGUUGUGCAUAUUAAAUGCAUCCCACAACAUACCUUCCAUGUCAUCCCCUCUAUCAGACUGAUGGUAAGCAGUACUAGGAUAAGAUACAUCCAUCAUUGAAGAGGAAGUACUAGGCGGGCAUUCUCCGUGAAAUAACCAUUGUUUAUAACCCCGAACAAACCUGUCAACAAUUAGAUGCUCGUAUACAACCUCACGAUAAUGCCAGUUUAUGUUGACACACUUCUUACAUGGGCAAAGAAUCAUGUUCUCUUGGCUUGCAUAUUGAAAUGCAAAAUUUAGAAAAGUCUGUACUCCAUUUCGAUAACCGUUGCUAACCCUUGACAAAUUCAUCCAAGACCGGUCCAUUUCUUAAUUCUUGAAGUCUGAUGUUGACAAUAAUUUGCACGGGUAAGUUAAAACGCCAGUUAUAACCAUAAAUGAGUUAUGUAAGUUAUGAUAUGAUAUAUUUUUAUGUAUUAUGUAAGUUAUGUAAGUUAUGUAUUAUGUAAGUACUGUAAGUACUGUAAGUUAUGUAAGUAAUGUAAGUAAUGUAUUAUGUAAGUUGUGUAUAAUAUUAAUUAUAUAAGUUGUGUAUAAUGUAAGUUAAGAAGGUUAUGUAUUAUGUAAUUUAUUUAAGUUAUGUAAGUUAUGUAAGUUAUUCAAUUUAUGUAAGUUAUGUAAGUUAUUUAAUUUAUUUAAGUUAUGUAAGUUAUGUAAGUUAUUCAAUUUAUGUAAGUUAUGUAAGUUAUUUAAUUUAUGUAAGUUAUGUAGGUUAUGCAAGUUAUUUAAUUUAUGUAAGUUAUGUAAGUUAUGUAGGCAAUGUAUUAUAUAAAUAAUGUAAGUUAGGAAGGUUAUGUAUUAAGUUAUGUAAGUUAUGUAAGUUAUUUAAUUUAUGUAAGUUAUGUAAGUUAUUUAAUUUAUGUAAGUUAUGUAAGUUAUGUAAGUUAUUUAAUUUAUGUAAGUUAUGUAAGUUAUGUAGGUUAUGUAUUAUGUUAGUUAUUAUGUUAUUAUAUGUAAUAUAUAAAAAGAAUAUAAAUUUUAGUAUUUACGAUAUAAUAUUUCUGUCGAAAAUUUAUUAUGUUUUUGGCACGAAUGAUUGCAUUUUUUGCAUGAAUGUAGCAAACCAUAUUCCUUUCUAAGUUGCUGCUGGAAAAUAUUAACAUGCUAGAGAGACUAUGAAAAUUAUGUGUUCAUUUUCUAAGCAUUGCAAACUGUUACCAAUUAAUUAAAAUAUUUCAUUUCAAAUAAAUAAAACCUAACACAUGAGGUACAUCUUAUGAUUACGAAUCAGAUUACAAACCAUAAAUCGAAAUUUUAGAAACUGAAUUUAUAGUUUACAAACCACAAACCGAAUAGGGACUAAUUGGUAACAUGGAUUCUAGAACACAUUGACCCAUUUCCAUUCGGCUAAAUAAAUUUUAGUUUCUUUACUAAUGUAUCACUUUGAUAUUAUCUCAUUUCAUCACUUAUACUUAUAUAUAAGUAUAUGUAUAAGAAGGUAAAUGACAGUUCCCAAUCCAAUCUACUUUAUAUAAUCCCACAUGACAAUAAGAAAAUGGAUGAAAGAUAAUUUUAACAAACAAACAAAGAGUAUAUAUAUCGAACUUAAAAAUCAUACUAAAAAACAACAUGGCGUAAUACAAUUCAACUUAAAAAUCCAAUUCAUUACCUGGAAAUGUAAUCGGCUGUUAUUAUAUUUAACAGAACAUUUUUAUAAAUUAAUAAAUUAAACCCUAAACUAGACAUCAAAAUUUCAUACUAAAAAAAUAGUACCAAAUGAUUUCACCGACACGAACAAAGAAUAAAUGGAAUCUUAACAUUUAACCCGUUACACUGAUAAUGAAAGUAAUGAAAUUAAAUGAAAGCAUGAGUUCUGUACCUUCAGAACGAUGAAGAAAACUGAAAUGAAAGCAACGAAAUGGAAUGAAAUGAAACCCUAUACACAAACAACAUAACAUCAGUUCCUAACCAAUGAAACCAUUCCCAAAAUAAAUGAACAAUCGAAGCAUUACAGUACCUUCAGAAGGAUGACCAAAACAGUCGAGGACCAAAAACCCUAAACACAGAGAAUAAUUUUUUUUAAUUCCAGGAUCACCAACCAAUAACAAAGCAAAAAAAUAAAAAACUAAAAAAUAUGAGAAAACCCAAUGUAUAAAAUACGCAGCAUUGAUUUAAAUGCAUAGAUGCAAUUGGCGAUUGCCAAGUUUAAAGCAAAGUCAAAUCCCCUAAUAUUCUUGUCUAUGAAGUCAAAAGUUUAAAGCAAAGUCAUAGUUUAAACCCCCAAAUCAGUAACUUACCUUUGUAGAAGAUCAACAACUCCCCAAGCCUUAAUCCUCCAAUAGAUUAGUUGGUCUGUGACCUUCACCAAAAUAAUCCAAAAGAUUAAUAUCGAAAAUAAACCUCAAUUCAAAAAGGUAACAAAUAACGAAAUAAAGGGCUUUAAUCGAAAGAAAUAUAACCUUAAUCGAAACAAAUAACAAAAAUCGUGCAAUGUGGAAACAAGGAAACUUAUAGUGAAUAGAAGAAGCAGACGACAGAGAAAGCGGGUGGCAGAGCGACCGCCGGAGUGGAGACGACUGCAAUGACAGGGGGAAUUUGGGGAUUUGGGGAAAUAAAAUCGAGGAAAUUGGGGGAAAAGGAAUUGGGGGAAAUGAAAUCGGGGAAGUUGGGGGAUAGGAAAUGGGAAAUUAGGGAGAUGAAAUUGGGGAAAUCAGAGUGGGGGAGAACUAAGGAAAUUCAGCGCUAAACAAACAACGUCGUUUAAGUUAGUUCAAUUAAAAUUUGCGGCGUUUAUCAAUAGUGCCACUAACGCAUUAAAAAAUCCCAUAUAGAAAACGACAACGUUUAGCCAACACUAAAAACAUAUUUGCUGCAUUUAUAAUAAAAACGCCACUAAAACAUAUCCUUUACCGGCGUUUUAGUACAAACGCCACUAAAAUCAUAGAUAAAAACGACAACGUUUAGCGAAAACUUAUAACAUAAUUGCGGCAUUUUUAUAAAAAACGCCACUACCACAUAACCUUUUGCGGCGUUUUUGUAAAAAUGCCACCAAUAAUGUAGAUAAAAAUGACAACGUUUACAAAAGACUAAUAACAUAAUUGCGACGUUACCUGAAAAUGGCACUAACACAUAUCAUUUUGCGGCGUUUUGGCAAAAAUGCCACUGAAAACCUGGAUAAAAACGACAACGUUUAACAAAGACAAAAAACAUAAUUGUGGCUUUUUUUGUAGAAAUGGCACUAAUAUAACUCCUUUUGCGGCAUUUUAGUAAAAACGCCACUUAAAAAUCAGACUAAACGAAACCGUUUUGCUAUCUUUCAAUGAAUAUUUGUGGCGUUUUCACGAAAAACGCCACUACUGGUCAAACUUAAAAUUAUUUUCAAAUUAUUUUAAAUAAUACUAUUUUAUUUUUUUCUAUUUUUAACAUAUAUUUUUCUAUGUUUUUAGCAUAACCCUUAAAUGUGGAAAAAUAAAAUUUAAACCCUAAACCAUAAGCCCCUAACCAUUAAACUCUAAACCCGUAACCUUUAAACUUUAACCUCUUAAACCCUAAACAAUAAACACUAGACCAUAAACCUACACCAUAAAUAGUAAACACUAAACUCUUAACACUAAACCAUAAACCUUAAACUUUAUACCUUAAACAUGCACCCUAAGCUAUAAACCCUAAAUUAACCUUAAAAUCGUAAAUCAUAAAUUAUAAACCCUAAAAUCAUAAACCUUAAACCUUAAACCCUAAACCCUAAAACCUAAACCAGUAAACCCCAUGAACCCUUAAACCCCUAACCUAUAAACCCUUAAACCCAAAACUCUAAGCCGCUACCCCUUAGACCCUAAGCCCAUAACCCCUAAACCCUAUGCUCCUAACCACUAAACACUAAACCAUAAACCACGAACAGUAAAUCAUGAACUCUAAACUUAAAACUCUAAUCCCAAUAUAAUAAACAUUACUUCAUAAAUCCUAAAACCCUAAACUAUAAAAAUUAAACCUUAAAUACUAAACACAUAAACCUAAAAUAAAUUUAUUUUUACUUGUGGCGCUUACAAUAAAGCGCCACUAAUGUCUCUAAACCUCCACAACAAAACGACGACGUUUGCUUAAAUAUAUUUGCGGCGCUUAACAUAAAGCGCCGCUAAUGCUUGACAUCUGCGGCGUUUUUAAAGUUGCGCCACUAAUGUAACUAAACCUUAACAACAAAACGUUGCUGUUCGCUUAAAAAUUUUGUGGCGCAACGUAAAAGCGCCGCUAAUUAUUGAAUUUUGCGGCGUUUAUAUCUACGCGCCACUAAUAUCUUUAAAAUUUGAAAAAUAAAACGACGUCGUUUGGCUAAAACUAUUGCCGCUAGUGCUUGACAUUUACGGUGUUUUCCCAAAGCACCACUAAUGUCCCUAAGCACAACAGGAAACGACGUCGUAUGCUUAAAACAUUUUGUAGCGCUUCCUCUUAAGCGCCGCUAACGAUUGACUUUAGCGGCGAUUUCUUCAAAGCGCCACUAUUGUGUCUAAAACUCAACAAGAUCAAAAUGACUUCGUUCGGUAAAAUCUUUUAUGGUGAUUCAGGAAAGCGCCGCCACUAUUGUCCCUAAUACGGCGCAUACUUAAGACAUUUUCCGGCGCUUCCUCUAAAGCACCGAUAAUGAUUGACUUCAGCGGCGCUUCUAUAAAAGCGCCAUUAUUGUGUCUAAAAGUCAACAAGAAACGACGUCGUUCGGUAAGAAAUUUUGUGGCGCUUUGGGGAAAGCGCCGCUAAUACAUGAUAUUUUGCGGCGCUUCUUUAUAAACACCACUAAUGCAAUCAAACGUAAACCAAAACGGCGUCGUCUGUUAAUCAGUUUUACGACACUUCUUUAAAAGCGCCACUAAUGUCUUUGAAGCUGACAAAGAAAACGGUGCCAUUUACCUAACUCUUUUGCGGCGGUUUUGGUAAAUUGCCGCUGUUGCCUAUAAUUUACGGUGUUUUUUUUCACUCACCGCUAUUGUUCGGUUUUUUGCGGCAUUUUGUGUUAAAACGCCGCUAUAGACGUCGCUAAAGAGCUGUUCUGGUGUAGUGAUACAUCAAAAACUCCAAAUAAGUAAUAAAUUCUAGGAAUUAACAGAAAAUAGUCUAAAAUUUACGUGUGGCCACCGUCGAGUUCUCCGCUGCACUGACCCUUCAAGUCUGAGGAUUACCUGUACAUAUUAAAUAGAGAAAGGGUGAGUUUUCACAAACUCACUGUGUAAUCCCCACAGAAAACAUGCAUACAAUCAAUAUAAUUCAGUUAGAUACAGUGUAGGGCUCGUGCCCAUCACAGAGUCAGUUUGGGCCUUAGCCCGUUCAGAUAUAGUCUCAGAAAUACAUUAGGGCCUUGGCCCAUAUCAGAUACAGAAUGUAGAUAUAGUAAAUCAGAAUCGUACCCACCAGCCUCUACACAUCAUCUCCGUCCAACCCUACACACCAUGUGGGGAUUAAAUCAACCCACCCAUCCCUACACACUAUGCUGUACCAAAAUGCAGCACAUAAUUAGAAGGUUGCAGCUGAGCUGCUAGAUAACAGGCUUAAUAGCCUUUCGGACACUUCCUCCAAAUAUCAUCAACCCACCUCGAUGCAAUGAAACAUACAAAAUAUAUCAUGCCAUUAUGCAAUUAAUAGUACAUACAUUCAAAUAUCAUAAGUCAUGCUCGGUAUAGAAAUCAGACAGACAGAUCACACAUAUAGGGGUCCAAGUAAAACUUAUCGACCCUAAAGUAUUACUCUUUUAAAUGAUUUAAAGAAUGUUGAGGUUCAUAUUGAUGAUGAAGAUCAAGCUAUGCUAUUAUUGUGCUCUUUACCCCCUUCAUACAAGUCUUUCAGGGAAACCCUGAUUUAUGGCAGAGACAAACUCUCGUUCGAAGAUGUGAAGGGUCAUUUGUUGAGUAGAGACAAACUCGACAAUGAGCUUCAUUUGGAUAGCAAGACAGAUAGACAAGCUUUCGUUUUGAUAGCAUCAAAGAAACGAGACAAAAGGUGUCGCUAUUGUAAAAUGUUAGGUCACGUCAAAGCAGAUUGUUAUAAACUGCGAAAUAAAAGAGCUGCUGAGAGUAACGAGGAAGAUGAUACAGUCGACUUGGGUGACCCGUGCAACCUUACAGAACUUUUUAAAAAAAUGGGCUCACACGCCCAUGUGGCCCACUCGGCCCAAAUUGGCCUUGGCCACGAGAUCCAUUUUUAAGGUAACAUGUGCUAGUUAAUUAUUCAUAUAUGUUUUCACUAUUUACUUAUAUGUUCCUUCAAAGUUGUCUAAUUGAGUCACUAUUACUAAAUUAUUUAUAUCCUAAGCUACAGAAUUCUGAAUUAAGAUCUGCCUGAUGUCUUUGAAACUAGACUCAAAUAGCUUUCUACCAUAAAAUUUUCAGAAUUUUUGGUUUAGCCAAUAAGUACAGUAAAAUCUUCAUACUUACCCCUGUUCUGUUGUCUGACAGCUUCGUCCCUUCUUUGCUAAAAAUUAACUAUCUCUUAGUACAAAAUUUGGAUGAUGUUUCCAUUUGUUUCUAUUGAAAAUAGACUCAUUGGUAAUUUAAACAUGUAAAUUUUAAUCCCUAAUUAUUUUCUCCAAUUUUUGAUGAUUUUCCAAAGUCAGAAUAGGGGAACCCGAAUUUAAUCUGACCUUAUCUCACAAAGUUUAUUAUACCUCACGAUUUACAAUUCAAUUACUUAUAUAGUUUAUUCUAUGAAAAACUAGACUCAAUAAGCUUUAAUUCCAUAUUUUUUUCAUCCUCUAAUUUGAUUUCCACAAUUUAUGGUGAUUUUUCAAAAGUAGCCUACUGUUGUAAUUUUUCAAUAAGCUUUAAUCCCUUUUUUUUGUGUUUUGAGUACAGACCUGGUUUUAUUUGAUGCUAAAAUAGUCCCGAGCACUCCAAAGCCUAUAAUCAAGAAACUCAACAUUAAUUUAAUGGAUUUAUAAUCGAAUUGACAACCAAAAACGAAUCGAAACCCAACUUAUCACCAACGAUAACCCUCCGUUUAACUAUUGUUCAGACGAGAACACUGAAUUUACUAGUCCAAGCCUCCCCCUAUGCCCAAAUCACAGAGAAAAAACAUUACCACUUUAGUCGUUAAGAGAUUCAUGACUGAAAUGAAGAGAAACAUUUACCGAAACUAAGCAAGCACUAACCGCAUGUGAAAACGAAGGAAAAUAAAUGGAUUAGGGAAAAUCAAGAAGAAGAAAAAGAAGAGAAAGAUGGAAAAACUCAAAGAAUUUUGGCAAGAGGAGAGAGAGAAGAAUAUACGACAUAUUUUUUUUGAAAAAAGAGUCAAAAUUCGGUUAUGGGAAAAAAAUAAAAUAGAAUCCUGAUAACCCCCAAAAUCAUGUCCCCUAAUUCCCACUACAUAUCCACUACUCAGAAUUCCCCUAUUACACAACUCUAUCCCGAAAUCUUAGCAAAAAAAUAAUACCCUUGCUUGCAUAAGGAUUCGAACACAAGACCUCCACCACAAUAACACACCAUUUAACCACUAGACCAACAGGCCCAUUCUGAUGUAAUUUACCCAACAAUCAAAUAAAAGCCUACUAAACAAGAGUAAUGCCUAAUUCAUUCAAAAUACCAAAUUUUCCCAAGCGAAUGCUUGAACUUAGGACCUCCCAAACACUCCCAGGACACAUAACCACUAAAGCUGACAGAUAUUUGUGCAUAUUUUCAUAAUAACAAAAUUAGAAAUUUUGAGGUGUUACAUUAUAAAUAGGCUCUUUUACAACCUUAGAAAAUACACCCAUUAGGGAUUAGAACUCAUAACACAUUUAGAGAAUUUUGUGUUUACGUUUUGAGAGUUCUUUGUUUUCGGGUUUUCGGGGUUUAGUUUUUAUCUCCAUCUUUUGUGCUCUUCAUUCUUUUGCCAUUAUAAUAAAAUUACCUUUUCCUGUGGUUUUUUUAACUUCUUUGGAGGGGUUUUUCCACGUUAAAUUUGUGUGUUCAAUUUCUCAAUUUAUUCUGCUAUUCUUUUUUACUUGUUGCUUAAUCGGGUCGAUCCCAACAAGUGGUAUCAGAGCUAGUUUAAUUUUUAUAGAUUAACACAUUUAGAGAUGUUAGCUACAAGGUUUGAAAUUGAGAAGUUCAAUAGUGAGACAAAUUUCAAUCUGUGGCAAGUUUGGAUGAUAACAAUUCUAGUUCAAACAGGCCUGAAAAAGGUUGUUACUGGGAAAAAGCCUGAGAAUCUAAAUCAAACAGAAUGGGAAGAGCUUGAUGAAAAUGCCUUAUCUGCAAUCCAAUUGUGCCUUACGAAUAUGGUAUUGCAGGAGGUAUUGAUGGAGAAGGCCUCAUCCGCCUUGUGGAAAAGGUUAGAAACUCUUUAUGUGACUAAGUCUUUGGCUAACCGUUUAAUGUUGAAACAACGUCUAUUUACGUUUUGCAUGAACGAAUGUGAGCUUCUUAAAGAUCACAUCAAUCAAUUCAUUACUCUUUUAAAUGAUUUAAAGAACGUUGAGGUUCAUAUUGACGAUGAAGAUCAGACUAUGCUAUUAUUUGCUCUUUACCCCAUUCAUACAUGUCUUUUAGAGAGACCCUGAUUUAUGGAAAAGACAAACUCUCGUUCAAAGAUGUGAAGGGUCAUUUGUUGAGAAGAGACAAACUCGACAAUGAGUUUGGUUUGGAUAGCAAGGCAGAUAGGCAAGCUUCCAUUUUGGUAGCAUCAAAGAAACGAGAUAAAAUGUGUCGCUAUUAUAAAAAGUUAGGUCAUGUCAAAGCAUAUUGUUAUAAACUGCGAAAUGAAAGAGCUGUUAAGAGUAACGAGGAAGAUGUAGCUGAUGCUAAUUUGGCCGAUGAAAGUGGUGAUGAUUUCUUGUUAGUGUCAACGAGCGAUAACUCAAAGCUCACGUCUGAGUGGAUCCUAAAUUCAUGAUGUUCUUUCCACAUGUGUCCCAAUAGAGAAUGGCUCUCCACAUACAGUUCUGUUGAAGGUGGAGUUGUGCGCAUGGGAAUGAUUCAUCUAGUAAGGUAAUUGGUAUUGGUAUUGUUAAAAUUAGGAUACACGAUGAGACGAUUAGGACACUCUUAGAUGUCAGGUAUAUACCUGAUUUACAAAAGAAUCUCAUCUCAUUGAGUAUUUUAGAAUUGAAAGGAUUCAAAAUCAACAUUGAGUCGAGCGACAUUAAAGUAUCUCGUGGAGCUCUCAUUUUGUUAAAAGGUAAAAGAACCAACAGUCUUUAUAUUCUGGAAGGUUCUAUAGUGACCGGUGAAUUGAACGUCUCUCGUCCGUUACGGAGUCGAAUUCAACUCGUUUGGAGUGGAGGCAACUUGGUCAUAGGAGUGAAAAAGGUAUGACCGUUUCGUUGAAGAGAGGUUCUUUUUUGGAUGUAGGUUUUGAAAAGUUAGGGCAUUGUGUUCAUAAAAAUCAGACUCGGGUUAAUUUUAAUUCGGUAGUGUACAAGUCGAAGGCUAGAAGUCUUCCAGUUUCUAAGCAUAGAUUCAACUCAAUUAAUUCUCUGCAUAGUUCAAGAUAGGCCUGUGGCAGGCUUUGGCAAAGAUGGCAUUGUGAAAUAUGAGUCAAGGUGGAGAUUUGUUGAGUAUGACUCCUAUUUCAGUCAAAUUUGAGAAAUAAUCUUUCAGUUAAACUCUGUUUAUUUCUUUCAAUCAAACUUUUAUUAGUGUAGAUUAUUUUAUUAUUAUUUGACCUGUGAAUUUAGCUUAUAAAUAGGCUUUUUUACAACUUUAGAAAAUACACCCAUUAGAGAUUAGAACUCAUAACACAUUUAGAGAAUUUUGUGUUUACGUUUUGAGGGUUUUUUGUUUUCGGGGUUUAGUUUUUAUCUCCAUGUUUUGUCCUCUUCAUUCUUUUGCCAUUAUAAUAAAAUUAUCUUUGCCCGUGGUGUUUUAAUCCUCUUUGGAGGGCUUUUUCCACGUUAAAUUUGUAUGUUCAAUUUCUCAAUUUAUUCCACUAUUUUUUUUACUUGUUGCUUAAUCAGGUCGAUCCCAACACUAAGGAUUUAAUUGGUUCACUUGAAUCCAAUUCAAUCUUCAAAAGUCAAUGAUUGAUUUCCAUAGAUGGACCAUAGUAUUUUCAAUAUGAUAGUACAUUAACAAAUCCAAAGAUAUUUUUCAUUAAACUGUCAAUCCAAAUAACACAAGUAAUUAAACUACCUUAGUGGCAAUGUGUAGUGAGCACUGCCGAGUGCCACUCAGCAUCAAUCGAUUCAUCUUGCCUCAACAACAUGUAUAAUAUACCUAUAAGUAUGAGUUUAGAAAAACUUUUGAAUUGACAAGAAUACCUUUUAUUUUUAACCAUAUUACUAAAUUGAUAUUUAAAAAUAUUUAUAAUUUAAUUUAGAAUUAUUAGUUAUAACUUUCUUUAUUUAUUAAGAAUGAGCUAUGAUAAUUUUAUUCACUCUAAAAUUGAAUCAUAACUUGAAUAAAAGUCUAAGCAUACUCAUUCUAAAUAACUAAUAAAUUAAGGUUAAAAUAUUAAAUUUAAAAAAUCCAAAUCAUUUUUAUUUUUUACAAGUAAUUUUUUAUUUCCAUAUUUAUUAAUGAAAUAAAAAUAAAGUUAUAACUUGAACAGAAGUCUAAGUAUAUAUAAAAAAGAUUCUUUUUAUCUUUUAAUUACCACUUAACUAGUGUUAGAGUUUUAUAUCAAUUAAAAUUUAAGUUUAAAUCUAUAAAUAUAAUUUAUUAUUAGCAUUUAAGAAAAAUCAUCAGUUCAAAGAAAGAAAGUGGUUAGCAUUAAUAAGUUCGAAGGUUCUCAAAAAGAAAUAUUCAAAUGACAAUGGCACUCGAGAGCACCAGAAAGAUAUGUAAGAUUAUUUUAUCACCUAACUAUCUUGGAUUUUGGGUGUUUCCGUUUUUACAUUAAUCAGCUGGUGACCAAAAAGGACAAUUGAAUAAUUGGCUGACCAUUUUGUAACUUUCAUAGUUGGAUGAUCUAAAAAGAAAUGUACUAUUAGUUAAGUGAUUACUAGUGUAGUUUGUCCUAUAAUUAAUUGUGCAUGCAAUAUUUAAACAUAAGAUGAUGUUCUAUGGAUAAUUGUAUUAAUAGUUUGUGAGAAUUGAAUCAAAUCAAAAUUUCAUGUAUAAAAUUGCGCAAAAUCAAAGUUCUUGAGUAAAAUUGCACAUUAAACCAAAAUUCAUGUGUAGUUUUGAAAUUUAUCACAUACAAUAAUUCUUAUUUUGUCAAAAGAACAUAAAUAUAUAGGGUAAACUACAUAGAUAAUCACUCAACUAUAAAAAAUUCUCAUUUUAGGCGCCCAAAAUAAAAAAAGUUUACAAUUUAAGCACCCAUGUUACAUGGUUCGUUCAUUUUGGUCACUCCCAUUAAAAGCCCAAACAAAAAUCUGACAUGACAUUUUUUUGACACGUGGAUCAAUCAUUGGAUGCCACAUGGCACAAUUUACCACUGCAUACCACUUUACACUUGAAAGGAGUAAAAUAUAAUUUACCCCAUACUAAUUAUUAACCAAAUGAAUAAAUUAGUAUUGGGUAAAUUAUAUUUUAGUCCUUUCAAGUUUAAAGUGGUAUGCAAUGGUAAAUUGUGCCGUGUAGGCAUCCAAUGAUUGAUCCGCGUGUCAAAAGAAAAUGUCAUAUCAGAUUUUUGUUAGACUGUUAACGAGAUUGAUCAAAAUGAAUAAAUUAUUUAACAUGAAUGUUUAAAUUGCAAACAUUUUUAUUUUUGGUGUUUAAAAUGAAAAUUUUUUAAUAUUUGGGUGACUAUCUAUCUAGAUUACCCCAAUAUAUAUCCCAUAUAAAUGAUAACGUAUCAAAGUACAACAAAUUACAAACAAAAAGAAAGUACAAGAAAUAAUGGGAUUUGGGAAACUCCCAUUUAUCAAACAAAUAUAUGUGGUGAAAAAAAAGAACAUACAAUACUCAAAAUCAAGAGACAAAGACAACUAAAAUCACAUUCAAACAAAUCCAGUAUGCAGCAGAUAAACCAAAGGGGGUAUUUCAAUAAACCAAAGGGUAUUUCAAGGAGUAGAAGGAGAAGGUGGUGGAGAAAGGAAAGGAAUAGAGGGGAUUGCAGUUGGGAUUGAGGGCAUGCUUGGUAGAGGAGGCAGUGUGGCCCUUGGUACACUUGGCAAUGUGGGCAACCCUGGCAUGAUAGGAAGUGGAGGAAGCGCCCCAGGCCUUGGCAAUGCUGGUAUGGAUGGCUGUGGGAGAUUAGGGAUAGAUGGAAGUGGGGGGAGUGUGGUUGUAGGCAAAGUUGGCAUUGGAGGCAAUUGAGGCAGUUGCAGAAGGUGACGAGCUGCUACCCCAACAUCAGUGCUUGCAAAUGACAAAGCCAUCACGAAUACUAAAGCAAAGCAAUUGAAAGAUGCCAUUUUUCUAGAGAUGUGAGUCCAAUUAAGCAGACGAAAGAAAGCUCUUGUUUUGAUAGUUGUGGAGUGAGGGAGAGAAAGCAUGGUGUUGGGGGUUUAUAUAGGUCUUGGAUCAGUGGAGUUGGUAAUGUUUGAUCAUGUAUGGUUGGAAUGGAGAAAACAUAGUCGAUAUUAAAGGAUUUGGUAGCUCAACUUCCCAUGGGUAUUGUAGUUUAAAACAGGUGAAAUGCUGUUGUGGUUGGCAUAGAAGCUUCAUCCAGCCACUUAAUUAAACAGUAUACUUAAACAAUCCUCCAGGUUAGCAAAGUUUUCGCUAGUUGUCCAGAUAUCUAACAGAAUUAGGAUUUGUUUACUUAACAUGUUAGGUAUGAUAGUAUUUCCAAGGUUGGUUGUAUAAAUAAAUUUGCUAUGGUUGAGCAUAAAAUUGUUGUGAGUUAACCUACAGCUUCGUAUAGACUUAUUAAUUUUGACUUGAACUUGGAAUGAUUCAAACAAAUACUUUGAAAUGACAAACAAAUAACUCGAAAUGACCUAAAUUUGAAGUGACCAAAAUCUGAAAUAAUCGAAACCUAUAAUGACUCGGCCCAAAAAACUCGAGCCUCAAACCCAAAUUAAAUUGAAUCAAAAUUAUAAUUUCAUGUAUAUAACUGUAGAAAAUUAAAGUUUGUGUGUCAUAUUGUACAUUAAAUCAACGUUUACGUUUGACAUUACGUAUUGAGGUAAUGUUCAUUCAUAAUUUUGUGAUUUAUUCCCUUAAUUAAAGUAAUAUGUCAAAUAGUAUACUCUUGGUGAAGUUUAUGUACAUUGUAAGCGAACUAAAUAAUUAGAAUAAAUCUAAAGUAGGGCUUGGGCCUCCAAGAUUUCACGGUCUCAAUUUAUGUCUUAAAAUUUCAUAUUAUUGUCCUUAAGGAUAUUUACGAAUUUACGUAUUUCUUAGGAUUUAACUUAUAUCAUGCGCAAUGAGAAAAUUGCAAAAAUUUACUCAUUUGAAUGGAAUUGAGCUAUUAGGCUCAAGCAUCAUACAGGCAUAUCCAUCCUCUUAUUUUGAGUCUUACAAGUUUAUAGCAAACCAAAUCUAUAUAAACAUCAUUUAACAGAUGUAUCUAAAAGAUGUGAAAUAUGUAUAAUUCUUUAAAAUACACGAAAACUUCUAAUAGGGUUUAGGUUAUUUUUCGAUUUGUCUAUUUUAGGUUCAAAUCAUUCGAAUUUGAAGCUAAAUUUUUAAUAUCUAAUCAUUAUUGAUUCGAAUCAUUUCAAAUUUUGGUCAUUUUAAAUUCGAAUUGUUUUGUGAUCAAAUCAUUUCAAGUUUGGAUUGAUUCAGGUGAAUUCGAAUUUGGAUUUAUUAUUAUUAUUAUUAUAAAUUGAGUUUGAGUCAUUGCAUUGCUUAAGUAAAAAUUUAAAGAUUUGCCUCUGUGGUUUGCAUUGAGCUGCUUACGAGGGAGAAGUUGGAAGUUAGACUUACCCAUUGAGGUGGUAGCGGUCUUGCCUUGGAAUAACGCCAAGUAGAAGUUUGAAAAAAUACAUUUGUUAACAGAAUUUUAUUUUAUAACAUUCUCGGAUCCUGAAACACUUGUUUAAAGGUGAUAGUACGACGACGUUGAUUUCUUUUAUCACCACAAGUCUAAUUAUAUAUAUUGGAUUUAAUUUUUUAGUCCCAACCCAAUAAAUAAAAUAUACAUGUAACAUCUUAUAAAAAUUGUCAAUAAAUUAUACCUAGUGACAAAGUUAUUCAAAUCUAAUUUCAUUGCUAAUACCUAGUUUUUUUUUUCUACUGUCUUCAACUUUCAAUAUAAACGGAUUGAAAAUUUAAGAAAUUUAUGUUAUUUGAAAUAUCUUUUCUUAAAAAAUUGGUGUUUAGUAUAAGAUAAUUAGUAUCGUAUCAGUGGAUGUUUGAUUUUUAUUUUUACUAGAAUUGAUACAUAUCUUUUUGAAUUUAUCAAUAUUUUUUAAAAUUAUUUAAGAUAUGUAUAUAAAUAUAUUACAAAUAUAAAACGAAUGAAACCAAAUACAUUUCAAAUAUAACAUAUUCAUUAAUAAACUCAACAAAUAAAAAUUUAUCAUUCAAAUAAAUCCAAAAUUAAUAAUAAAAAUCCAUCAUUCAAUAUGAAGUUUUAAGGAUUUAGCUCGUUUCCUUAGUAAGGUGAAUGAUUUUUUCAUAAUUAUAUUUUAGUCUUUAUAUUUGAAUGUGAAAGUAUGUCCCAUUUUUUUUAAAACUUUACAUUCUUGAUGUCCACGAAAUUAACUAAAAUUAAGACAAGUGCAUCUAUCAAUUAAUAGUAUAGCUAUGGUGAGCACAAAUAUCGUUACCACAAAGAUUAAAAGUACUAGUAAUUAUUGUCUUUCUAUUAGUUAACUGAAUAAAUCGAGUGAUGGAUUAAAAACAAAAUUUAACUAACGAACAUGACAAAGAAAAAAAUAGAAAGAUAAUCGAUUAACAACCAAGAAGUAAAACAAUACCCGGGAAAUAAUUCACCUAGAUUUCAUCUGUCACUAUCAAUCUAAAUUACAUAAUUUCUUUACUUGGUAUCUUGAUACGCAGAAAUCCCUGAAUUAUGCUAAUAUCUCUUUCGAGAGUAAGAGCAACUGACUCUAGGUUGAUUAAUUGAAAUUUCUUUCUAAUUAAAACCCCUAUUAUCGCAUUAACUCGAUCUAUGGAUUCCUCAAUUAAAUUUGACUCUAAUCUUGUAGAUUUAUGUUGUCCUAUUUCUAGGAUUGCAUGCAACUCCACUCAAUUAUACAAGAUCUACUCUUAAACUGGGUUUAUUCCUCCUUUGAUUUAAGCACAUCAAACGUGAAUCAAUAAUCUAGAAAUAUUAAACCAAGAAUUAAGCACACAUAAUUGAGAACAAAAUCUAAGUAUUUAUUGCAUAAAAUAAAAAUCAAACGAUAAAAUUCAUCAUAAGGUUCAUCUCCUUUAGGUAUUUAGAAAUUUAGUUCAUGAUUGAAAGUAAAAAUAUCAAAAAUACAGUAUAAUCGAAAGAAACAAAGAAACUCAUGAUAAUUUCCUAAGAAAUCAAAUGUGAAUCUUCAAUCUUGACGGGAAUCUGCUUUAGAAUCGGCUUAAAUGAUGUUUUUUGAGUUGUUUUCUUGAAUAUUCUAUGACAGCUCUCUCUUAUCUUCUUAUUUUUGCCAUAUAUACGUCUUAGAAUGCACGAAAAACCUAAAAAUUGCAUUUUCCCGCAGUUCAGAGUGCUAAUUCACGAAAUCGGCACAGCCUGCCACAUGGCCGUGUGUAAGGGGUCAGCUCGUGUGACCCUUGUACCUUGCUUCGAUUUUUUGGUUUUUGUUCGUUUUUCACUUGUUUUGCUCCUAACUGCCCUCAUGAGUAUAAAAAACAUGAAUUUAAAGGAUUAGGAGCAUAAAAUUAAUCAUUAACAUCGAAUAAUCACCCAAAAACACAUUGAGGCUGAGAUUAAAACAUGUUCCUUUUAGCACUUAUCAAAUAUCCCUACAAUUAAGCAUUUGCUUGUCCUCAAGCAAAAUCCUCAACUCACAUUCAAGUUAAUUUCCCUCAAUUUAUUUUUUUCACUGAUAAUGUCUUAAGAUAAUUUACAAAUAAUCAUGCAUUAGAAAUUCACUCUAAAGUGACACUAAACAGUACAAACAAUCCAAGCAGAGAAUUUUUAAGGCUUAAAAACAUUAGGCAUCUCCCCUAUCUCAAUAAUUACCUGAAAUUCAAACUCAACAAGAAUUAUCAUCCUCACUAAGGAUUCACUCAAAGCACUCAAAGUGUUUUAAGGUUCAAGUAAUAUGCACUCAAUAGUUGAACAAGAAAUGUCAUUACUAUAGGCUUUCUUGAAAAUCAAAUCUCCACCACUAUAUAAAUGAGAUGACACAGCAAUCAAGAGGUCUUAAUAAGGUUGUAAUGGGGCUUAGGUUAAGGGUAUUGAAUAGGUUAGAAGAGUUGGUUUUAAUAGAGAAUCAAAUGGAUAUGUUACCAAACUAGAAAAAAAUCAGUUGUUGAAUUAAAAGAAUUUACAUAAACAAGAAAUAAAUAACGAAAAUGAGCUUUUCAACAGAAUAUGAAGCUAACGAUUCAAGCUCAAUCAAAUUUUUUAAUUUUUAGAUUUUUUCACUUUUUUUUCAAACAGAAUACAAUUCAACAAUACAAAUUAUAGAACAUAGUUAGACAACUAAGCAAAUGAGGUCUCGAAAAAAAGUGGUCCAUAAAAAGGAUAAUUUUACAACAUAGAUAUAGGUUAUGUGUUAACAUUAAAGGGUGAUAGAAAAAAUGUGUUAGGAUCAACGAGAUUUACUAGGGGUUAAUUCAACGGGUAAGCUAUUUAAAGGUUAAAUGGGUUAAAUCUUAAAUGCCUCUAUCAUCUCAAUAUAUCAAAUCAUUAAUGUGGUCUCGACAUAUAUAACCGAAGCAAGUUCUAGAAUAACAAAUCAAGUUGACAUACUCACAAUAGAACCAAUAGGAAAAAAAUAUAGGUUAUAUAGGAUCAAAAGCUCACAAAAAAUUAUGGUUUUGAUGUCAAACUUACAAAUUUAAAAUUUCAAAAUAAUUCUUUAGUUCAGGGAGACAACCUAAAAUAAUAGUUUUUGAAAAACAAAUUAUCAUGCUUGACUCUCUCGUGUCUUAAAAUAUUAAUCACACAAUGCACAAAUAUCCACAAAUUAUUCCCAAAAUAGAAUCACUAAAAACUCUAAAUUAAAAAAAUAACUUUAAUGAUAGGUGUGAGAAAAUCACUUAAACACGAACAAUAAUUCAUGGAGACACCUAAAAUAAUAAUUUCUGAAAAACAACUUAUCAUGCUUGACUCUCUCGUGUCUUAAAAAUAUUAAUUACACAAUGCACAAACAUCCACAAAUUAUUCACAAAACAGAAUCACUUAAAACUCUAAAUUAAAAAAAAAAUAACUUCAAUGAUAGGUGUGAGAAAAUUACUUAAACAUACAAACAAUAAUUCAGAGAUUUCAUCACAUAGGCAUACAAACAUCCACCCCACACUUAAGAUGUACAUUAUUCUCAAUGUACAAACAAAUAUAAACAAAAUACACAAAAUAUCAUAGGGGAGGAAGAGAACUAAAACUGCCUUGAAUUUAGAUGAAUUCGUUGGAAUAGUGAAAACCAGAAUCAUAGGCAAUUCUAAAUGAAGUACAUGUUUCCGAGCAAACUAAUAAAAAAAUAGAAAAAAAAGAAGAUAAAGAGAUACAAAAUAGAAAAACAACUUAUAAAAUAAUAACAGUAAUGUUUAAAAUAAAAAUAAAAUUAAACAGAUAAGUCUGAAAAAUAAAAUAAAAAUGAAUAACAAGAAAAAUAAAAAUAAAAAAACAUAAAACUAAAUAAAAUCUAAAUAUUUCAAAAGAAAAUAACAAAAAAAUUCUAAUACUAGUUUAAUAACAAAGUUAGCAGAAUAAAAAUGAAAAUAAUAAUAAAUAGGAUGGUUGGUUUGGAGGGUACCAACGGUGGUGUUGGGAGAAGGAAAAAAAAUGAAAACCCACUAGCAUUAAAAAAGGGUACAUGGCCAUGUGAUAGACCAUGUGAGCCACACAGCCGUGUGGUCAGACCAUAUAUUUCUUUGAAGCUAUGUGGCCUAUUAGAAAAUUUUAAAAAUUUGCUCCAGUGUUCACACGACCUGUGACACGCCGGUGUCUCCAGGCCAUGUGUUGUUACCGUUAGCUUCUCCCACGCCCGUGUACAUGGGUGUGUGGGGCACACGGCCGUAUCUUUAGGCCAUGUGCCUUCGACUCAGACCGUGUGGUCAAAAAAAUAAUUUUGAAAAAUUAUCUCUAGUGUUCACACGGCAUGUGACACGCUUAUGUGUCUAGGCAGUGUGUCCUACACGGUCAUGUGGUCUACCCCAGACCAUGUGGACCACUUUUUUUCCAAUUUUUUUAAAUAUAUUUUUUUUCAAAUUAUUUUUUAAUUUUUUAGGUAAUAAUAAAAAAUAAGUGUACUAAUCACUCAACAUAAUUAAAAUAAAAUAUAAAAAACCACACUCGGGUUGUCUCCCGAGGAACACAUAUUUAAAGUCUAAGUUCGACUUCCCUUUUCAAGAUAAUGGUUAAAGCGGAUCUUGGAGCUGGAGCUCCUUUCUCUCGUUAUCAAUAUCACCACCAAAAUAAAGUUUGAGUUGAAUACCAUUUACCUUAAAUGUGUUGUAUUCAGGACAUGUUACCUCAAUGGUUUCGUAUGAUAAUACGUUCUGUACCACAAAUGGGUUCGACCCUCUUGACUUAAGCUCUGUAAGGACCAUUCAUGGAUCUGACUCAUCUACCAGCACUUUGUCUUCAACUUUGAAUUGAUUUGUCCUCUUUACAUGCGUGCCAUAGCGUUGUUUUGUUACUUCUUUGAACGUUCUCGGUUUCUCAUAAGGCUUUGGUCGCCAUUCAUCUAAUUCAUCAAGUUGCACCAUUCAUUUUCCACUUUUCCCUAGAUUUUUAUCACCUUGAACACUAUACGAUUCUAACACGUAUUCGUGAUUGAUUUCCUGCAAAGAUUGUUGAGUUGCACGAUUACUAACAUUAUUAGAAUAAUGAGUAUCAUCUCACUCAUUAGAAACUCUCACAAUUUCAUGUGUUGGAAGAGUAAACCCUCAUGAUGGUCACUAACUAUAAUUACGACAAAGGCAAGUGCACCUAUCAAACAAUAGUAUAGCUAUGGUGAGUAUAGAGUAUAGUAUCCACGAGGACUAAAACUACUAGUAAUAACUGUUUUUCUAUUAUUUAGCCAAUAAAUUAGGGUGAUUGCUUUUAAUCUAAAUUUACUAAUCUAAAUUAACUAAGAACACAACAGAAAAUGAAAUAGGAAAUAAUCGAAUAAUACCAAAGAGAAAGACAAUACCCAGGAAAGAAUCCACCUAGACUUCACUUAUUAUUCUGAAUAUGAAUUAAAUGAUUUAUUCACUUGUGUCUUGAUCCAUAGAAAUCCCUAAAUUAUAUUAAUAUCUCUUUCGAGAGUAAGAAUAAUUAACACUAGGUUGAUUAAUUGAAAUCUCUUUCUAAUUAAAACUCCUUUUGUCGCAUUAAAUCGAUCUAUGGAUUCCCCUAUUAGAUUUGACUCUAAUCUGGUAGAUUUAUGUCAUCCUAUUUCUAAGAUUGCAUGCAACUUCACUCAAUUAUGUUAGAUCUACUCUUAAAUAGGGACUUUUGCUCCACUAAAAUAAUUACAUUAAACAUGAAUUAAUAUCCCAAAAAUAUUAAAACAUUAAAUAAGCAUAUAUAAUUGAGAACAAGAAUCAAAUAUUUAUCAUGUAAUUCAGAAAUCAAAUAAUAAGAUUCAUCAUAGGUUUCAUCUUCCGUAGGUAUCUAGGGAAUUUAGUUCAUAAUCUGAAAUGAAAACAUCUCAAAGUCAGAAAAACCACAAGACAUAAAGAAAUUCACUAAAACUUCAAAAGAAGUUAAAAUGAGAUUUUCAAUCUUGAAGGAAAUCCGCUUCUGCGUUGGCUUCGAUGGCGUUCUUUGAGUAAUUUCUUCAAUCUUCUCUGAGUGAUCCGUUAGGUCUUCUUCUAAUUGUUAUUUAUAUAUGUAAAAAAAUAGAACGUCGGCAAUGACAAUCUAUUGCAAAGAAAAAUAGAGAGAAAAAUAAAGAACACAGAUUUUACGUGGAAACCCUUUCGAGAAAAAAACCACGGGCAGAGGAGAAGAUAAUUCACUAUGUCGAAUUUGAAUAAUUACAAGAGAAGUAGACUAUGUCUAUUUAUAGGCUUGUAAAACCAUAUUCUAAUAAAAGUGUAGUAAGAUUGAAACACCUUAUUCUAAUAAAUAUCAAAUAGAUGGAGCUUAAUAAGGUUUGAAAAACCUUAUUCUAAAAUAAAAUAAAAGAAGUGUAGUUCUAUAUAGAUUUUACUUUUAUUUUAUUUUACCAAUGUAUUUUUUUAAAUAAGGAUUCGGGUCACUUAAUUCUAACAAUCUCCACAUUGACACGAAUUAUCAAUGAACAAGUUCUUCAUCGCGAACUCUCAAUGAACAAGUUCUCCAUCUCUUCCAUAAAACCCUUUAAGGGUUUAACUUCAACAAUGAACACCAACCAAGUCUAAGUAAUGUUCAAACUUGGUUAUAAGAAGUGACUUAGCAUCAUAUCUGUAGGAUUUUGAUGAGUACUAAUUUUGCUCAUAACAAUAUCACCACGAGCAAUAAUAUCACGAACAAAAUGAUACCAAACAUCAAUGUGUUUUGUUCUCUCAUGAAACAUUUGAUAAGGAAUAUGACACUCUAUCUUUCACAAAAUACUAUACUGAUUUGAAGGUCUUCAUUAAGUUCACUAAAGAGUCCCUUCAACCAAAUGGCUUCUUUACAAGCCUCAGUAAUCGCCAUGUACUCAGCUUCAGUGGUAGACAAAGCAACUGUAGUUUGCAAAGUGGCUUUCCAAUUGAUUGCACAACCUUUUGAUUGUAAAGACAUAACCUGUGAGAUCUUCUUCUAUCAAGGUCUCUAGCAAAAUUAGCAUUAACAUACUCAAUGACUCCAUCUCUAGUUCUUCCAAACUGUAAGCAAACAUCAGUAGUACCUCAUAAGUAUCUUAAAAUCCAGUGAACUACUUUCCACUGUUCUUUAUUGGGAUUCGCCAUGUAUCUGCUAACUGCACUGACUGCAUAUGAUAAAUUUCAACAUGAACAAACCAUAGCAUACAUGAGAGAUCCUACUGCACUAGAGUAUGGAACAUGUAACAUGUACUCAAUCUCAUCAUCUGAUUGUGGAGACAAAGCUGAUGAAAGUUUGAAAUAGGCUGCUAAAGGAGUACUAACAAGCUUAACAUUAUGCAUAUUGAAACUGCAAAGAACUUUCUCAAUGUACCCCUUCUGACUUAGGUAGAAUUUACUAGCUUUUCUAUCUCUGAGAAUCUCCAUACAAAGUAUCUUCUUUGCUGGUCACAAAUCUUUCAUCUCAAUUUCUUCACUUAGUUGUGCUUUGACCUUUCUUAUCUCCCCUUUAUCUUUCAUUGCUAUCAACAUGUCAUCAACAUAAAGGAGUAGAUACACAAAAGAACCAUCACUAUUUUUCUUAAAGUAAACACAACUGUCAAAGCUACUUCUUUUUAAAUCAUGAGAAUUCAUAAAGGAAUCAAACCUCUUGUACCAUUGUCUUGGUGACUAUUUCAAACUGUAAAAGGGACUUUUUUAGCAAGCAAACAUAGUCCUCUUUUUUUGAGACUGUAAAACCCUCUAGUUGUUGCAUGUAAAUAUCCUCCUUAAGUUCUCCAUGCAAAAAUACAUUUUUUACAUCUAACUGCUCAAGCUCCAAAUCAUGCAUGGCCACAAUACCAAGCAAAACUCAAAUCGAACUAUGCUUCACAACUGGGGAGAACACAUCUGUGAAAUCCACUCCUGGAAUUUGACUAUAACCCUUUGCAACAAGCCUUACUUUAUAUCUGGGUUCUUCAACUCCUGGAGUCCCUUCUUUCUUUUUAAAAACCUAUUUACAACGAACAACACUUUUACCUUUAGGAAGUUUCACAAGAUCCCAUGUUUUGUUUUUGUGGAGUGAUUCUAUCUUUUCUUACGUAGCAAACAUCCACUUUUCUGAGUCUUCAUAGCUAACUGCAUUAGAAUAAUUAGAUGGCUCUUGGUUUGCAUCUAUAUCUUCAGCCACAUUUAAAGCAUAAACAACUAGAUCAGCCUCGACAUACUUCUUUGGAGGUUUAAUUUCUCUUCUAAAUCUAUUUUUGGUGAGAGAGUAUUGUGGUGAAGAUGCAACUCUAUUUGAAUUUUUGUACUGGCUUAAGUAGUCGACUCUAUUGUAGAUUCUGGAUUAAUCUGAUGUUCCACCAGCUUUUGAUUUUCUUUAUUAGAAGAGUCUUUAAGAGAUAAGUUAGGUAGCAUAGCAGUUUCAUAAAAAAACAUCUCUGCUAAUCACAACUUUUCUAUUUUCAGGACACCAUAACUUAUACCCUUUUACACCAGCUUUAUAACCAAGAAAAACACAUUUAAUGGAUCUCGGUUCCAAUUUUCCAUUAUCAACAUGAGCAUACGCAGGACACCAAACCAUACUUCUUGUGGAGUCUUUUUCUCAAUGACAAUGGAUUGAGAUCGAUUGAUCAAAAAACAUGCAGUGGAGGCUGCUUCGGCCCAAAACGACUUUGGUGAGUUGGCAUUUGACAACAUAUAUCGAACUUGUUCCAUGAUCGUUUUGUUCAUUCGUUCUGCAACACCGUUUUGCUGUGGAGUAUGAUGAACUGUCAAGUGUCUCACGAUCCCUUCUAACUUGCGCAGUUUAUUAAACUCAUCAAAAUAGAACUCUAAGCCAUUGUCUGUGCGAAGGUAUUUUAUUUGUUUUCCCGUCUAUUUUUCAAUCAUAGUUUUCCAAGACUUAAAUGCGGAAAACAUAUCACUUUUCUUCUUCAGGAAGAACGCUCAAACUUUUCUGGAAAAAUCAUAAAUAAAAGUUAGCAUAUAAUUAGCUUCACCUCUCGAAGGCACUCUAGAUGCCUCCCACAUAUCAAAAUGAAUAUACUCCAAUGUUCCCUUCGUGUUAUGGAUUCCUCUGGUGAAUCGAACUCUCUUUUGCUUCCAAAAAAUGCAGUGCUGAUAGAACUUCAGUUUUCAAAUUCCUUGCCCAUCAAGAAGUCCUAUUUUGCUCAAUUUUGCCAUGCCAUUCUCACUCAUAUGCCCUAGGCUCAUAUGCCAAAGUUUAGUAAUAUCAGCAUCUAACAAGGAAAAGGAAGCGACAGUUGCAUCACCAGUAACAGUAAAACCCUACAGAACGUAUAACUUGGCGGUCUUUCUCUGCCCUUUCAUCACAAUGAGGGAACUUUUGAAAAUCUUCAAAACCCCACUUUCAGCUGUGUAUUUGUACCAUUUUGAAUCAAGAGUACUCAACAAAAUUAAAUUUGUCUUCAAUUCUGGAACAUGUCGUACGUUACUAAGUGUUUUGACAACACCAUCAAACAUCUUAACUUUAAUUGUUCCAACUCCUGCAAUUCUACAUGAAGCAUUAUUUCCCAUCAAAACAACACCUUCAGACACUAUUUUGUAAGUUGUAAAUCAAUCCUGAUUGGGACUCAUGUGGAAAGUGUAGCCCGAAUCAAGGAUCCACUCCUCGCUCACUUCAGAAUUGUUGACAGAAGCGACUAGAAGUUCACCAUCGCUGUAGUCUUCUACAACAUCAGCUUUACUGAUAUUUUCUGGUUGUUUUCCAUUUUGAUUCACAGCCUCCCUUUUGAUCUUGUUCUGUAGCUUAUAGCACUCAAAUUUAAUGUGUCCUUUCCUCUUGCAGGAGUUACAAGUUUUACCUCUGUUUGAAGACUUUGAUCUACUCUUGGAUUUACCGUGAGGAUUUCCCUAUGUCCUUCCACGAUCAUCAUCAACAUUCCAAUCUUGUCUUCCACGAACAAUGAGACCCUCUCUUUGAGAGUCGAUUUUAACUACAAGAUGCUUCAUCCUAUCAUACAAGGUUAAAGAAUUAUAAACCUCAUCAACUGUGAGAGACUCGCGGCUAUAUAAAAUCGUACCUCUAAAGGUUGAAUAAGAUGAGGGCAAUGAACAAAGUAGAAUCAACCCUAGAUCUUCCUUAUCAUAUUGAACCUCCAUGGCCUCCAAGUUUGAGAGAAUUUCUUUAAACACUGUUAAGUGUUCGUGCACCGACGCACCUUCCUCUAAACAAUGAGCAUAAAGAUGCUGCUUCAUAUGCAGCUUGCUAGUUAGAGUUUUCGACAUACAUAUUUUUCCAACCUCUUCCAUAAUCCAGUGGCAGUCUUCUCCUUCAUCACAUCUUGUAAAAUUUCGUUACAUAAAGGUAGAUGUAACUGUGUUAACGCCUUUUGAUUCUUGCGCUUCUUCUCUUUCUCCGUCAAUGUUGAAGGCAUCUUAUUUACCCCUAGUAGGGCUUCCUCUAAGUCCAUCUGUGCAAGAACUGCCUACAUCUUUAUCUGCCACAACGUGAAUCUGGUGUUGCGAUCCAACAGUAGAAUUUCAUACUUCAAAGAUGUCAUUACCGUGAUUGAGAUGAACAACCCAAAAGCUCUGAUACCAAUUUGUAAAAAAAUAGAACGUCAGUAAUAACAAUUUAUUGCAAAGAAAAAGAGAGAAAAAUAAAGAACACACAAACUUUACGUGGAAAUCCUUUGGGGGGAAAAAAACCACGGGCAGAGGAGAAGAUAAUUCACUAUGUCGAAUUCGAAUAAUUACAAGAGGAGUAGACUAUGUUUAUUUAUAGGCUUGUAAAACCAUAUUCUAAUAGAAGUUUAGUAAGAUUAAAACACCUUAUUCUAAUCAAUAUCAAAUAGAUGAAGCUUAAUAAGGUUUACAAAACCUUAUUCUAAAAUAAAAUAAAAGAAUAGUUCUAUAUGGAUUUUAAUUUUAUUUUAUUUUACCAAUGUAUUUUAUUUAAAUAAGGAUUCGAGUCACUUAAUUCUAACAAUAGACUUUAAAAUGCUAAGGAAGCCUAAAAAUUGAGUUUUUCCGCGUGUUUAGGAAACAAGAUGCGAAAUCGACAUGAGUUGGCACAGGGGAGAGUGGCCAGCCCGUGUGACUCAGACGAGCGUGUGGCCAGUCCAUGUGGAAAUGCUGAGGCUGUGUGGAUGCUGAAAACAACUCUUUUUGCUCAAUUUUGGCUUCUAUUUCGCUCAUUUAGCUCCCCUAUGCUUUCUUAAGUAUAAAAACAUGAAUUUGAAGGAUUAGGAGCAUCAAAUUCACUAAUUUACAUAAUUAAUCAUCCAAAAAUGCAUUAAGAAUGGGAUUGAAAUAUGUUACUUUUAUAGCUUAUCAAAUGUCCCCUCACUUAAGCGUUUGCUUGUCCCCAAGCAAAAUGCUCAACUCACAAUUAAAAAUUAAUCUUUCUCAACUUAUAAUUCUCAUCAAUAAUGUUUGGUCAUAAUUCACAAAUAAUUAUACAUUGAUAAUUUAACUAAAAGAGCACUAAAGAUUCAAACAAUCCAAGUCGAGCAUUUUUAAAGCAUGAAAACAUAAAUAUUUCCCCUUAUCUAAGUAAUUACCUUUAAUUCAAAAUCGACAAGAAUCGACAUCCUCACUAAAGAUUCACUCAAAUCACUCAAAGUGUUUAAGGUUAAAAAAUAAGCACUCAAUAGUCAAACAUGAAAAGUCAUUACCAUAGGCUUGCAUGAAAAUCAAAUCUCCACCACUAUAAAAUGAGAUGAUACACAAUCAAAAGGUCUAUAAGAGGUUGUAAUGGGGCUUAGGUUAAAGGUGUGGAAAAAGACUGAAAAAGAUGGUUAGAAUCGAGAUCGAAUUGAUAAAUUACCAAACUAGAAAAAUAAACAAAUGUUGAAUUAAAAAUAAUUACAUCAAUCGAAAGCUAUUCAAGAAUGACUCGAGCUUAUUCUCAAAAAUGAAUUUAACUAUUUAAGCUCAAUUAACAUAGAACUAAGUGAUAAUCAAUAUAUAUGUAUUUUUAUUUUAUUUUUUAAAUUUUCUUCUUUUUUUUGAGAAUAAUAAGAAAUAAUUUAGCAACUUAAACAAAAAGCUUAAUAAAAAAAUUAACCAAAUCAAAUCUCGAUAACAAUGGAGUCAAUAAAACAGGAAAAAUUCUCAAUGAACAAAAAAUGAGUUAUGGGUUAACAUUAAUGGGUAAAUCAAGAAACGGUGUGUUAAGCUCAAAGGGGUUCACUAGGGGUUAAUUAUGUAGGUAGGCUUUUUAUGGGAUAAGUGGGUUAAAACCUAAGUGCCUUUAUCAUAUCAGUAUAUCAAAUCAAAGGUGUGGUCUCGACAUGCAUAAUCGAAGCAAGUUCUAGAAUAACAAAUCAAUAUUGACACACUCAGAACCAAUAAUAAAAAUGAGCAAGAAAAAUGUAUGCUUUAAAGGCUUAAAAUCUCACAAAAAAUUAUAGUUUUUGAUGUCAAUCUUGCAAAUCUCAAACUUCAAGGUAAUACCUCAGUUCAGGGAAACAACCUAAAAUUUUUUAAUUCUGAAAAUAGACUUAUCAUGCUUGAUCCUCUCAUAUCUUAAAGUUUAAAACAACCAAUGCACAAUUAUCUAUGAAUUUAAUCUAAAACACAUCAAUAAAAAUCACAAAUCGAUAAAAAAUCAUUCUAAUAGUAGUAUGAGAAAAUUACUUAAACACAAGACAUAAUUCAGGGAUUUUCUAUUAAUUAUAUAAAUAACCUCCCCACACUUAAGAUGUACAUUGUCCUCAAUGUACAAACAUAGAUAAUCACAUUAUAAGCAGAAUAUCAUAAGAGAGGAAGAAAACUGAAACUACCCUGAAUACUGGAUGAAAUCUCCAGAAUAGUGAAAAGUGAUGUUGUAGUCAAAUCUAAAUGUAGAGCACGAUUUCGUACAAACUAAUAAGAAAAUAAACACAAAUUGUGAAGAAGAUUAAGGGAUUAAAACUCAAUUAGAAACAACCAUAAAAAUAAAAAAUAUAGUUCAAUAUAUAAAAACGAAAUAAGUCUAAGAAAAUAACAAUAAACAUAAAAAUAAAAAUAAAAUAAAACAAAUGGACUCAAUUGUCCUCAUCAUUAGAUGCGUCGGUGUCGUGAGUCGUCGGCGCUGAGGAGGAGAUAUAGAGAUGCUGACAGGUUUGCUGCAAUGUCGCAUCAAUACUGUCGAACCUCUAAAAGCAAUGCUACUUGAAACGAGUGAAUUGCUCGGAGAGGUCUGCUAAAGUAGCAGCAGAAGAAACAUGAAGGUGACUCAAAGGUAGAGGAUGAGGUGAAUCCUCGUGAUGGAAGGGGACAUCAUCAGUGAAGUCCUCGGGUUCAUUCUAAGAGUGAGAAUGAACGAAUUGGUACUGAACAAGAUCUACUCCACGACGCCGCUCAAUCAUCCCCAUAUGGAUCAUGCUCGAGAUUCCCUGUGGGGACAUCUGGUCACGAGUGUAAGUGUAGGGGACUGCUUUGGUGUGUCAAGGAGAUCGAAGUGUCGAGCAAGUCGAGUCACAUAAGGGCCUAAACAGAUGUGACCCUUCUUGUGGCGGUCAGUUUGAUGGCGGAAGGCUAAGGCGAUGAAGUAUGCCGAAUCAAAUAUAUGCCCGGUGGCCAUGCUCCAUAGAAAAUAAACAUCAGUGGUAUUGACGACUCCAGUGCUCUCUCUCCUACCGGUCAAACUAUGAGCUAAAAGGGCAUGAAGAUACCGUAAGGUCGGAGAGAGUGAAGUCGCCUUCGAGCUACUCGCAUCAUAAAGUGUCCUACUCACCUUAAGCUCUGGCCAACAACGAGAUGGCGAGAAAUGGAUGUGCUGGUGUAGGUGCAGGAAGUUCUCGGCACUCAUAAACACCUCAACAUAGAGUCCUAUAGCAGCGCUAAACUCGGGGACACUCAUAUGGCACACCAAACCACCAAGUCUGAAAGUAAUGGUGCCCGAUUGGUCAUUAGUCAUCAUUACCUACUGUAGAAUAAAUGUAGAACAAAACUCCAAAGUAAGCUCCAUGUAUGUGGGCUCGAUGAUGGAGAAAAAUUGGUCCUACGGGGUUGUAGUAAUAAAGGCGCGCACUUGAUUAGCUAUUUGGACCUACUCCAAAGCGGCCCAAUCAAUACAUCAGCCUAGGCCGAGUGGGUGCUGUCGAAAUAGUUGAAAUAAAUUCUCUUGGGGCUCCGUAGAAAUUGGAGAUAAGGGUGGCAGGCCUUGACAGAAGCGCUCGAAGAAGAGGUCGUACCAAGGGUCUUUCGCUUUUUCGAAGCAGGGACGACUACCUUAGACUUGCCUCGUGUUUUCGUCAUGGUGUGCCUGGAAACUAAAUAAUUCAUCAAUAAAUAAAGCAUCACCAAGUAAACAAACAAAGAAGCUGAGAAAUAGUUGUGUAAAUUAACAUACGACACUAAGAAUCAUCCUAAGACGCGCAUCGAAGUCUAAAUUGCCUAAAUAGAAAAUUCAUUCCAAAAACACUAUUUACUAGUAUCAGCCAUGUAAAAAUAAUAACAGAAAAGAAAAAGAAUAAAAUGGGUAAACAAGCAGCAGGGAAUCAAAAAUAUGAAACUAGGGAUGAAUCAUAGAUGUAAUAAUAAACUACACAGUAGCAUAAAGAAUAAUAAAUGGAUGAUAAGAACAGGAAUUAAAAAUAGUAUUAAUGUCAGGAAACAAUUAGAACCAAAAAAAUAAAAUUAUAAAACUAAGAAUAGAAAAUAAUAGAGAGUAAAUAAUGAAUAAAUAAAAUAAAAUAAAAUAAAAUAAAACUAAUAAUAAUAAUAAGAAACAAGAAAAAAAUAAAUAAUAAAGGAAAUAGGACAAAUAGUGGUUGACCGACAAGGGAAUGGUGGUAGCGACCGGACGGCGGCGGUGGAAUGGGGGACGGUGGCGGUAGUGUGCGCAAGGUGGGGGUCAAAUGUUGGAUAGACGGUGAGAAGUGAGAAGGGAAUGGAAAGGGGAGAUGGUGAAAGAGGGAGAGGGUUGGUGGUUUGGGGCAGUUGCGCACGUGGGUGCAAUGGGUCGGGCCGAGGUUUGUGGCGCGGGGGGCUUGGUGGAGGUUGAAUAGGAGCAAAAAGGUAGAGGAGAAGGGGUUGGUGAGAUGGGGCAAAGGAAGGGGAUCUAGUCGUUCAGAUGAGGGCUUGGAAAGAGAAGGGAACAAGAAGAAGAGGGGGCGGACGUUCGAUCAGAAUUGGGACAACGGGAAAGGAAUGGCGACCGGAAAGGGAGUGGUUGGCGGCUAGUGUUUGUUGGGAAGGUGGGGGAAGAAGAUAAAACAAAUGAAAAGAAAAGUGGGGCUAGGGUUUUUCAAGGGUGAAACGGUUGUGUUAGGGCCCGUGUUAGGCCACACGGCCGUCUCACAUGCCCGUGUGCUCUCGUUCAGCCCGUGUGCGUUAAAAUUUUUAACCUAGUCUUCACAUGGCCUUAGACACACCCGUGUGUCAAGGCCAUGUGGCACACACGGCCGUAUCACAUGGCUGUGUGCAACCUGCUUCAUUUCUCCCACGCCCGUGUGGUUCAACCGUGUCUUGCACACGGCUAUGUGCUUGGCCCGUGUAACUCUUUGACUUGUUUUAAAAAUAAAAAAAUUAGCUCCAGGUUUCUCAUGACCUAGGACACACCCGUGUGGACUAUUUUAGGCCGUGUCUCUGCCGAUUUUUGAAAAAACUAAGUCCUAGAAUCCACACGACCAAGGACACGUCCGUGAGUCUAGGCUGUGUGGGUCAGAUGGCCAUGUCGCCAUGCCAUGUAACUCAUUAUCGAUUUUUUAAAAUUUUAAAACUAAGUCUUAAGAUCCACAUGCAAAGGACACGCCUGUGUGUCUAGGCCGUGUAGGUCACACGGCGAUGUCGCCAGGCCGUGUAACUCACUAUCGAACCCCUUUUAGUGGACACAGCCUGGGACACGCCCGUGUGUCUAGGCCGUGUGGGUUCAAAAAACCUACAUUUUUUUAAUAUUUGAAAAUUAAUUAAUUUUAAAAAUAUCAUGAGAUAAAAUUAAGAAAAUUAGCAGUGUUAACACUCAGGUUGCCUCCCGAGAAGCUCUUAUUUAAAGUCUAAGCUCAACUUACCUCAAAUUCGCACGGUCACGGUGGUUCGCAGAGUUGAAACUCCUCUUUCUUUCUGUCAAUUCUAUUAUCAAAAUAAGGUUUGAGCCGAGUAAUAUUUACCUUAAAACUGUCGAAUUCAGAAUGAGUUACCUCGACUGUACCGUAUAUGAAGACAUUCAGUACUGUAAAAGGAUUUGCUCCGUUUGCAUUAAGCUCUAAAGUGGCAAUUCGAGGGUUCGUUUUAUCUAAUAGUACCUGAUCCCUAACCUUAAAUUGGUUCGUUCCAUCCUUAUGCUCGUCAUGUCAUCGCUUGGGUUCUGCAUCGUGUAUUCUCGGUUUCUCUUUGACAUGUGUCCGCUAUUCAUCUAGCUCAUUGAUCUGUAGCCUUCGUUCUUCAUGAGUUGUUCUGUUUUUGUCGCAUGAACUGGAACGUGGGUCUAUUACGUUUUUCCGAGGGUUUUCCUGCAAAAAAUUUUGAGCCACAAGGUUACUCAUAUUAACAGAACUUGUAUAAUCAUCUCGAUCAUUAGAUGUCUUAACAGAAUCACGAGCUUGGAGUUUAAUCGUAUUAUCACCUACACAAAGUAUCAAUUCACCUAUACCAACAUCAAUAAUAGUUCUGGCAGUUGCUAAAAAGGGUUGACUUAGAAUCAAAGGUAUGUCGCUAUCCUCAUCCAUGUCUAAAACAACGAAAUCAACUAGGAAUAUGAAUUUAUCAAUUUUGACAAGAACAUCUUCAAUAAUGCCCCUAGGAAAUGUAAUGGUUCUAUUUGCUAAUUGAAUACUCAUCCUAGUUUGUUUGGGUUUCCUGGGACCUAGUUGCUUAAACAUUUUAUAGGGCAUGACAUUAAUACUAGUCUCUAAAUCAGCCAAAGCAUUAUUAACAUUUACACUACCAAUUAAACAAUGAAUAGUAAAACUCCUUGGAUCUUUCAAUUGGUUGGGUAGUUUGUUUUACAAAAUGGCCGAGCAAACUGCAUUUAGCUCCACUUGCGACGAAUCAUCUAACUUCAAUUUUUUUGCCAAAAGCUCCUUUAAAAAUUUAAUGAAAUUGGGCAUCUGCAAAAGAGCUUCAAUAAAUGGUAAGUUAAUAUGUAUUUUUUUCAAAAGUUUAAGAAAUUUACCAAAUUGUUCGUUUGCGUGGUCUUUCUUUCUCGCGUUGGGAUAUGGCACAUGAGGUUUAUAUUCCUUACCAACCCUUUUUUGCUCAUUUUGGCUUACCUCAACCUUACCUUUACUUACCACACUUUCUUGCAUCGGUUCUGGUUUAGAUUCAACUAACCCUUCUUCAUCUCGAACAGUAAUUGCAUAAAGCUGCUUUCUUGGGUUAGUUUUGGUGUUGCUAGGCAAGCUACCUUACGGUCGUUCUGAAAUCAACUUCACAAGUUGACCAAUUUGGUUCUCAAGCCCUUGAAUCGAUGGUUGUUGAUUUUUAAGUGUUGUUUCAUUGUUUUGGAAGUGAGUUUCUGACACUGAAAUAAACUUCGUCAACAUCUCAUCAAGGUUCAGCUUUUUUUUCUUAUUGGUAAGGUGGUUGAAAGCCUAGAGGGGGUUGUAGUCUUUGGUUUCCUUGACCACCCCAAGAGAAAUUGGGAUCGUUCCUCCAACCUGCAUUAUGAGUGUUACUAUAAGGAUUAUACUGAGGCCUAGAAUUAUUACCCAUAUAGUUUAUUUGUUCGUUCUCUCUGCUAGGACCGUAGGGUAGACAUUCUAGAUUGUUCAUCCUUCCUCCAUUCGUAUUGCACUGCAUCACUGGAUGUACCUGCGUAGAAACACAUAAACCAUCAAUUUUCUUAUUUAAUUGUUCUACCUAAUUUUAUAACAUGGUAGCUGCAUCUAAAUUGAAAACACCGGCUGCUCUAUUAGGCUUCAUCCUCAUGACUUGCCACUGAUAAUUAUUCAGUGCCAUCUCCUCUAUAAAUUCAUAAGCCGCUUCAGGUGUUUUAUUGUUUAGAGUACCACCUGCGGUUGCAUCGAUCAAUUGCCUAGUUGAGGGGUUCAAACUGUUGUAGAAGGUUUGAACCUGUAGUCAUAAAGGUGACCCAUGGUGAGGGCACCUUCUCAAUAAAUCCUUAUACCUCUCUCAUGCAUCAUAUAGAAUCUUUAAGUCAAUCUACACGAAAGAAGAGAUAUCAUUCCUCAACUUAGCUGUCUUAGCCAUUAGGAAGUACUUCAAUAGAAAUUUCUCGAUCAUUUGGUCCCAUGUAGUGAUAGAACCUCGUAGUAAGGAAUUCAACCACUGUUUAGCUUUGUUCCUCAACGAGAAAGGGAACAACCGUAGGCGAAUGGUAUCAUCAGAAACACCAUUUAUCUUGAAAGUAUCACAAACUUCCAGAAAGUUAGCCCUAAUGAGUAUUUGGAUCUUCGUCCUACAAACCAUCAAAAUGAACAAAUUGUUGUAUCAUCUGAAUAGUGUUUAGCUUUAGUUCGAAAUUAUUCGCAGCAAUGGUAGAACUCACAAUACUCGAUUCAGCCCCAGUUAGAGUAGGGUUGGCAUAAUCGUACAUAGUACGAGGAGUAGGAUUUGGAUUUUCAGGAUUUGCAGCAACCACAGGGGGUAGCUGAUUUUUCUGAUUAUCAGCCAUCUCGUUAGUAAUAAUAAUGUCUUCUUGCUCUCCCACUGUACUCUGUCGAUUUUGCCGUGCUUCUCUAUGGUUUCUGCAAGUUGCACUUUCAAUCUCACUAUCAAAUACUAAUGGUCUCGACGGGUUUCUUCUAGUCAUAAACUAAAGGAACCUGCCAUAAGCAAAUAAAAGAAAAAAUUAGAAAACAAAAAAUAAACUAAAAAAAUAAAAUGCAAUAAAAAUAAAUGGCUAAAUUAAUAAAGAUCGAGUGUUCCUAAUAUUUUAGUCCCUGGCAACGGCGCCAAAAACUUAAUGAUCACUAAACUAACGAUAAUUAUGAUAAAGGCAAGUGCACCUAUCGAACAAUAGUAUAGCUAUGGUGAGUAGAGAGUAUCGUAUCCACGAGGACUAAAAGUACUAGUAAUAUUUAGCCGAUAAAUUUGGGUGAGUGUUUUUAAUCUAAAUUUACUAAUCUAAAUUAAACAAGAACGCAAUAAAAAAUGAAAUAGGUAAUAACCGAAUAAUACCAAAGAGAAAGACAAUACCCAGGAAAGAAUCCACCUAGACUUCACUUAUUAUUCUGAACCUAAAUUAAACAAUUUAUUCACUUGUGUCUUGAUCCGUAGAAAUCCCUAAUUUAUGUUAAUAUCUCUUUCGAGAGUAAGAACAAUUGACUCUAGGUUGAUUAAUUGAAACCUCUUUCUAAUUAAAACCCCUAUUGUCGCAUUAACUCGAUCUAUGGAUUCCUCUAUUAGAUUUGACUCUAGUCCGAUAGAUUUAUGUCAUCUCAUUCUAGGAUUGCAUGACACUCCACUCAAUUAAGCUAGAUCUACUCUUAAACAGUGACUUUUGCUCCACUAAAAUAAGCACAUUAAAUAUGAAUUAAUAUCCCAAAAAUAUUAAAACAUGAAAUAAGCAUAUAUAAUAGAGAACAAGAAUCAAGUAUUUAUCAUGUAAAACAGAAAUCAAAUAAUAAGAUUCAUUAUAGGUUUCAUCUUCCCUAGGUAUCUAGGUAAUUUAGUUCAUAAUCUGAAAUAAAAACAUCUCAAAGUCAGAAAAACCACAAGACAUAAAGAAAUUCACUAAAACUUCGAAAGAAGUUAAAAUGAGAUAUUCAAUCUUGAAGGAGAUCCACUUGUGCGUUGGCUUCAAUGGUGUUCUUCGAGUAAUUUCUUCAAUCUUCUUUGAGUGCUCUCUUAGGUCUUCUUCUAAUUGUUAUUUAUGGACUUUAGAAUGCUCAGAAAGCCUAAAAAUUGGGUUUUUCCGUGUGUUUGGGAAACAAGUUGCGAAAUCGACACAGGCUGGCACAUGGGCGUGUGGCUACACAGGCUCGCUACACGCCCGUGUGAGAGUUGAAAUGCUCAGGCCGUAUGGAUGUUGAAAACAACUCUUUUUGUUCAAUUUUGGCUUUCUUUCGCUCCUUUCGCUUCUCUAUGCUCACUUAAGUAUAGAAACAUGAAUUUAAAGGAUUAAGAGAAUCAAAUUCACUAAUUUACAUUAUUAAUCAUCCAAAAAUACAUUAAGAAUGAGAUUAAAAUAUAUUACUUUUAUAGCUUAUCACCUCAGUACAAGUUCAUCGUUACCCACAUUAAUAAUAGUUCUAGUAGUGGCUAAAAAUGGUCAACCUAAGAUCAUGGGUACUUCAAUAUCCUCAUCUAUGUCCAAUAUAAAAAAAUCAAUAGGGAAUAUAAAUUUAUCAACUUUAACAAGUACAUCUUCAAUAAUGCCCCCAGAAUACUUAAUUGAUCUGUCAGCUAAUUGAAUACUCAUCCUAGUGGGUUUUGGUUCACCGAGACCAAGUUUUUUUAACAUUUUAUAAGACAUAAGAUUUAUACUAGCACCCAAAUCAGCCAAAGCUUUUUCAACAUUUAAGUUACCAAUAAAAUAAGGAAUAGUAAAACUCCCUAGAUCUUUAAGCUCGGUGGGUAGUUUGUUUGUUAGAAUAGACAAGUAAUCCUUGUUGAUCUCCAUAGUUGACAAGUCGUCUAAUUUUCUUUUAUUUGUUAAUAGCUCCUUUAAAAAUUUUGUAUACUUUGACAUCUGCAAAAGGGCUUCACCAAUAGGUAAAUUAAUAUGCAAUUUCUUUAAAACUUCUAGAAAUUUACCAUAUUGUUCAUUCAUGUGGUCUUUCUUCAUUGCUGUCGGUUAUGGGAUUCGUGGUUUGUAUUAUUUGACCACCGGCUUACGCUCUUUCUUGCUUUCAUCAACCCUAUCAUUUUUCAAAAUAACUUCUAGGAUCAUCUCCUUUUCAGGCUUGACUAACCCUUCCUCGCUUCGAAUAGUGAUUGUAUGGACUUACCUUUUGCCUCUUUGGGUUGGUUUCAAUGUUUCUAGGUAAACUACCUUGCUAUCUCUCGGAAACUAGUUUAACAAGCUAUCCAAUAUGAUUUUCAAGCCUUUGACUCAAUGUUUGUUGAUUUUUUAGAGCUGUCUCAAUUUUCUGAAAUCUAGUCUCAAACACCAAAAUAAAUUUAGCUAACAUCUCCUCAAGGUUUGGUUUCCUUUCCUGCUAAUAAGGUUGCUGAAAUUUUGGAAGGGGUUGUGACCUUUGAUUACCUUGACCACCCUAAGAGAAAUUUGGAUGAUUCCUCCAUCCUUGAUUAUAAUUAUUGCUAUAAAGGUUGUUUUGAGGUUUAAAAUUGUUACCCAUAAAGCUAAUUUGCUCAUGCUCGAUGUUCGAACCGAGGGGUAAACAUUCUUUAUUGAUUACCAUUGCUCCAGUCGCAUUGCAUUGCAUUUCUGGAUUCGCUUAUUUAUCCCAACUCAAACCAUCAAUCUUUUUACUCAGAGCUUCCACCUAACUUGCCAACAUAGCAACUGCAUCCAUAUUAAAAACACUGAUUUCUUUAAUCUGUUUCAUUCUCAUAACUUGCCACUGAUAGUUAUUCAGUGUCAUCUCCUCAAUAAACUCUUGAGCUACCUCAGGUGUCUUAUUAUUCAAUGUUUUGCCAGCUACUACAUCAAUUAGCUGCCUAGUCAAGGGAUUUAAACCGUUGUAAAAGGUUUGAACUUGUAACCACAAAGGUAACACAUUCUUAAAAUAUCCUUAAUUCUUUUCCAUGCAUAAUAUAAUGUCUCCAAAUAAAUUUGAGAAACUUCUUAGUCCUCUGAUCCCAAGUCAUGAUAAAACCAUGUAGAAGUGAAUUCAACCACUGUUUUGCCUUCCUCCUCAAAGAGAAUGCGAACAACUUUAAGGAUAUGGCAUUGUCAGUAAAACUAUUAAUCUUGAAUGUGUCACAAAUCUCUAGAAAGUUAGCUAAAUGAGCAUUUGGAUCUUCAUCUUGUAACCCAUCAUAUUGGACAUAUUGCUGAACCAUCUGAAUUGCAUUCGGCUUUAGCUCAAAAUUGUUUGCAGCAAUAGCCAAGAUGACGAUACUCAAUUCAACCCCAAUCAGAGUAGGCUUAGCAUAAUCCAACAUAGUACGAGGAGCAGGAGGUGCCGGAGGCUGCUGAUUAUUUUGAUUAUUUUCCAUCUCUACAAUAAUGUCCUUUUGCCCUUGAUCAUCUAUUAAUAUCUGUUGACCUUGCUUUGCUUCUCUAACCUCUCUACGAUUUUUGCGAGCAGUCUUUUCAAUUUCACUAUCAAACACUAACGGAUCCAACGAUUUUCCUCUAGUCAUAAACCAAAAGAACCUGUAAAAAUCAAACAAAAGAAAAAUUAAAAUGUAAAAAUUAAAUUUUAAAAAAUAUACAUUAAAAAAUAAAGUUUUCCUAAUCUUCUAGUCCCGGGAAGCGGCGCCAAAAACUUGAUGUCCAUGAAACUAACUAAAAAUAUGACUAAGACAAGUGAACCUAUCAAUUAAUAGUAUAGCUACGGUGAUCACAGAUAUCGUUCCCAUUGAGACUAAAGGUACUAGUAAUGUAACACCCCAAUAUCGUCUUCGUCACUAGAUUAGGGUUACGGAGUGUUACAUUACAAUAUAGAACAUUUAACUUCAAAAAGAAACAAUUAUACCAAACUAAAUAAUACCAUUCCAUAACUCAUAUAAUUCAAGGUAAAAUUAAAUUUAUGGACCUUAAACCGAGCCCACAGGGCCUUAAAAAUAAUUUCAAAACAAUUAGGGGUCAUUUUAAAACAAAACAUAAAAACCUAAAAAAUUUGAAAACAGAGGUCCCACGGUUGUGUGACAAAGCCCAAACCGUGUGGCUAAAAAAUAUCGUUGUGUGUCUAUUUCACACGCCUGUGUGGCUAAUUCACACGCCUGUGUGGCUAAUUCACAGUCCUAUGUAUGUGGACCGUAUAAGUAACUGUGCCCAUGUAAUAUAAAGUUAUACGGCCGUAUGGCCAGACCGUAUAGCUCGGGGUCACAUGGUCGUGUUGCCAGGCCGUGUAACUCUCUUUGCCCGUGUGGACCAACCUGCACUUAAAAUAACAAUGACACACGGUCGUAUGGUGUGUUUGUGUGUGGCACAUGGCCGUGUGAUAACCCGUGUCCCAAGCCGUGUGCUCCAAUUCGUACCUUCAAAUUCAAGUUUACCAAAACAUGCCUACCUGGACAUCAAGAAACCCAAUUUUCAUCAAAUAGACUUACUCAAAACACGAUUAAACAAGCUUAAAACAAGUCAAAACAUCCAUCCUAAGUGUCUAACCAAUGUGCCCUCAUUGACACCACAAUUCAAUUUUUCAACCAAGUUGCAUUCAAAGCCCAUAACUCUUUACUAAGAACACAUGCCAAUCUUACCUUUCAUACAAUCAAGUUCACUUUUAUCAUAGUAUAGUCAUACAAUUGUAGCAUAUAGCCGAAUGAACGAAAACACUUAUUUAUGAACCAUUACAAGCCAAAUAUCAAAGAUAUAUAUUCACAUGAACCAAAAUCAUUUCAAGACCAAAAUCAUUCAAGUCUAGCAACUACCACAAGUAACUUGUAAUCAAGACGUUUACAAAACACCUAUUACAUGCCAUAUAACCCAAAAGUAAACAUUCAAAACAACCAAAAGAUAUCUGUGAUUUCUUUGACUCAAUCUAAUCACCCGACUUCAACGAAAUGCUGUGUACAAAGAGAUAAGACAAAUAACAUGAAUAAGCUUUUAUAAAGCUUAGUAAGUUCGACAAUUGAAACAAAUAAGCUUACCGGAAUAACAUGAAAACUUAAAUAACAAGAUUAAUAGUCAGUAUUUCUUGUCAACCACAAUCCGUAACAGGUGAGUUAAACACAAACGAGUACGAGUUACAUUUGAAUAUAAUCAUAUGAUAUCAAUCCGUAAUGUUAACAUGAAUUCAUAAUCAAUUCAUCGACAACUCAAUAUCAAGUCAUUUAACAAUAGAAAUGUUGCCCGAUGAACGAUAUACGGAUAUGAGUACACAAUUAUCUACCCGAAACACACCAAACGCUCCAAUGAGCCAAUCCAACUGAAAACACUCCUUGACACCAAGUGCCUAGACCAAAAGGCUAUCAUUCCUCCAAAACCACGCCCGGGCACUAAGUGCCAAGCCCAAAGGCUUUACAUCCACCUCCAAUAACACACCAAAAUCAUUGCAAUAUAACUUGAUAGUUCGCAACAAAUGAUGAACCUUGGGAUAUUCAGUGUAUAAACACAAAUCAGGAAUAAUUGCCUCAUCACAUAUCAAUCCCGUAAAAUGCAUAUUAUAACCUAUUGGCACGCCAAUCGUACUUUAUCCUACGUUCAUCCAACCCAAUAAAUAUCAUCGCUAAACAAUGUUCCAAGAAUUAACCAAUUCAAUUUAUACUAAUUAAAAUUAAACAUUUAGUAACCAAUUUAACAUUCAAUAUACAUUUCAAAUUAAAUUAAACUAAACUGAAUGAACUUCUAGGGCUAAACUGCAGUAAUAACAAAAGUCCAAGGACUAUUCUAUAACCUUCCCUUUUCCUCUGUUAUCAACUUGCUCUUGAUCUAUAAUAUAAUUUUAUUUCAAUUAUUAGCCUCAAUUUAAUAUAUUAUUCAAUUUAAUACAUGUGACUUCUUAUGUACAAUGUUACACAUUUACCCCAAACUUUUACACUUUAUUCAAUUUAAUCCCUAAACCCGAAACAAUAUUAUUUUCCAAAAUUAAACUCUAUUCCCAUAGAACCAAUUUUUUAACUAUACAAAAUAAAUUCACACAUGCUGAAAUUUCAUAAGAAAACCUUGCUUAAUUUAAUUUAUUUUCAAUUAAAUCCCUAAACUUAAAAUCAUAAAAAUUACUCAACAAAAUAUUUCUAUUUAACAACCAAACAUAGUAAUUCACCAUUAAACUUCAAGAACACACUAAAUUCAUCAAUGACACAUUCAAAAACAUUCAAUAGUUUCAAAAUCGGAGGUACGAGUUAUCUGGACCUAGUUGUAACGAUCUCAAAAACAUAAAAGUCAUGAAAAAUUAACCAAGAAACACUUACAAGCAAUCAUGAAUUCAAACCAAACCUCCCCCAAGUCUUCCAAUGGAGGCUCAACCAAUAUAAAAGAAAAAUGAAGAAGAUAGUACCAUUCUUUACAUUUUCUUUCACUUAAUUUAUACAAUAAUUACAAGUUUGUCAUUAGUUCAUAUUUUUAAUCAAUUUUCUACAUACCUACUGUCCACUAAAUAUGGAAAUGAUUUAAUUGCCAUAAUAAAUCAUCCUAAAUUAUUUAAAUAUCCAAUUAGCACUAAAACACUAAUAAUAAUUGACUUUUUCACUUUUUACAAUUUAGUCAUUUUAAAUUAAUUACCUAUCUAAACGUUAGAAUUUAUAACCAAAAUUUAAUACAAUACUAUUUACCUCGUAUAUAUUAAAUAAUUAAUACUUACAGACUGACACGUCAGAAUUGUGGUCUUGGAACCAUUAUUUCCAACACCACUGAGAAACGAGUUGUUACAAGUAAUUACUUUCUUUCUAUUAUUUAACCGAAUAAAUCCAGUACUAAAUUAAAAACUGAAAUUAACUAAUGAACACGACAAAUAACAAAAUAGAAAAAUAACAGAUUAGCAACCAAGAAGCAAAACAAUACCUAUGAAAGAAUUCACCAAGAUUCAUCUACCGCUAUCAAUCUAAAUUAUGAAAUUUCUUUACUUAGUAUCUUGAUCCGUAGAAAUCCAUAAAUUAUAUUAACAUCUCUUUCGAGAGUAAAAGUAACUGACUCUAGGUUGAUUAAUUGAAAUUUCUUUCUAAUUAAAACCCCUAUUAUUACAUUAACUUGAUCUAUGAUUCCCCUAUUAUAUUUGACUCUAAUCAUGUAGGUUUAUGUCAUCUUAUUUCUAGGAUUGCAUGCAACUCCACUCAAUUACACAAGAUCUACUCUUACACAGGGUCUAUUCCUCCUCUGAUUUUAGCAAAUCAAACAUGGAUCAAUAAUCUAGAAAUAUUAAACCAAGACUUAAACACACAAAAUUGAGAACAAGAUCUAAGUAUUUAUACCAUAAAAUAAAAAUCAAAUGACAAAAUUCAUCAUAGGUUUCAUCUCCUCUAAGUAUUUAGAAAAUUUGUUCAUGCUUGAAAAUAAAAAUAUCUAAGAUACAGUAUAACCGAAAGAAACAAAGAAACUCAUUAUAUCUUAAGAAAUCAAAUAUGAAUCUUCAAUCUUGAUGGAAUUCUGCUUUAGAAUUGGCUUCAAUGGUGUUUUUCGAGUUGUUUUCUUGAAUAUUCUAUGAUGACUAACUUCUAUCUUCUUAUUUUUUUCAUAUAUACGUCUUAGAAUACCAUGUGUAAAAGGUUAGCCCGUGUAACCCCUGUACCCUAUUCUGAUUUUCUAGUAUUCGCUUGUUUUUCGCUCCUUUUACUCACAAAUGAUCUCUUAAGUAUAAGUGCUUGAAUGCAAAGGACUAAGAGCAUAAAAUUCAUCAUUAACAUCGAAUAAUCACCCCAAAACACAUUAAUACUGAGAUUAAAACAUUUACUUUUAUCACUUAUCAAUUAUGAUGUAGCAUUUUUAAUUAGUCAUGUUCCAAUUAAGUAUUUAGAAUAAUAGUAAACAAUUAAAAUUUUUAUAUUUUUAACAUUAUUCAUGCACUGGACGGAGCACUAUGUUCUGGCAGGUGCGACUAGAAUUAAUCAGAAUAAGUUGGUGCAACUGGUACGGGCCAAAUUUUUUUCCAGUGCAGAAAAAUGGUGUUUGGUGUUUCGCAAUGUUAUUGAAACCGGAAUGAACAGACCGAGAAAUUAACCCAAGAACAAGAGUAAACCACAUUUAAACCGCAAAUUGUCGAUCGGUUGAACUAUUUAAACCGUAUUUUCACAUUUUCUAAACCCAAAAAACAAAAAUUUCACCCUAAAUCCCUUAAGCUUUUGUUACACUUCAUCUCUGCUCUCAAUGAAAUCAAACACAACAUAAAAAAAGAACCAGUUCUUUUCUUACUUUAUCUACUAAAAUAAGUUUUUUUUUUUGGUAAAAAAACCUAAGUAGGACAUAUAACAUUCAAUCAAUCAAAGCAAAGAAGAAGAAAACUUAGGAAAGAUGAAAGAUGGGGAGAGGGUAGGUGGCAAAGAAAUGAAAAAAUGAAUUUGAAAAGUAUAGAUUAAUGAAAAGAUUCUUCUAGGCUUCAUUAUUUUACCCUUUCUUAUCACGGGCCUAAAAUAGAUGUGCUUGAUUGGGUUUUAAAACUUAAAGCCUCCAAAAUAGAUGAGUUUGAUUGAAGUUUCUAAUAAUUAGUAUUAUUUUAUAUUGUUGAAAAGUAAAUUAAUUGUAUCAGUGGUUGAACCUAUUAGAUCAAGAAUCAAUGAUUUGAUUAAUUCGAUCAUUGGUCUAAUUUUAAAAACAUUGAUAAUUCGAUAUAGAAUUAAAAUAAUACACACAAAUUAGUUUAAUUGAAAUCGAUACGAAACCGGCCACCCUAAUUUAGUACAUAAUUGGGCAUCCAUAUAAAAUAUUUUCUUGGGAUUAUAUUGAAAGAGGAAAGUAAUCGUAUGUAAAUGGAUAACUUGGAAGAGAUAAUGAAGAAGGAACCAUUAUAUCAGCAGUGGCAUCUUCUCGAUGUAUGGCUGCUCAAUAUCUUGACUGCAUUUAUCAUUUGAUUCUUUUCUUAAUUAGCCAAACUCAUGAUAAAAAUGGUAUAAAAAUAGUUAAUUACUUCAUGGACAGAACAUUAAUAUAUAAAUACCCCAUAUAUAAUAAGCAACAACGUAUCAAAGUACACCAAAUAACAGCAAUUGGAGAACUCCCAUUUAUACAAUCAAAUAUAAGUGGGCAAAAUCAAUAAUCAUAAUAAAGACACAAAGACGACUAAAAACCUUAUUAAACUAGAUCUAGUAUGCAGCAGAUAAAAAAAGGGGGUAUUUAAAGAAGUAGAACGAGAAGGUGGUGGAAAAAGAAAGGAAUAGAGGGAAAUGCAGUUGGGAUUGUAGGGACUGAAGGAAUGCUUUGUAGAGGGGGAAGUCCUCUUGGCAAUGUGGUAGGAAGUGGAGGAAACGCCCCAGGGUUUGGGAAAUUAUGGAAAUAUAGAAAUGGUGGAAAAGAGAAAGGAAUUGGGGGAAUUGUAAUUGGGAUUGUGUGGACUGAGGGAAUGCUUGGUAGAGGGGGCAGUCUUGUUCGCAAUGUGGUAGGAAGUGGAGGAAAUGCCCCAGGCCAUAGGAAUGAUGGCCGGGAUGGCGUUGGGAGAUUAAGGAAAGAUGGCAAACUUUGCGUUUGAGGCUGUUAUAGAAGGUGAGGAGCUGCUACCCCAACAUUGUUAGGAUCGAUCCAAUUAAGCAACAAGUAACAAAAAAUAGUGGAAUAAAUUGAGAAAUUGAACACACAAAUUUAACGUGGAAAAACCCCUCCAAAGAGGAUAAAAAACCACGGGUAAAGGUAAUUUUACUAUAAUGGCCAAAGAACGAAGAGUACAAAAGAUGGAGAUAAAAAACUAAACCCCGAAAAACCCGAAAAAAAGGAACCCUCAAAACAUAAAAACAAAAUUCUCUAAAUGUGUUAUGAGUUCUAAUCUCUAAUUGGUGUAUUUUCUAAGGUUGUAAAAGAACCUAUUUAUAGGCUAAAUUAGUAAGUCAAAUAAACUAUGCUAAUAAAUGCUAAAUAUAUUAUACUAAUAAAUACUAAAUCUUCUAGAAAGAAAAUAUAUUUUAUUUAACUUAACUUGCAAGCAAUCUCUUAGAAUUUGGGUCACACAACUCUAACAAUCUCCACAUUGACACAAAUUCUUACAACGCUAUCUUUGCCAAAGCCCGCCACGAGCCUAUCUUGAACUAUGUAGGGAAUUAACUGAGUCGAAUCUGUGCUAAGAUGUUGGAAGACUUCUAGCCUUCGACUUGUGCAGUUCCAAAUCAAAACUAGCCCUGGUCUAAUUUUUACGAACACAGUGCCCUAACUUUUCAAAAACUGCAUCCAAAAGAGAACCUCUCUCCAACGAAACGGUCAUACCUUUUUCCCUCCUAUGACCAAGUUGCCUCCGCUCCAAAAGAGUUGACUUCGACUCCGUAACGGACGAGGGACGUCUGAUUUUACCAGUCACUGUAGAACCUUCCAGAAUAUAAAGACUGCCAGUUUUUUUACCUUUUAACAAAACAAGAGCUCCACGAGGUACUUUAAUGUCACUCGACUCAAUGUUGAUUCUGUAUCCUUUCAAGUCUAAAAUAUUCAAGGAGAUGAAAUUCUUUCGUAAAUCAGGUACAUACCUGACAUUUGAGAGUGUCCUAAUCGUCCCAUCGUGUAUCCUAAUUUUAAUAGUACCAAUACCAAUUACCUUACUAGAUGAAUCGUUUCCCAUGCAAACAACUCCACCUUCAGCCGAACUAUAUGUGGAGAACUAUUCUCUAUUGGGACACAUGUGGAAAGAACAUCCCAAAUCUAGGAUCCACUCGAACGUGAGCUUGGAAUUAUUGAUCGUUGACACUAACAAGAAAUCAUCACCGCUUUCAUCAGCCAAAUUAGCACCAUCUACAUAUUCCUCGUUACUCUGAGUAGCUAUUUUAUUUCACAGUUUAUAACAAUCUGCUUUGACGUGACCUAACUUUUUUUACAAUAACGACACCUUUUGUCUCAUUUCUUUGAUGCUACCAAAACAGAAGCUUGCCUAUCUGCCUUACUAUCCAAACCAAACUCAUUGUCAAGUUUUUCUCUACUUAACAAAUGACCCUUCACAUCUUCGAACGAGAGUUUGUCUCUGCCAUAAAUCAGGGUCUCCCUGAAAGACUUGUAUGAAGGGGAUAAAGAGCACAAUAAUAGCAUAGCUUGAUUUUCAUCGUCGAUAUGAACCUUAACAAUCAUUAAAUCAUUUAAAAGAGUAAUAAAUUGACUGAUGUGAUCUCUAAGAAACUCACCUUUGUUCAUGCGAAACGUGAAUAGACGUUGUUCCAACACUAAACGGUUAGCCAAAGACUUAGUCGCAUAAAGAGUUUCUAACCUUUUCGAUAAGUAGAUGAGGUCUUCUCCAUCAAUACCUCUUAUAAUACCGUAUUCGUGAGGCACAACUGGAUUGUAUAUAAGGCCUUUUCAUCAAGCUCUUCCCAUACUAUUUGAUUUAGAUUCUCAGGUUUUUUCUCGGUAAGAACCUUUUUCAAUCCGGUUUGAACUAGAAUUACCAUAAUUCAAACUUGCCACAGAUUAAAAUUUGUCUCACCAUCAAACUUCUCAAUUUCAAACCUUGUUGCUAUCAUCUUUGAAUAGGCUGAUCUAUAAAAAUUACAGUAGCUUUGAUACCACUUGUUAGGAUCGACCCGAUUAAGCAACAACUAAUAAAAAAUAUAAAAAUAAAUUGAUAAAUUGAACACACAAAUUUAACGUGGAAAAACCCCUCCAAAGAGGAUAAAAAACCAAGGGCAAAGAUAUUUUACUAUAAUGGCAAAAGAACGAAGAGUACAAAAGAUGGAGAUAAAAAACUAAACCCCAAAAAACCUGAAAACAAAGAACCCUCAAAACGUAAACACAAAAUUCUCUAAAUGUGUUAUGAGUUCUAAUCUCUAAUGGGUGUAUUUGUAACACUGGGGUUUGUGCAAGUGUACACAGUCGUUAUCAAGUAAUAAGUAAGUAUCGAGUUAUCGUCUCCACAGGGAAUGUAUGUGUGUCGAGUCACUUAAUUUGUAAAAUUAUAUUAACAAUUUGAAAAACUAAAAACAAAAUAUAGUUGAGAAGUGGUAUAAAAUAGAUGUAAUGAUCCCUAAUGUAAAUUAUCCAAAUAUGCAGACUAUAUGAAUGAAAUAGAUUUUAGCAAAAUUUAACACAUGCAACAAUUAUAACAUAACUGAACUAGGACAAUUACUUUAAUUAAACUUAAUUUAUUAUCAUCACGCUUAAUAAUAUUCGAAAAAACAUUCCAUGGCAACUCGAUCUUUCAUGAGUUUGGAAACCAAAUUAGGUCCUUUUGGAAUCCUUUACUCAGUAAAUACGCAUUUUACUGAUUCCUAUUUACUAAGGGUUUCUUAGCAUUCGUGUGAGGUAACAGGGACGUGUUAGGUUUGAAACAAUUUAAUCACACAAAUCUAAAAACUAUGCAGAUAACAGAGCCUAGUUAGAGUUGUUAUGCAACCUACAAUUUAAUCGGGUUAGGAUCUAAAUUGAGCAUGCACAUUUCAAUUAUGCGUCCAUUAGCCGUCGCCUGGUUAGGAUCGCUCAGCUAAUUCAGGUGCAUUUCAAUCAUGUAUGAACGAAAUACAGACUUGAUUUUAAUUGAAAACAUGAUCGAUUGAGGCACAAACAUUAUAAGCAUGAAUCAAAUAAAUAUUAUUUAAUCAAAAUAAUCAUCCUAGCUUAAAUAAAAUUAAGCCAUCAUUGUUGUAAAGAAGAACAAAGAACACAUAGCAAACAUCUUUAUAUUAAAUUAAAGAAAAGAAAGAUUAAACCCAAUUUAGAGUGGCUAUCACCCAAGACUCUGACUGACGAGACUCCUUCUCUUCUUUGCGUUGCUCCUUUGCUGAUGGUUCUCCAAUGUGGCCAACCAAGGGCUUUUUAAGAGGCUAAUUUGCUAAAAUCCUUAUGCAAGGAUGAUGAUAGGCAUGAGAGCUAAGAGAGUUGAGAGAGAGGAUGAGAGAUGUGAGAGAUGAUGAGAUGAGGGAUGAGGGAUGAUGAGAAAUGAGCUCUUAUUUAUAGGUGAGGCAAGGGAGCUAGUUUGCUAAAAUUAGGAGUGUCCAUCCUUUGAAACCUCCUCCAAGAAUGGUUGGCCAUGAAUUGAGGAAAUGUGGCUGAUUUUUCCUUUAUUUUUGGUCAAUUUUAAUGCCACAACAACUCAGGACUAAGACUCGAUCUCCAACAAAUCUUCAGGUAAAUCUCUAAUUUCUUCAACUCUUCAAAGGCCUUGUAUAAUUAAACCGAAAAUUGGUUUAUAAUCAGCCAUGUGCAGCCAAAAAUUGGGUUGACUUGGUCCUCACUUUCUACGGUUUUGCAAUUAGAAGAAAACUCUCAGACCUAUCAAAAAUAACUACUUUAUUUAAUCAAUUUACUUAAUUAAUUAAACCCAAUUUUAUUAAUGAAAUAUUUACAAUGAAUUAUUAAAAUAUAACAUUAUAUUUUAUUAUUUAAUUUAAUCAUGCGUGGCCCACUUCAUAGCUUAAAAAUAUAAUAUGCUUAAAUUAAUAUAAAAUAAGUCAUUUUAUGCAUGAAAACUAUAUAAUAAAACAUAAAAUCACAUUUUAAUAAUUUCUAUGUCCUAAUUUCAUAUUUUCACAUAUUUCAUUAAUUUAUUAAACAAUUACUUGGUUUUAACAACAAUUUUAAGUAAAAAGGUGAUGAAUUAUAUAGGAAAAAUCCUAUAUAUUUUUCCAUUUAUACCUCCCAAACUCAAAUCAUUGCUCGUCCCGAGUAAUGUUCAUGCACAACACAAGGUCUUGCUAAGGCAAAUUUUGCUAAGAGUGUUAGUAGCAUCAAUCUUUGUCUCAUAAUCAUGCAUCAACAAAUUCAUGCUCAUAGAUCGUCUUUAUUAGCAAGUAACUCAUAUACAAACAUUUUGAAAAUUUUAUUCUAGGUUUCAAGAUAUGGCAACAUGAAUAAUAGUUUGCAUGUAUGUCAUAGCCAUAGAUAAUAUUCUUCAUUCAACACAAUUUAUCAUGAAUCAAGCAAACAAUCAUAAGGCUUAUUUAUGAUCUUCAUAUGUUGAACUUAAUACUUCCUCUCCACUAAUGUAGGUGACAUAAUCAUCAAAUCAAUUGGUCUUUUAUAAGGUUCUAAUGGGGCUUGGUUUAAAGGUAGGGAUUUUAAGAGAUGAGACAUUUCGGUUUCAAAAAUCUUAACCUUUAACUUGUCUUGGAUUUCUUGAAAUUCAACCUUUUUCUUCAAGUGAACCUUUGGAACACCCCCAAACUUAUUUUGAACUCAAGCUCGUACAUUUUCCUUUUUAAAGACUAGGCGAACUUUUCUUCGCUCUUUCCUUGUCUUUGUGAUUUUUUAAGCAUGAGCACAUACAUCUUUAUGAAAAUUUCCUCAAAUGUUGAUUCCCAAGACACUUAAGUUAAAAUAGGUGCACAAAAUAGGAUAAUUUUAAAAAGAUGGUAACCGGCUUAUAAUGUAGGUUCAUUUCAAAAACAGGCCUUAAAGCUCAAAAUUGUAGUUUCAAGGGUCUAAUAUCAUAAGGUGGGCUUGAAAAGGCUCAAACGAUCCAAAGAAAAAUGGUGUUUAUAUCAUUUUAGAUUUUUAUGUCCCCUAGAAUUUCGCCUCAAGAAAGUUACUAAGUCAAUUCUAAAGAUAUAAACCUUCAUGCAUGUUUGAUCUCAAGAGAAGCUAAGUUUUCACGGCAAACAUUACCUAAGACUAAGAUCAUAAAAACAUUCCAUUCUUCACGAUAACAUACAAUCACUCAGAUAAAAUCAUCAUUCAUACUUGCAUACAAGAUAUCUUAUUAAAAAGAAUUUCUCUAAACAUUCAUUUAUUAAAACAUACUUAUGAAAGAAAUGAUUGAAACAUACUUGAAAAUUUUAAAAUUUAAGCAAUUUAUUUGCGUAACCCCCCUUUAAAAAGAAGCAAUGUCCUCAUUGCAAGAACAAAGUAUGAAUGAAACCUGAACACCAGGUAGGGUUGUCAAAACCAUUUUUUAUUUGAUUAACAAAAAUUUAGUAGUCGACUUAAAAAUAAAAAUUGGAGUCGCCACCGAUCUUUUAUUAAGGUGUGAUCGGCUCACCUUAAAAAUGGUUUUGGUCUGCAGAAUUUGAGAAAAUAGGUUCGGGACUCGGUUACAUACGAGGAAGUGUUAGCACCCUCGUAACACCCAAAAUUGGUACCGAAUUGAUUAAUUAAUGUCUUAAUGCCGAAUGUUUGAAAAGAUUUUAAAAUAUGAUCCUUUGAAAAGAAAAUUUGAAUAAAAUUAAUUGGAUGAUGAGACUCACUUAUUUCAAAGAAAUAAAUUGUCACACUCAGUAAGUUAGAGUGCAACAUCUUAAGUCCUCAAAAUUAAGUUUAUUUUUUUGACUUUUAAAACCUAUGCAUUUUGAGAAGGAUAUCUGAUUAUUUGGGUCAAAUGAAGAGAUCAAAACCCAGUAAGUUAGGGUUCAAUUUCUCAAAAUUCCAAAUACAGAAUAUUGCCUUUAUUUUUAGAAGAAUCCUCAUCUCGAGGAAACAACAUGUCAUACCCAAUGCGUUAGGGCACAACGUAUCAAAUUCCAGAGAAUGAGCUUUUUUAUUUAUGUUUUAAUUAAAGAGGAUAUUCGGUUUCCUAGAUCCCGAGGAAGAUUGGAAUCCAAUAAGUUAGGACACAAUCCUUUCGAGGAUCCCAAAUUCUGAGUGUCGCGUUGUCUUGAAAGACUUUUGUAUAAAUGAUUUUGAUAUUUAAACGAUAUUAGACGUAAUCUUUAAUGUAACGCGAUUGAAUGGUAAAGUAUGAGAUACUUUGUAAUCCGAAGACACACUAAAAAAUAAUGACCAAGCAAUAGAUAAAUGUUAACAAGAAUAGCAACAAUAAUUUUAAUCCUAUUAUACAAACAUCAAUAUUAACAAUUAAACAUCAAACGAAUUAAUAAUCGAUUUUAAAACGUAUACUAAGAAAACAGUGGCAAUAAGAGAAAUCACAAUCAAUAAAUUAUACAUGCCAAAGUCUUGAAAUGAACAAUAUAUAUAUAUAUAUACCAAUACAUAAUAUUUUUCUUUUAAAAUAAUGCCUAAUAAAUCUGAAAUGAUAAUACAUAAUAAAUUUAAAAAUAAAUAUAUAAUAAAGCUAAGCUAAUAAUACAUAAAAAUUUAUGAUGUUAAUAAUAUAUUGAAAUUUAAAAAUAAUACAUAAUGAAAUUUAACGCUAAUAAAUACGAUUGUAAUAUAUAUGAAAAAAAAUUCAAGUGUAGUACAUAAAGUAAUAUGUACAUAUAUAUAUAUAAAUAGAUAAAUAAAAUAUAAAUAACGUAAUUACAAUAUCAAUAAGGCUAGUGGAGACAAUGAUAAUAAUAAUAAAGAAGAUUAAACUAAUUAAUAAAAAAAACAAAUAACGAAGAGGAUUCAGUUGAGUUUUAAACAAAAUUACAAGGAAAAAAAUGAGAAUAAAACAAAACAGAGGGCCAAAAUAUAAUGCGCGAAUUACUUGGGGGACCAAGUAGGAAAUACUCCCUUCCCUCAAAACGCGGCGUUUAGAUCAAGACUGAAUUGAAACAAAUUCAAAAUUCAUGAAAGUAAUUUACAAAAAAAAAUGCAAUUAAAAUGAUGGAGUAAAAUGGAGGGAUCGAAGGCGCAAAUAGACCACACAACAAAAAUGCAUGGAUCCUCCCCGGGUCGGGUCACCGUGCUAACCAUAAACCACCAAACGGCGUCGUUUUGGAGCCAUUGGAACCGGGCUUAAACGACGUCGUUUUUUUAGACUAGAUAAAGAUCACUUCAAACCCUAAAUCAUAAACCCCAUGCCAUUUUCAAAACUCACGCCGCAAAACCUAUGUCUCUCUUCGUCGUUCGAACCCCUUCGACUCUGAUUUAGACGAAAUGAAUAGGAACUCCGACGACUCCUCCAAUGGCAAGAUCCUUUCACUUUCUCUCUUUUUGGAUUUCGUAGAGGAACAAAAAUAAUUUGCAUUAUAUCAAAAAAUGAAAUCUGCCAUUACUCUUUUAAAAAUCAAUCUAUUAUUAUUUUUUUGUUCAUAAUAAAAAAAAUCAAAGAAAUAAAAGAAGAAGAGGAAAAAAAAGGAAAACGGAGAAUCACCUUCAAAAAAAUUUACUUUUUUUCUUUUUGUAUUGAUAUCGUGUGUGUAAAAAAAUAAAAAGGUUCUUCCUUUUCUUUUAUAGCCGAGAGAAAAAGAAAGAGAAUAAAAUAAAAAUAAAACAUAUCCAUUUUCUUUCUGUUGUAUUGUUUUCGUCCCAUUUGUAGGCGUACGGAGGCUCGUCACACGCGAGGGGCUUGGCUGCGGCGCCUGGAUCUUCUAGGGUUUCCGUGUGUUGUUUAAUGUUUUGGGCUCAUUUGGGAUUUGGGUAGAAUUAGAUGUUGGACCUUAAUUGUUUGGGCUAAUUUCUGCCUAGGAUUUCACGGAACAAGAUAUUUUGCAAGUCUAGUCCCUGAGGAUUUGACCCUACUUCCCUUUUACUAUUCUUUUUCAUUAUUUAUUAGGGAUAGGAUAUUUUUGGUGCUUCCAAUGACCGCAUCAAAUUUUAGCGCCGUUGCCGGGGACUGGCAACAUAUUAAUCUUGUUGUUUGUUUCUUAUGGCCAGAUCUGCUCCAGGUACUCUUGAGUUCGAUUCAAAAAUUGAGAAGACUGCUAGAGCCAAUCACAAGGAGAAAAGUUACAGAAAAAGCAGUCAGCGGUGGUUGGAACUCAAAGUAACCCACCGCCAGAAAUAGAAGUCGACGACGAAGCUGAGUCUAGGGUUAACGAAAACCCUACUCGAACACUUGAGAGCGAAAAAGUAGAAGUUGACUCACCAGAACAAGUGCUUAACGCUAGGGUUAACAAAAACCCAAAUCUAGCACACCAACCAAUGGCUCAAACGAUUCGGCAACUGGCCGAAGCUCCGACAGAACAAUCGCCAUUGUGCAUCGCAUAUCCUACUAUGGAUACUGAUUUUGAGUUGAAGAUAGGUUUAAUCCAGUUAUUGCCAACUUUUCGUGGGUUACAAAAUGAAAAUCCCCACAAGCAUCUGAAAGAAUUUCAUUUGGUUUGUCUUAGCAUGAAACCUCAGGGGGUAACUGAGGAUCAGAUUAAAUUGCGUGCUUUCCCUUUCUCCCUAGCAGAUUCUGCUAAGGAAUGGUUAUUUUAUUUACCCCAUAGAUCUAUUACAACUUGGGCUGAUGAACAGGAUUUUUCCAGCGUCACGAGCAGCUGAGCUAAGAAGAGAGAUCAUUGGAAUAAGGCAAAAAGAAGCUGAAUCCCUUUACGAUUAUUGGGAGCGGUUUAAGAAGUUGUGUGCAAGCUACCCACAACAUGGUAUAACGGAGCAAUCUCUCCUCCAAUACUUUUACGAAGGUUUGAAGCCCAUGGAGAUGAAUAUGGUAGAUGCUGCUAGUGGAGGAGCAUUGGUCAACAUGACUCCCGAACAAGCGAGAGACUUGACCUCCACGAUGGCUGCAAAUUCUCACCAGUUUCGAGCUAAUACUGAACCCCCUAGAAGGGUUCACCAGCUAAGUAAUUCAACCUUAGAGGAUAAAGUUGAUAGACUUACUAAUAUGAUGAACUCUCUUAUUGCAGAAAAAGCGAAGACAACUCAGUUAUGCGGAAUAUCUGCUACACUUGAUUAUGCAACUGAUGCAUGUCCCAGUUUGUAUGAUGAUACCAUAGCCCAUCUGGAUGUUGUGGGAAAUUUCCCUGGGCCGCCACAAAGGCAGUACGACCCCUACGCUAAUACCUACAACCCAGGGUGGAGGGACCAUCCUAACUUAAGCUACGGGGCCAAUCCACGAAACAACCAGCCAUACCAAAAUCGGUUUCCGCAACAACCACAAGGUUCAGGUAAUUUUCUAAAAACCAUGGUCAAUAAGUUAGCAGCUAAUGUUCUUGAUUUUCAACAGCAAAAUCUUAAUUUCCAAAAAGAGACGAAGGAUUUCCAACAGAAAACUGAGGCGUCCAUCAGAGAGUUGACCACAUUAAUCGAGGAAUUGACCUCUCAAGGGAAGCUGCCGUCACAAACAGAACUAAACCCUAGACAAAAUGCAAAUGCAGUGAUGUUGCGAAGUGAAAAGGUACUGGAACCAAUUCCUGAUAGGAAUCUUGCCCAAGAAAUAGCCGAGGAAAAACCCGAAAAAGAUGAACAGGUUCGACCGAAGCCUCCAUUGCCUAAAAUUCAACCUCCAUUUCCAGAGCGAUUCAACUAGUGUCGAAAAGGUAAAGAGGACAAGGAAAUUCUUGAAACAUUUAGGAAUGUCGAGAUCAAUAUUCCGCUGUUGGACGCCAUCAAGCAAAUACCGCGGUAUGCUAAAUUUCUUAAAGAGCUUUGCACCAAAAAAUGAAAAUUAACAGGUAAUGAAAGGGUGAAUGUUGUUGAGAAUGUAUCCGCAGUGUUACAGCGGAAAAUGCCGGCAAAAUGCAAGGAUAGGGGCAUGUUUGUAAUACCAUGCAAAAUAGGCCAUCUGGGAAUUAAGAAGGCUAUGUGUGAUCUAGGGGCCUCUAUAAAUGUAAUGCCAUAUUCUAUUUAUGAAUCACUUAACGCGGGUUUUUUGACAAAAAAAGGUGUUAUCAUUCAAUUAGCAGACAGGUCUGUUGUGCAUUCAGAAGGAGUCCUUGAGGAUGUUCUGGUAAAAGUUAACGAGCUUAUUUUCCCUGCAGAUUUUUAUGUGAUCAAAAUGGAGGAGGAUAGCACUCCUGGAUCUUCAGAUCUCCUGUUGGGUUGACCGUUCCUUAGUACAGCUAGUACUAAAAUUGAUGUUCGAAGUGGAACUCUCACGAUGGAGUUUGAUGGGGAGAUCGUAAAGUUUAAUGUCUACGACGCCAUUAGCCAUCCAAGCGAAAUUUUGAGUGUAAAUCGUAUCGACAUAAUUGACUCUUUGGUGGAAGAGAAUUUUGAGUCAAUUUAUGGAGAUAAUUCUGAACUUGAUGAAAUUGAAUUUGUUAAUGAACUAUUAUCUCCAAAUACUAAACUGUUACCUUCCGUUAUACAGGCGCCAGAGUUGGAGUUGAAACCGCUUCCUGAGCAUCUGAAAUAUGUAUUUUUGGGGAAGGGUAAUACCCUAUUAGUCAUAAUCUCCAAUAGACUCUCCACACAUGAAGAGGAAAGUUUGGUUCAUAUAUUAAAAAGUCAUAAGGAGGCGAUCAGUUGGACCAUUGCAGACUUAAAAGGGAUAAGCCCUUUGACGUGUACACACAGGAUCUAUUUGGAGGAAGACACGAAAUCAAGGCAAGAGGCACAAAGAUGGCUAAAUCUGAAUAUGAUGGAGGUAGUACAAAAAGAAAUAAUCAAGCUUCUGGACGCUGACGUAAUUUACCCUAUUUCUGACAGUAGGUGGGUAAGUCCAGUUCAAGUCGUGCCCAAGAAAACGGGCGUGACAGUAAAGAAAAUGCUGAAGGUGACUUGGUACCUACCCGAGUACAAAAUGGGUGGCGCGUCUGCAUUGAUUACAGGAAGUUGAACUCAUACACUAGAAAAGAUCAUUUCCCUCUUCCUUUUAUAGAUCAAAUGCUUGAAAGAUUAGCCGAAAAAACUCACUUUUGUUGUCUUGAUGGAUACUCAGGUUUCUUUCAAAUUCCAGUCACACCGGAGGACCAAGAAAAGACCACUUUUACAUGCCCAUUCAGUACAUUUGCAUACAGAAGGAUGCCAUUCGGUCUUUGCAAUGCACCGGCCACCUUCCAAAUAUGCAUGAUAAGUAUAUUUUCUGAAUAUGUAGAAAAAAUUAUCGAAGUCUUUAUGGAUGAUUUUACUGUAUAUGGGAGUUGUUUUGAUGAAUGCCUUAAAAACCUAACGAUAAUUUUGAGUAGGUGCAUAGAAUUUAAUCUUGUCUUGAAUUAUGAAAAGUGUCAUUUUAUGGUAGACAAGGGUUUAAUUCUGGGUCAUGUUAUUUCAUCUAAAGGAAUUGAGGUCGAUAAGGCCAAAAUUGAUAUUAUAAAUUCUUUGCCUUAUCCCUCCACUGUGAGGGAAGUUCGUUCUUUCCUUGGCCAUGCAGGGUUUUACAAGCGCUUCAUAAAAAACUUCUCGAAGGUAGUUGAACCACUGUGUAAGUUGUUGCAGAAGGAUAAGAAAUUUGAGUUUGACCUAAAAUGUAAGGAGGCAUUUGAUACACUCAAGCAAAAGUUAGUCUCCGCUCCUAUAGUGCAACCACCAGAUUGGAAAUACCCAUUUGAAAUUAUGUACGAUGCCAGCGAGCGCAGUGUAGGAGCUGUGUUGGGGCAAAGGAUAGACAAAGAACCACAUGUCAUAUGUUAUGCCUCGAAAACCCUAGAUGUUGCCGGAGCAACUACACCACUAUGGAAAAAGAACUCUUAGCCGUUGUAUUUCCUUUAGAUAAAUUUCGGCCUUAUUUAUUGGGAUCUAAACUAAUUAUUUUUUCUGAUCAUGCAGCCCUCAGGUACUUGAUCUCGAAGAAAGAAGCAAAAUCGAGGCAUAUUAGGUGGAUUUUACUACUCCAAUAAUUUGACAUUGAGAUUCGAGACAAAAGGGGAUGCAAAAAUUUAGUGGCUGACCACUUAAGCAGAAUAAAAGUACCUUUUGACGACAUCCCUAUUAAGGAAGAAUUCCCUGAUGAGAGCCUAUUCUCGACUGAGGCACGUCUCCCAUGGUAUGCAAAUAUAGUAAACUUUCUAGCCACAGGAUCAUUACCCACUGAGUUAGCACGCUCUGUGAGAGACAAGCUUAGACGCGAUGCUCGAUAUUAUAUUUGGGAUGACCCAUACUUGUGGAAACACUGUUCAGACCAGAUAAUACGAAGAUGUGUUCCAGAAACUGAGGUAACUUCUAUCCAUAAUUUUUGUCAUGCUGAAGCUUGCGGAGGUCAUUUUGGCCCUAAGCGGACCGCUCAUAAGGUGUUAGAAUGUGGGUUAUAUUGGCCCACAAUUUUUCGAGACGCAUAUAACUUCUGUAAGUCUUGCGAUAGGUGCCGACAUACAGGUAACAUCACUCCCAUUUCUUUCUUCAUUUGGUAAUGUAUAUAUAAUUAUUGCAGUAGACUAUGUUUCUAAGUGGAUAGAAGCAAAGCCUACUCACAAUGAUAAUGCCAAAACUGCUAUGAAGUUUUUAAAGCAAACUAUUUUUUCCAGGUUUGGCACACCUCGAGCCCUAAUUAGUGAUCGUGGCACCCACAUUUGUAAUAAGGUCAUGGAGGAACUGUUGGCAAAAUACGGAGUCCACCAUCGUAUAGCUACGGCUUACCAUCCCCAAACGAAUGCUCAAGUUGAGGUCUCAAACAGGGAAAUCAAGACUAUUUUGGAGAAAACAGUUCGUCCUAACCGAAAGGAUUGGAGCCUUCGACUAAAUGACGCACUUUGGGCCUAUCGAACUGUGUAUAAGGGACCGAUUGGUAUGACCCCGUAUCGACUUGUUUUUGGUAAAGCUUGCCACCUUCUGGUCGAAUUGGAACAUAAAGCCUAUUGGGCCAUUCGACAGUGUAACAUGGAGUUAGAACCAGCAGAAAAUGCAAGGAAAUUAGACAUCCAAGAGUUAGAAGAAAUUCGCAAUGAUGCCUAUGAAAAUGCUCACAUUUAUAAAGACAAAACAAAGUUGUUUCAGGAUAAGAGAAUAGCUCAGAAGCAUUUUUCGGUAGGACAAAAAGUUUUACUUUAUAAUUCCGUGUUAAAGUUAUUCCUAGGUAAGCUUCGAUCACGAUGGCAAGGACCUUUUAUUGUUACUAAAGUGUUCACAGAUGGAGCAGUUGAAAUAGAGAGUGAAGAAUCUGGAAAGCGGUUCGUAGUCAAUGGCCAGCGGUUGAAGCCGUUUUAUGAGAAUUUUCAAGCCCACACGAUUGAGACAAUCCAUUUGGAACCACCAUAGAACCAAUAACGGCGUCGAGCUAACGACAUUAAACAAGCGCUUGUUGGGAGGCAACCCAAUUUUUAUUUUUAUUUUUAUUUAUUUUUUUCUUUACUUUAUUUAUUACUUUAUUUUAUUUUAUUUUACUUAUUGGAUAUUAAUAAAUUUUUCUUCUUUUGCUUAGAUAAAACAUAGCGAAAAUGCGAAAAAAACCGUUGAGCAACGCUUAGAGCGCAUUGAGGCCCGACUUGAAACCUUUGGCCAGCAACUGACCAAGCUCAUUGCCAUCAUUUGCGAUCGACAGUAACAACACGGGGAUUUUUUCUAAACUUUUCUACCUAUUUAUUUCUUUUCGUCCACAUUGAGGACAAUGUGCUUUCAGUAGGGAGAGGUACUCUUCGUUAUUACUAUCAUUUUCUACUGUGAUUUUGGUUAUUAUUGCUGAUGUUACUGGUGUUGCUGCUUGAGACUUUAUUUUUUCCAUAUUUAUUUUUUUUGAAUCUCCUGCCUCUUUUCAUGCCCAAGAUUUUUACCAAGAAUUGCCUACUGUUUGACUUACAAGCAUGAUUCUUGUUUUCUGAGAAAAUUACGAGUUUUCCAUAAUUAAUGCCAUCUCCACUGUUUUAUUCUUAUCAGACUAAAAAUAAUUGUGAUUCAUAAAGUUAACUUUAUCUUGCUUUUCGUAAAAUUGAUCAAGUUUAAAUACAAAGUAGACACUUAAUAUGUUUGCAUGCUAAAAUAUGUUGAUGACUAUUAAGGUAAUUAUUGAAACUUAUUUUUGACACUUGAUUAUUUUUUCUCUAAAGUCCUCAUAAAAAAGUUAUUAUUAAAAUGUUGUUUCCGUGGUUAUGAGUGCAGCUUAAAAACGUGACUGACUGAGUAACCGGGGUAGGGUGCUUGGGUUGUCAUCCUAUUUCGCGUCAAAAAGUUGUGUGACGUGUGAGGUAAAACUCCGCUAACUGGAAUUAAUUUUUAAGAACAUGUUGGGCUGAGUAACCGGGGUGGGGUGCUUGGCUGUCAUCUAUCUUCGCGUUAAAAGGUUUGAUGUGUUCAUAAGAAAAAUUAUAAUAAAUUAGGAGUUUGCUGGGCUGAGUAACCAGGGUGGGGUGCUUGGCUGUCAUCUCUCUUCGCGUCAAAAGGUUCAGUAUAUUCCUAAAGCAUAAAAAAAGAGAAAAAAACAAAAAGAAAAAAAAUAAUUUGGAGACUGAAGGACGAAACAAAAAGAGUGUCUUGGUAGGUUUGGUAAUUUACCUAAUUUUCAUUAAAUAAUUCAAGUUGAUUCUAAUUUUUGUGUGUAUUAAUUGGAAAACUUUUUCUGUUUUACUUAAAGCAAGCUUAGGGUUCUCUUUAUUUUUCAUAUGCAUUUUUGACUGAUUUUUAUAAAACUUUGGAGUUGUAUUUCUUUUAUGUCAGAAUCUAACUUUCACAGUAGAUAGGAACCAUACUUGAGGGCAAGCAUGGGCUAAGUAAGGGGGAUUUGAUAACACUCUAGAAUAACAUAUUUUUAUGUAUUAAUUAUGUAUUUAUUCUGAGUAUGAUCCUGCUAAUUUGAGCUAUUUAUGAUAUUUUAUCUCAUAGGGACUAAAUUUGAGGCAAAAGCAAAAUUAAGGGCCAAAAGCAUGAAUUUAGAGAAAAAACAGGCCAAUGUGCGACAUAAGGAAAAGUUGGUGCCAAAAGUGCAAGCAUGGAGGACACAAGGGUUGAAAUGCAAAAAGAAGAGAUUUUAUUCUAUUAAACUCUAUUUUAAUUAUAUUAGGAUAAUUAAUAUUGAGAUAAUUAUUAAGGAUUAUUUUUAGGAUUUUAUUUUAUCUUUAUUUAUCUUCAAUUAAACGUAUUUAUCUUUUAGGAAUUUAAGUAGGAUUAGAAUAUCUCCCUUAGCACUAUAAACAGGGGGUGAAGUGACUCAAAAGGGGAUCCCAGAUAUUUUUCUGAAAACACUCUCUCCCCAAAAGUUUAGGCUUUUGUUCUUCUCAUAUUUCUUUUUAAUAAAAUCUUUAUUUCUAUUUAUUUAUUUUCUUUUCUACCACAACCAUGAGCCACUAAACCCAUCUAGCUGAAGGUUGUCAAAAAUCUCCAAAAGGGUUCAUGAGGCUUAGAAUCCGUACUUAGCUUCCGUCCAUGUCCCUAAAGAAGUAAGCUUUUCAACAUAUGCAAAGGCGGCCGCUUUGUAUGUUUUGGGAAGGUUGCACAGUCGGUUCAUUAGCUUACUGCGUCAGAGGUUGGCGAGCCCAAGAGACAAAAUGGCGUGGGAUUCGCCAUUGAGAAGUGUUGAUCUAGCAUAAGACGAUCCCACAGAAGCGAUUGUUGGCUAGAGUCAAGUUCCACCACAUCGUAAGUCUAAGUCAUUGGAGCUGGUGGUCGUAGGCGUCCUCUUCCACUAUAACUGGCUUAUUCGGUUUGGGAAGGUUCAUCUAAAAGUCGAGGAUUGAACCCAAGGCAGAACGAGACAACUGGAGGCUGGAAUCUCCCAUAAGAAUUUCCUUUCUCUCAACUCUAUUUUUAAUUUCUCAAAUUUUCGAUUCAAUAUUCUUAAUUCUAUUUUUAUUUUAUUCUUCGUUUCCAGAUCCAAACAUUUAAUUCUGUUAUUUUUAAUUUUUUCAGGAACGCAGGUUGUCUUGGGCAAGACUCUUCCUAGGAUUCCACGGAACAAGAUAUUGUGCAAAUCCAGUCCCUGAGGAUUUGACCCUACUUCCCUUUUACUAUUCUUUUUCAUUAUUUAUUAGGGAUAGGAUAUUUUUGGUUCUUUCAACGACCGCAUCAGUGUUGUUUAGUGUUUUGGGCUCAUUUGGGGUUUGGGUAGAAUUAGAUGUUGGGCCUUAAUUGUUUGGGCUAAUUUUUGGACUGGUGUUUAGUGGGUUUGAGGUUUAAUGUAAUCCGGGCUUGGAUUUUAUUAAAUUUGUAAUACUGGACUGUAUUGGACUUUUAUUAUAUUUAUUUUAUAUAUAUAUUUUUAUAUUUGGGUUUUAAUACUUGGGUUCGGGUCGGGCAAAAUUUGGGUAUUACAGCUGCCUCUCUUUGCUCGUUAUCGUGUAACGAGAACGGAGCAAAGACUCUAGAAAUGGCCAAUUUUGCCCGGUCGUGUUGGACCUUGGCGCUCUUCUUCUUCGAGUUGCCUCAUUCCAUCCUACUGCAUCUUCAGAAGUAUAGGAAUUGGUGCAUCGAUCCACUCCACCGCAACGUCGGGGAGAUAGGAUUUGUAACUCGUAACUUUAAUCUGCUUAACUGUGAUGUUAGGGAAGCAAGACUCGCUAUUGUAACUUCAAUCUGUUCUAUUACACCACCAGAGAAGUAAGAUUUGCUAUUCUCAGUCUGCUACGCUGCAACUUCAGGGAGAUAAGACCUGAUGCGAUCCACUCUACUACAACUUUAGAGAGAUAAGAUCUAUUAUUUUAAUUCACUCCACUGCAACCUCAGGGAGAUAGGAUUAGUGGCUUCAAUCUACUCCAGUGUAACCUCAGGGAGGUAAAAUCAGCCACCUUUAGUCUGCCCCACUGCAACUUCAUGGGGAUAAGACCUACUUACUCAGUCUGCUCCACUACAACCUCAGGGAGAUAAGACUUGAUGCGAUCCACUUUACUACAACUUCAAAGAGAUAAGAUCUAUUAUUUUAAUCCGCUCCGCUGCAACUUCAGGGAGAUAGGAUUAAUGGCUUCAAUCUGCUCCACUGCAACCUCAAGGAGAUAAGAUUUGCCAUCUUCGAUCUGCUCCACUACUACUUAGGGAGAUAAGAUCUGUAAUUCUUGAACCUACUCCACUACUGCUUAGGGACAUAAAUCUUACAAUCUUCAACCUAUUUCACUGCUGUCCCGGGAUAUAGGAUUCACAAUCUUUAACCUACUCCACUGCUAUCCAGGGAGAUAGGAUUCACAAUCUUCAACCUACUCUACUGCUGUCCAGGGAGAUAGGAUUCACAAUCUUUAACCUACUCUACUGCUGUCCAGGGAGAUAGGAUUCACAAUCUUCAACCUAUUCCACUGCUGUCCAGGGAGAUAGGGCUGGGGUCAUCGAUCUACUUCGCUGUCGGUGUAGGAAGGCAAGAUCUGUUAUUUUCAACCUGCUCUGCUGCAACCCAGGGAGGCAAGGCUAGUGUCUUCAAUCUACAUCGCUGUCGGUGCAGAAAGGCGAGAUCUGCUAUUUUCACUGAUAUGUUCUCUGGGGAACAUGACUUGUAUAAUGAACCUAAUUAUGCCUAAUGAUUAGGACGGCAUGAUCAAAAUGAAUCAAAUGCUCCUAACUAGACAUGUGUGAAUGGUGUUUGCAUGAAUGCAGAAUUUUAUUUUUUCGAGAAUGAUCCUUCUUUAUCACUUAGGUUAUCAUUACUCAAAGUUGAUUAAAGCUUUAUCACUGACGUACUAUAACGCCUUCGCUCAGCCGGCAUCUCCAAAGGAACACUUAAUCAAAUUGCCCCCACUGUGAACUUCAAAGUUAAUUCCACUAGGACGCAAAAUUUAUACCAUCUUUCUCGCGCUGUGAACCAAGGGUAGAAAAAUCUGGUUUUUUCUCAAUCCUCUUCUAUCAUAAUUGAAAGCUAUAGAAUAUGAAACUCUUUGGUCCUUUACAUUAUGCCUAUGCACAAAUGAAGAAUUCUCUUCUCCAAGAAUAGCUUCCUCUUAUUAUUCAGUGAUCAUUGCUUGCUUGUUCAUGACAUCUCGUCAUUUUGUUCAAUCAUAUUUGACAACAACAUCCAAAGAGAAAGUCCUAAUUUAGACUCUUCCUUUUCAGAUUUCCAACCUUUAAACUUGGUACGUUCUAAACAUUAGUCCUGUUUCAGGCUCCUGUAUUAUUUAGAAACUUCUAGAGUAAUAUGUAAAACUUCCCUUGUGAAAGUUUUAUUAGUCCAUUAAUCAUUAUCCCAAUGCAACAUGCUUGCAAAAAGGGUCAUAACAAUGGUUAAGAAUAAAGUUGGUUCUGAGCAUAGCUCGAAAGGAAUAAAUUACCAAAAAUAGUAAAGAUGGAUAACAAAGAAAUUGAUUGGGAAUGUGUAUCUUGGAAAAGAAUGAAAUAUUCCAAGAACAACAAAUUCAAUAUAAAUAGUAUGCAAAUUGGGUGCCCCAGAUAUCGUAGCUUGAACUUCUUUGUACAAACUUUCUGAAGACCAUUCUGAGUUUGACAUGAGUUUAGGAGAUCUACAGUAUUUUCUCGAUGCCCCAAGAUGUCGCCUACCCUUUCCUAUUGAUUCAGGUAUAACAAGAUCACCACAUGCCCCAAUAUGAUCAAUAUUUGAGCCGCCCUUUUCGGGUUUUCUACUCAAAUUCCCUUUGGCCUAAGGCGCCCUUUGCGGGUUUUCCCCUUAGCCUCUCCAUUUUUACUUUUUCAUUUUUUCAUUUUUCACAUUUUUUUUGACUCAAAGUGCCCUUUGCAGGUUUUCACCUUGGUCCUUUCUUCUUCUUUAAACGAAAUAUUUCUUGACUAGAUCUGAGUUUAUAGGAUUUGGCAAGUUUUUACCAUCCAUCUCACUUAGAAUCAAAGCUCCACCAGAAAAGACCUUCUUUACGACAUAAGGACCCUCCCAAUUUGGCAUCCAUUUUCCUCUAAAGUCUUUUUGUAUAGGAAGAAUUUUCUUCAACACCAGAUCCCUUCGUGGAAUUCUUUGGGACGACCCUACUUAUUAUGGGCUCGUAUCAUUUAUUUCUGGUACAUCCGAUCCUGAUGAAUAGCUUUUAACCCUUUUCCUAGGUUCAACUGAUCACAUCACGAUUGGAUUCAUUCUGCUUCAUCCAACUCUAGCUUAACUAAUACCCGGAGAGAGGGGAUUUCAAUAGGUAAAACUACCUCAAUCUCGUAAACCAAAGUGAAAGGUGUUGCCCCAGUACAGAUGUUUGACAAGCAAGUAGGGCAAAUGGUAAUUUCUCAUGCCAGUCCUUGCAAGUCACAGUCAUUUUUCCUUCAAUUUUCUUGAUAUUCAUCUCUAGGCAAUUUGGUGAUGAAUUGUGGUGUCUGAUUUUGGCUUGAUUACGGACCUCAGCUAUCGUGCUAUUGUUCAGGAUCAAUUCAUUAUCCAAUAUAAUCCUCUCUGACGGUCUAUAUAGUCAUAUGAUGACAUUAGUGUAUGGAGCAACCUCUACUAGUUUGAUGAAGUAAUUGAUAUCCUAAAAAAUAAGGCGAUGCACAUUAGAAGCCUUCGGUGAUAUUGGCCCAAUGUCAUCCAUGCCCCACUUUGCUCAAAAUUUGAGUCGCCCUUUUCGGGUUUUCAACUCAAAUCCACCUUUGGUCAAAGCACCUUUUGAGAGUUUUUGCCUUGACCUCUCCUUUUUCUUUUUUUUUUCAUUUCAUCAUUUUUUUGUUUUGAUUUUAAUUAUUUUUUUUUUGAUUUUUUGAUUUUGAUUUCUUUUUUUUAUUGAAUCUGAACUCAUAGGAUUAGGCAACUCAUUGCUAUCCCUUUCGAUCAGAAUCAAUAUUUUUGUAGAUAAAGUCUUUCACCUAAGAUCUUCCACUUUCAUCUUGCAUGCGAAAAAUCUUAUUUGGCAUCUGAUUUCUUUCUUAGAGCCUUUUGGGGCGCAACUACGAUAGAAAACUUUGGAUCUUACUCUUUAAUCGGGAUAAAAUCCAAUAAAACUUGAAGAGAUGGAAACUCGACUUCAAACAGGCAAAGCUAUGAUGAGUCAACGAGAAAGGCAUUGCCCUGGCAAAGAAUUGCAUCGUUCAUACUGCAAAUUUCUGACAUCGUGCUGUUGUGUAGAUUUCAUUAUCAGAUGUUAACCCAGGCAUAUCCUGGUAUGAUCAUACAAAGACAUCUUUGAACUCUAGAGGUAACUCAACAAGGUCUUGCUUCAUCUUCUCGAUCAGGUCAAUUCUAAUCUUCACCAAGCUCACAAUUCCAAAUGAUUCCUUGUGAGGUAGGAUUUGUCUAUCCUCUUGUUCUACCAUCCUCAACAAGUCCAGAGAUAAGCUACGAUCUAUGUCAUUUUCAAAGUCAUGAGAUCCCUCUAAACACAUGCCUCGCUCAAAAGGAAAAUCUAAGUCUGUAGCAGCGUCAUUCAUGUAAUUGAUAUCUGGGGACCCAUAAUAAGUACCAAAGAAUGUACAAAAGAAUGUAUAAAUUUAUGAAUAAUUAUUUUUACAAUAUGCUUAUGAAUGAAUGAAUGAUGUGGAAGGAAAUUCAAAAGAAUGAAAGAAUAAUUAUUCAAAAAGACUGAAAGAAUAUUGGUUCAAAAAUGAUCACAAGAAUGCAUUUCAUUAAAAUAACAAUGUUCAGACAUGAGCCUAUUUCACAAAGAAGUUCUGAUUGCUUCUAGGCUAAAAGCAACAAGUGCGUUCUGACUAUUACUCUAAGUAAGCUCUAAAUACUAUAGGAAUUUCUUCCGGAGUCCAAUUGCUAAGAACACUCCCAGAUUUAUAAGGACGGAUAUCUAACAAGGUCCCUUCUUCAAUUGUGUCUUCAUACAUGUCAUUGAUUUGAACGCUUCCCAACAUCUCUUCAUACAUCGCAUCAAUCAUGAUUGGGUAGAGGGUUUUCUGCACUAGAGUCAUCAAACUUGACAACACCCAUGUUGAUGUGCCUUUAAACAAGCUUUUUAAAGACGGUGCAAUUUUCUAUCGAAUACCCCGCAAUUCCCGCAUGAUAAUCACGUUGUGCAUUCACGUCAUACCAUUUGGGGUACGGAGGUUGCAGGGGUUUUAAGUAGAAAGGGGAAACAACGUGCGCAUCGAAUAAGCUUUGAUACAGCUCCUUAUACGACAUCAAAAUUGGCGUGAACUGGAGCUUUUUAGUAUUUUUUUCACACCAGAUUCUUGUCUUGAUGAACCUUGUAGACUAGCAACCACUUUUCUUGGCUGGUUCACCGUAAUUGAUUUGUUGUAUGUGCUCACGUUGUUUACCUCAUUCUCCUUUCUCCUUGCGGCUGACUUUUUGUUACUCUCUCAUGGCUUUAUUUUCCCAUUCCUGGUGGCAUUUUCAAUCAUCUCACCAUUCAUGAUUAUAUCUGAGAAACUCUUUGAGGCACUUCCCAACAUGUGCGUGAUAAAUAGGGCUUUCAGUGUGUUGAUGAAGAGCAUCGUCGUCUCUUUCUCCAAUAGUGGCGGCUGAACCUGGAUAGCGACUUCCCUCCAUCUUUGUGCGUAUUGCCUGAAACUCUCGCUCGAUUUCUUCUCCAUGUUUUGUAACGUAAUGCUAUCAGGGGUCGUAUCAGUUACACGACUGUACUGUUUUAUGAAUACCUGUGCCAGGUCCCUCCAUGAACCAAUCUUGGUACUGCUCAAUUGAUUGUACCAUUUGGACGCUGCCCCUACCAAACUGUCCUAGAAGCAGUGUAUUAGCAGCUGGUCAUUGUUAACGUAGUCAGUCAUCCUUCUACAGAACAUGGUGAUGUGAGCCUCGGGGCAACUAGUUCCAUUGUAUUUCGAAUUCAGGCAUUUUGAACUUGUGAGGGAGUACUAAGUCCGGAACCAAGCUCAGAUCUUUAGCGUCGAUUCCAUGAUGGCUAUCAGCGCUUUCCAAGGCUUUGAAUUUUUCCUCCAACCAUUUACACCUAUCCUCCCAUUGUUUUGGUAGCUCCACGUUUGCCUUUUCUUUUUCAUUCGUUUCAUCAAAAUUGGGAAUAAUAGGGUUAAUCAGGUUAUCUCUUAGGAUUAAACUUGAUCCACCUUGGAGAUUCACGGGCAUAGAGGCACCAGCUUGGAAUUGUUGAGGCCUAAUUGUAACAGAUAGUCUUCUUGGGUAUAUGUCAGCUUAGGUUUGUGCAUUUGGUGGAGUAAAACCCGGGGGAUAUAACGGAUCCUCAUUAUCUUCUCUAGGAUUGGUCAUAGGGUCCUUUCCCUUAUUUGCUCCUCCCGCCAGUAAUUGAGUUAACUGAGCAAUCAUCUUUUUCGUCAUAUUUUGUUGAAUUUUUUCUAAUUGCUCUUGCAUUCGCACUUGUAACCGUGCUUGCAUAUCCUUUUGCAUUUGCUCCAGCUUCUCUAAUCUUUGAUCCAUUUCCUUAGUUUUGGGACGAGUACCGUAAGGGUGUUUGGUUGAUUGGUUUUCCAGAUUAGCUGAAAUAAAUUUACUCAAUUAGAAUCUUUCAAUGGAUUUUGAUGAUGUCAUGUAAUGUAAAUGCAUGAAAUGAAUGCCUAAAGAGGGGUUGAUUUUGAUUCAAUUACAUUUAGAAAACUUUACUAGAAGAUAAAUUUCUUUACAUAAAGCGGAUAUAUAUACAGUCUCGCCCUCAUAUUCCAAGAGACAACAUCGAUCCCUUCCUUCAUCCGUGUGCUAAGAUAAACCUUGCGAAUUCUUCAAAAAAGGUGUCUCCUUUAUCUCUUUUUGUUUGAUCUUGGUCGCAAUCCGUUGUCUGCCUAUCCUCGUAAUGCUAAUCAGGUCCUUUAAGGAAGUUAGAAUGUCGAUGGCUCUUAGAUAGUCAUCUUGAAUCUUCGAGCCAUGAGGUACAAUCAUGAACUUUUCCUUCACCCUUCUUGUGUUUCUCGGAAUAUAUUCAGGAAGUCGUACUAUUUUCCAUUUUAUCAAGAAAUCUGUAUUCCAUGAAAAGCUUUCUAAUUUAGUAAUCGGACUCGAAUCAACAUCUCUUUCCUAAGAUGCAAAUGCAAUGCAAUCAUAGUCAAAGCAAAACAAAACGAGUUAGUACAAACUAAAAGCAAACAAAAGAAUACCUAGUCGGGAAACCACUAGGGGUUUGGAGUAGUCCUACCUAAGGUGGGCACCAAAGGUCUUUUACAUGCGGUUUGGUUCUAAAGUUGAGGUACCCAAACCAGCAGAUUCCUCGAUCCUCACCCAUUAUAGGCUCAUACAGGUCGAGUUCGGUUCAGGGGAAUACAUUCCCCUAUGGUUGCACGGAGAUGAAAAUCUCACGAAGACAUAGGUACGAAUGUAUUCCGAAAGUGAUCCACUAUCCUGCACGGAGGUGAAAACCUCACGAAGAAGUAGUUUCUCACUUCCAUUUAAAAGGUAAGACUAAACAAUCUUUAUGCAAUAUGAUGCCAAAAUAUAAAACCCAGUCAGUAGUAAUCAAUCACAAACAAAUGCAAUGAGAGGAUCGUAAUUUUUAAAAUCAAAUUUUCAAUUUUCGAUAAUAAGACAGAAAACAAUCAGUUUUACGGCUUGACUCUCUAAAGUCCCCAGUGGAGUCGCCAAGAUGUCGAAACCAUUUUUUUUUGAAAAACAAAAAUUUAGUAGUCGACUUAAAAAUGAAAAUUAGAGUUGCCACUGAUCUUUUAUUGAGGUGUGAUCGACUCACCUUAAAAACAAUUUUGGUCUGCAGAAUUUGAGAAAACAGGUUCGGGAGUUGGUUACGUACGAGGAAGUGUUAGCACCCUCGUAAUGCCCAAAAUUGGUACCGAAUUGAUUCAUUAAUGUCUUAAUGUCGAAUGUUUGAAAAGAUUUUAAAAUACGAUCCUUUGAAAAGAAAAUUUGAAUAAAAUUAAUUGGAUGAUGAGACUCACUUAUUUCAAAGAAAUAAAUUAUCACACUCAGUAAGUUAGAGUGCAAUAUCUUAAAUCCUCAAAAUUAAGUUUAUUUUUUGACUUUUAAAACCUAUGCAUUUUGAGAAGGAUAUCUGAUUAUUUGGGUCAAAUGAAGAGAUCAAAAUCCAGUAAGUUAGGGUCCAAUUUCACAAAAUUCCAAAUACAGAAUAUUGCCUUUAUUUUUAGAAGAAUCCUCAUCUCGAGGAAACAACAUGUCAUACCCAAUGCGUUAGGGCACAACGUAUCGAAUUCCCGAGAAUGAGCUUUUUUAUUUAUGUUUUAAUUAAAGAGGAUAUUCGGCUUCCUAGAUCCCGAGGAAGAUUGGAAUCCAAUAAGUUAGGACACAAUCUUUUCGAGGAUUCCAAAUUCCAAGUGUCGCGUUGUCUUGAAAGACUUUUGUAUAAAUGAUUUUGAUAUUUAAAAGAUAUUAGACGUAAUCUUUAAUGUAACGCGAUUGAAUGGUAAAGUGUGAGAUAAUUGGUAAUCCGAACACACAUUAAAAAAUAAUGACCAAGCAAUAGAUAAAUGUUAACAAGAAUAGCAACAAUAAUUUUAAUCCUAUUAUGCAAACAUCAGUAUUACAAAUUAAACAUCAAACGAAUUAAUAAUCAAUUUUAAAACGUGUACGAAGAAAACAGUGGCAGCAAGAGAAAUCACAAUCAAUAAAUUAUACAUGCCAAAGUCUUGAAAUAAACAAAAUAUAUAUAUACCAAUACAUAAUAUUUUUCUUUUAAAAUAAUGCCUAAUAAAUCUGAAAUGAUAAUACAUAAUAAAUUUAAAAAUAAAUAUAUAAUAAAUCUAAGCUAAUAAUACAUAAAAGUUUAUGAUGUUAAUAAUAUAUUGUAAUUUAAAAAUAAUACAUAAUGAAAUUUAAUGCUAAUAUAUAUGAUUGUAAUAUAUAUGAAAAAAAAUUCAAGUGUAGUACGUAAAGUAAUAUGUACAUAUAUAUAUAAAUAGAUAAAUAAAAUAUAAAUAACAUAAUUACAAUAUCAAUAAGGCUAGUGGAGACAAUGAUAAUAAUAAUAAAGAAGAUUAAACUAAUUAAUAAAAAAACAAAUAACAAAGAGGAUUAAAUUGAAUUUUAAACAAAAUUACAAGGAAAAAAAUGAGAAUAAAACAAAACAGAGGGCCAAAAUAUAAUGCGCGAAUUACUUGGGGCACCAAGCAGAAAAUACUCCCUUCCCUCAAAACGUGGUGUUUAGAUCAAGACUGAAUUGACACAAAUUCAAAAUUCAUGCGGGAAAUUUACAAAAAAAAAUGAAAUUAAAAUGAUGGAGUAAAAUGGAGGGAUCGAAGGCGCAAAUAGACUACACAACAAAAAUGCGUGGAUCCUUCCCAGGUCGGGUCACCCUGCUAACCAUAAACCACCAAACGGCGUCGUUUUGGAGCCAUUGGAACCAGGCUUAAACGACGUCAUUUUUUAGACUAUAUAAAGACGACUUCAAACCCUAAAUCAGAAACCCCUUGCCAUUUUCAAAACUCACGCCGCAAAACCUAUGUCUCUCUUCGUCGUUCGAACCCCUUCGACUCUGAUUUAGACGGGAUGAAUAGGAACUCCGACGACUCCUACAAUGGUAAGAUCCUCUCACUUUCUCUCUUUUUGGAUUUCGUAAAGGAGCAAAAAUGAUUUGCAUUAUAUCAGAAAAUGAAAUCUGCCAUUACUCUUUUAAAAAUCAAUCUAUUAUUACUGUUUUGUUCAUAAUGAAAUCACCUUCAAAAAAAAUUGCUUUUUUCUUUUUGUAUUGAUAUCGUGUGUGUAAAAAAAAUACAAAGGUUCUUCCCUUUCUUUUAUAGCCGAGAGAAAAAGAAAGAGAAUAAAAUAAAAAUACAAUAUAUCCAUUUUCUUUUUGUUGUGUUGUUUUCGUCCCAUUUGUAAGUGUACGGAGGCGGUGGACGUAGUGUGUACGGAGGAGAAGGCGUACGCGUACGGAGGCUCAUCACGCGCGAGGGGCUUGGCUUUGGCACCUGGAUCUUCUAGGGUUUCCAUGUGUUGUUUAGUUUUUUGGGCUCAUUUAGGGUUUGGGUAGAAUUAGAUGUUGGACCUUAAUUGUUUAGGCUAAUUUUUGGACUGGUGUUUAGUGGGUUUGAGGCUUAAUGUAAUCCGGGCUUAGAUUUUAUUAAAUUUGUAAUACUGGACUGUAUUGGACUUUUAUUAUAUAUAUUUUAUAUUUUUUUAUAUUUGGGUUUUAAUACUUGGGUUCGGGUCGGGCAAAAUUUGGGUAUGACACAUUCAUUUAUUAAAACAUACUUAUGAAAGAAAUGAUUGAAACAUACUUGAAAAUUUUAAAAUUUGAGCAAUUUAUUUGCCUUACCCCCUUUAAAAAGAAGCAAUGUCCUCAUUGCAAGAACAAAGUAUGAAUGAAAACUGAACACCAGGUAGGGUUGUAAAGAAAGAGAGGUGAGUCAUUAAGACUUCUUAAAUACCAAGUCUUUCCUAAUAACCCAAUCCUAGACAUCUUCAUUCUCAUUGCCACAUCACUUAGUCUUUUUCUUUCUAAAGAAGUAUUUAUUCAUGCUUUCUAUGUUUAUUUUUCAAAAAUUAAAUCCUAAUUACUAAAGAAAUAAAUUCCUAAAGACCUAGAAAACAAUUAAAUAAAUAACAAGACAAGAAUCCCCCAUUUUAUUUUUCUGACUCAUUCCCCUUGUCUUAUUUAGUUCCAUCUCUGCUUGCAUCGUUUGUAUCUUCCGUUCAUGUCUCAAAGAUAGCAUCUGAGAAUUCAAGAACAAAAGUGUUAGAGAUAUUCAUAAAAGUAUUUCAAAUUGAAUCAUCCCUAAUUUUUGCAUAUUUCCAGUAAGUUUGUUGUUGAUUGUGCAUGAACUUGCACAUAUCCAUCAAAAUUGUCAACUUCGAUUUCUUUGAAGUACUUGCAAGAGUCGGCAUUGGAGUCGUAAAUUCUGGUUCAACACUUAGCUUGACUGGUUCUUCUUCUAGCUCAACCAUUGGUUUAGAGUUUUCAGUUCCUUCAACUGGUUGAGGACUAUUUGGUUCCUUAUCAGAUUCUCCUUCAAUGUCUGUGUAACGCCCCAAAAAUGUAUAUUUUUGUUUAUAAAAAUAUGACACAAAUAUGUUUCUGCUUUAGUGGUUAAGUGUUCUAGGUGUGUGUAUGAGGUCCUAAGUUCAAGCCAUGCCUUUGGCGAAAUUUUGGAAUUUUUUCUAAUUAAAGCCUUAUCCUUAUUCAGUGGGCUUAAUUUUAAUUAUUUGUAAAACCAUAUCAGAAUGAGCCUACUGGUUCAAGUGGUAAGGCAGUUGGAGUGUUGGAGAUUUCGUGUUUGAAUCUUUGCACGAGUGAGAAUGUUAAUUGUUUUACUUGAUUUCCUAGAAGAGUUGUGCAGAAGAUGGAUUCUGAGUAGUUGGGAUUUGGGGAGUUAUCAGGAUUAUUUUUGUACUUUUUUAUUUUAUUCAUUUCAAAAUUUGUUUCUCUCUCUUUCUCUCCAAAAUUCUGACGUCGACUUUCUUCUUCACUUUUCUUCUUCGAUUUUUCUCGACUUCCUGUUGAAUUUUUCACAGUCAUUGCGUUCAUGGCCCUUUUUCAUCUGGUAAGUGAUCUCUUUUAGUCUUCUUCCUUUGAUUUGGGGUCUAGAGACAUUAGUUUAUGGUAGUUAAUCGAUGUAUCCUGUGUUUAUGAAAAGAUCAAGGUGCUGGGGUUUCCGAGUCGAUGCUUUAAAUGUGCAGAUUAAUGUUGCUCGACCUAAGGUAAGAUUUUAGUCGAUUUAAGUGGGUUGUUCAUCACUUUUGGUUCGGUUUAAUGUCAUUCUAAGUGUUUAAUUCUGGGUUUGUUUGGUCAAUAUUAGGUAUUGAAGUGCUUGUGUGCGUAUUUGCAGUGAAACGAUACCAGGUGUGUACCCAAAACACAAAAAUAAGAGAUUCGGCAAAAAGCCAAAAUUGCUUGCUGUUUGGAUAGCAGCAGUAAGCUAAAUUUGAAAAAUCACCAUAAAUUGUAAAAAUCGAAUUAAAGGAUGAAAAAAAUAUGGAAUUAAAUAUAUUUAAGUUUAGUUUUUUAUAGAAGAAACAAAGUAAGAAAAUAUUUUCAUGUUAUGGGAUAUUUGAAUUUUAGUGAGAUAGGUUCAGAAUGAUUUCAAAAUCCCUAUCCUGCAUUUGGAAAAUUAUUAAAAAUUUUAUAAAAAUAAUUAUGGGUUAAAAUUUAUAUGUUUAAAAUCUGGAAAAGCAAACAAGAACAUCAUCUGAAUUCUGUAGAAGAAGAUAAUUAAUUUUUAGUGCAGAAAGGUCGAAACUGUCAGACAGCAGAACAAGGAAAACUUUAAACAAUAAACUGUACUUAUUGGCUAAACCAAUAAUUCUAAAAAUUUUAUGGUAAGAAAAUAUGUGAGUCUGGUUUCAGAGAAAAUUUUCAGAUCUUAAUUCAAAAUUCUGUAGCUUAAGACACAAAUAAUUUAGUUACAGUGACUCAAAUAGACAACUUUGAAGGAUCAUAUAAGUAAAUAGUGGAAACACAUAUGAAUAAUUAACUAGCAUGGGUUACAUUAAAAUGGAUCACGAGGCCAAGGCCAAUUUGGGUCAUGUGGGUCACACGGGCGUGUGGGUCCACACAAGCGAACAUCAUGGGCUUGUAGGCCUAUUUUCACUGUUUGAUUGAUAAGGUCGCACGGGUCGCCCAAGUCGUCUGUGAACCUACUGUAGGGUCGGUAAGUUUAUCUAGACCCCUAAUUGACUGAAAUGACUGUAUGACUGAUAUGAUUAAGCAUGAUGGCGUCCCACUGAUUUGAUACUGUAUGCCCUGUUUACAUGCAUGAUAUUAUGUUAUAGCAUGUCAUAUCUGUAUAUUGCAUUACAUUGGGUUGGGGGAUUAUAAUGUUCGGAGGAAGUGUACUGAAAGGCCUCGAGCCUAAUUUACUGGCAGCUUAGCUGCAAACUACUGUCUAGUGCCACAUUCGGUACUACUUGAAGUAUAGGGAUGGGUGGUUUGAUUAUAUCCCUACAUGGAGUGUAGGGUUGGACGGAGAUGGUGUGUAGAGGCUGGAUGGGUAGGAUUUUGGUGACUACAUAUCUGUUACUGCUACUGAUACUGUGAUGGGCUAAAGCCUUACUACAUGACUGUUUUUGUACUAAGAUGGGCUAAGGCCCAAACUGAACUGAUACUGAUACUGAAAAGGGCUUAAGCCCAGACUGUGAUUAUUUGUUUACUAUCUGUUCAUUUGUAUGGGGAUUACACAUUGAGUUUACGUAAACUCACCCCUUCUGUUUAAUCUGUAUAGGUAAUCCCUAGAUAUAGGCAGAUCGGUGCAGCGGAGGACUCAGUGGUGGCUACACGACUUCUUUUACAUUGUUUACUACUUGUUUAUGAUUUUACUUUUAUUUGGGAGUAUUUUGAUGUAAUUAUGACCUUUACGUAUUUUGGUUUAAAAUUUGGAUUUUAUACGGUUUUAUGAUUUAAAUCUGCUUAGUGUUAGGUAAAACUCAGGUUUUCAAAUGAAAUUAAUGUUUUAUCAAAAAUACCACGAAUAAACAAACUGUUUAAAAGCUUCUGCAUAGAAUAAACAUUUUGAAAACUUUCGACUGAUUAAUUAACACGACUUUAGAAAUAAUAAGUAGACUUUGAAAAGUUUUCUAAGUGAAAAAUGUUUUAAGCAAAGCUACGGUUUUCAAACACUACCAUGUGACAUUGCCAGAUUCGGCCAUAACGUCUAGGUCGGGUUUGGGGUUUUACAGUCUGUAACUGAAUCAGCUUCAGUUUUACUUUUAUUUGUUAACUCUUUGGUUUCUGGAUCAAUUGGUUCCUCUUGCUUGCCUUGGUUCAGCUCAUGCACUCCCUCUACUAACCUUUCAAGAUCAUGACUUGUGAUGCACCCUUGGACAUACUGCCCCUUCAGAUUUGCUUGUGUUUUAACACGGGCCCUUAAGCAAAGUGAAGUGAUUAAUGGUGGGAAAUAAGCACUUCCUGCCUUCUUUUUAGCACAAUCAUGAAUUUUCUUGAGUAUAACUUUCCCAACAUUAAUGGAAUUUUCUGUCAAAAUUGUAUAUAACAAGAGCAUUCAUUACAUCGAGAUGGUGAAACUAUGUUGUCGAAACCUCUUUUAAAUUUAUUUGAAAAAACGGGGAUCGACUUUAAAAAAUGAAAAUUGGAGUCGCCACCGAUCUUUAAUCAGGUGUGAUCAGAACACCUUGAAAAUGAUUUUAGGUCUACGAAUUUUGAGAAAACUGGUUCGAGAGUCGGUUACGCACGAAGAAGGAUUAACACCCUCGUGAUGCCCAAAAUUGGUACCGAAUUGAUUGCUUAAUGUCUUAGUGUUGAAAUUUUGAAAAGAUUUUAAAAUAUGAUCCUUUGAAGUUUAAAUUUGAAUAAACCAAAUUGAAUAAUGAGACGCACUCAUUUCGAGGAAAUAAAUUGCCACACUCAGUGAGUUAAGGUGAAGCAAUUCAAUCGUCAAAAUUAAAUAUGUCUUUUUAAUUUUUAAAUUUUAAAAUUCAUGUAUUUUGAGAAGGUUAUUUGGUCAUUUAAGUCAAACGAGAAAUCAGAAUCCAAUAAGUUAGGGUUCAAUUUCUCGAAAUUCCUAACAUCAAACAUUGCCUUUAUUUUAAAAUCCUUAACUCGAAGUAACAAAAUGUCAUAUCCAGUGAGUUAGGAUCCAACAAUUGAAAUCUCGAAAAACUUUAUUUAGAAAUCGUAUGGUUUUAUUGCAAUAGAAAUACUUGGCUAUCUAAAUUCAUUGAAAAAAAAUUGAAGCCCAGUAAGUUAGGGCACAAUACUCUCGAGAAUCGGGAAUACCAAGUAUUUUGAGAAUUUACGGAAUAAAAUGAUUUUAGUGCUUUAAUGAAACACAUUUUGUAAACAAAUGUAAUAUGAUUGAAUGGCAAUGUAUGAUGUAAAAGAUAAUCGUUUGAGCAAUAGAUAAAUGCAAACAAGGAUAGCAACAAUGAUUUAAAUCAUAUUAUACAAAUAUCAACAUCAAUAUUAAAACUAGAUAAAUCUAUCAUCAAUUUUAAAAGAUACGCCAAGACGAUAAAAAAUAAUAAAAACAAUAUGUCCUACGCAUAGAAAUUUUAAAAUAAAUUACAUGCAUAAACUCAAAAUAGACUUGAAAUAAAAUAAUAAUAACAUUUAAAAAUAGUAUUAAAAAAUAUUAGGUAAACAUUUAACAUAUAGAUAUACUAAAAUAAAUUUUAAGAUAUAACCUAAAACAAAACAUUAAAAUAUGUACAAAAUAAUAUCAGAUUAUUGUAAAUAUAUAUAUAUCAAUAAUAUCGUGUCAAGUUUGAAAAUAAAAAUAUAUAAUGGACCCUUUUUAAAAAAAUGUAUGAUAAAUUUAAAACAUGUUAAUUUGGAAUAUUAAAAUAAUAUUAGAAAUGAAAACUAAAUUUGUCAAAAUAAGAUCUAAUUUGAUUUAAAAUUAAACUAAUAAAAGUUUAGUUAAAAUUGAAACACAAUCAAAAGAAAAAUAAAAAUAAAAUAAAAUAAACUAGAGGAACGAAAAUUAAAUUGAAAUUAAAACAAAACUAAAUAGGCAAUAAACAUAAAUAAAAAUAAAAGAAAGACUAAAUUCGAACUUGAUGUAAAAACUGAGGGACCACAAUAGCAAAUAAACGCAUACUUCUGAAGAUUUUAAUCUUCUUGAUGGAAACAACGUCGUUUGCUUGCCGAUCAAAAUAGAAUCAGAAUAAAAUGUGCAAUAAGAUUUGAAUACAUUGAAGAGAAACUGAUUUGAAAUAGAAUACAAAGAAAAGGGACCUAAUGCAAAAUAAACCAUUUCUCAAGACGCGCGGAUCCUUCCCACGGAUCGGGUCACUGCUCGGGUAUGGCCAACACGUUGCCGUUUUGAAGUCAUGGAAGAAGACUUUAGACGGCGCCAUUUAAAUAAUCUGCCUAAAAUUUAAAAACCUAAUUGAUAUUAAACAAUCAUCUAAAAUAAAACUAACAAAACCUAAUCAAUUCUCUUUCUCUCUUGCGCUGCUCAGCCAACCAACGUUUGGAGGCCCCGAUUCCUCACUCACCUUCGAUUGCGACGGAGGGAGCAAAAGAUCAACCACCAGGUACACUCUUUGAUUUCUAACCUUCUAUUAUUGUAUUGAAUAGGGAACAAAAGAGCGAAGAACAAAAAAGGAAGAAAAAAAAGAAAAGCAAUCUAUUCACCUUUCAAUUUUUCUGAGUAUUUUUUCUUUUUGCAUUCAAUCUCUGUAAAAUGCGUAAAAAAAGAUCCAUUUUUACAAAUCUUGAUGGCUUUUAUAGCUAAAUUUUCAAAGAUGAAAAGAGAAUAAAAAAUACAAUGUUUUUCCUUUCUCUGCUACGCUAUUUUCGUCCCAUUUGCAGGUACGAAGGAGUGCAUACGUACGGAGGCGCGGUGACGUGGAGAGGACGCGUGGUGGUAUGGCUCAGCUACGUACGGAGGCUGGUCACGUGCGGAAGGCUUGGUAAGUGGCUAGCGGCGGCUGAGGCAGAUAGUUGUUUUAGGGUUUUAUUUUGAAAAUGUUUUAGGGCUAGGUAUGUGGGUCAAUGGUUUGGGCCUUUUUGGGCCGAUUGGUUAUUGUAAAUGGACUGCUAUUGGACUGUUGUUAAUUGUAAAUGGACUUUUAAUAUUUUUUACUUUUAUGUUGGUUUUAUUUAUUUUUUAGUGGUCCCGGGUCAAAAUUGGGCAUUACAGCUACCCUUAUUUGCUCAUUGUCGUGUAACGGGAAUGAAGCAAAGACUUUGAAAAUGGUCAAUUUUACCCGGUCAUGCUGGACCUUGGUGCUCCUCUUCAAGUAGCCUCAGUCCAUCCUAUUGUAUCUUUAGAGAUAUAGGAAUCGGUGCCUCGAUCCACUCCACUGCAAUGUCGGGGAGAUCAGAUUUGUAACUCAUAACUGUGAUGUCGGGGAAGCAAGAUUCGCCAUUGUAGCUUUAAUCUGUUCCGAUGCAUUAUCUGGGAAGUAAGAUUCACUGUUGUAGCUUUAAUAUUCUUGACUGCAAUGUCGGGGAAGCAAGAUUCGCCGUUGUGGCUUUAAUCUGCUCCACUACAUUAUCUGUGGGAUAAGGUCUGAAAUUCUUCGGUCUAUUCCACUGUAAUCUCAGGGAGAUAAGACCUGAUACGAUCUGCUUUACCGUAACUUCAGAGAGAAGAUCCUUUAUUUUAAUCUGCUCCACUGUAAUCUCAGGGAGAUAGGAUUACUAGCUUCAAUCUGCCCCGCUGUAAUCUCAGGGAGAUAAGAUCUAAAAUUUUUCGGUCUAUUCCAUUGUAAUCUUAGGGAGAUAAGACCUGAUGCAAUCUACUCUACUGUAACUUCAGAGAGAUAAGAUCCUUUAUUUCAAUCUGUUCCACUAUAAUCUUAGGGAAAUAGGAUUACUAGCUUCAAUCUACUCCGCAGUAAUCUCAGGGAGAUAAGAUUCACCAUUUUCGAUUAGCUCCACUAUUGCUUAGGGAGAUAAGAUCUGGAAUUCUUCGGUCUAUUCCACUGUAAUCUCAGGGAGAUAAGACCUGAUGUGAUCUACUCUACUGUAACUUCAGAGAGAUAAGAUCCUUUAUUUUAAUCCUCUCCACUGUAAUCUCAGGGAAUUAGGAUUAUUGGCUUCAAUCUACUCCGCUGUAAUCUCAGGGAGAUAAGACUCACCAUCUUCGAUUUGCUCCGCUAUUGCUCAGGGAGACAAGAUCUGUUAUAUUCACUGAUCUGUUCUCUGGAGAAUACGACCUGUACAAUGAACCUAAUUAUUCCUAAUGAUUAAGAUGGCAUGAUCAAAAUGUAUCAAAUGCUCCUAACUAGACAUGUGUGAAUGGUGUUUGCAUGAAUGCAGAAUUCUAUUUUUCUGAGAAUGACUCCGCUUUGUCAUUACACGAAUUUUAUUAAGGCUUUAACACUGACGUGCUUACAACGCCUUUUUGCUUAACCAGCUUUGUUGAAGAAACAUCUAGCCAGGUUGCCCCCAGUGUAAAUCUCAAAGUUUAAUCCAUUGGGGCGCAAAAAACCAUCAUUCUCCCACUGCAACACGAGGGUAGAAAUAUAUGUGGUUUUUAUCACAAUCCUCUCUUAUAACAAAUCAAGGAUAUAGGAUCUAAAAUUGUUUUGGUUCCCUACACCAUUCCCAGGGUGUCAUACCAAAUACUUAUGUGCAAAUGAAGGCUCUCUUCUCUGAGGUAACCUCUUUCUCUUGCCUGAUGAUUAUUGUUUGCUUGUUUAUUUAAACUUUGUCAUUAACCCGACAUCCUAUCAUUUUGUUCAAUCAAUGCAUUUGACAACAAAAUCCAAAGAGAAAGUCCAAAUUUAGACUCUUCGUUCUCAAAUUUCCAACCUUUAAAUUUGGUGUGUUCUAAACAAUAGUCCUGUUUCAGGCUCCUAUAUUAUUUAGAAACUUUUCAGAGUAAUAUGCAAAACUUCCUUUGUGAAAUUUUUAUUAGUCCAUUAAUCAUUAUUCCGAUGCAACAUGCUUGCAAAAAUGGUCAUAACAAUGGAUAAGAAUAAUGUUGGUUCUGGGCAUAGCUCAAAAUGAAUAAAUUAUCACAAAUAGUAAAGAAGGAUAAUAAAGGAAUUGAUUGGGAAUGUAUAUCUUGGAAAAGAAAAAAAUAUUCCAAGAACAACAAUUUCAAUAUAAAUAAUAGAAGAAUUGGGUGCCCCGAGGAUUGCAGCUUGAACUUCUCUGAACAAACUUUCUGAAGACCAUUUUGAGUUUGACAUGUGUUUAGGAGAUCUACAGUGCUUUUUCGAUGCCCCAAGAUAUCGCCUACCUUUCCCUGUUGAUUCAGGUAUAACAAGAUUACCACAUGCCCGAAGAUUCGAGUUUUUCUGAUCGCUUCAUGCCUCAUUUUGAUCAAUAUUUGAGCAACCAUUUUCGGGUUUUCAACUCAAAUCCCCUUUGGCCUAAGGUGCCCUUUGCGGGUUUUCUCCUUAGCCUCUCCAUUUUUACUUUUUCAUUUUUCAUUUUUCAUUUUUUUUUAAGAAUCAAAGUGCCCUUUGCGGGUUUUCACUUUGAUCCCUUUCCUUCAAGUGAAGUAUUUCUUGACUGAGUCUGAGUUUACAGGAUUUGGCAAGUUUUUUCCAUCCAUCUAACUUAGAAUCAAAGCUCUACCAGAAAAGGCCUUCUUUACGACUUAAGGACCCUCCGAAUUUGGCAUCCAUUUUCCUCUAAAUUCUUUUUGUAUAAGGAGAAUUUUCUUCAACACCAGAUCCCUUUCGGGGAAUUCUCUGGGACGAACCUUUUUGUUAUAGGCUCGCAUCAUCCGUUUUUGAUACAUAUGACCAUGUUGGAUGGCUUUUAACCUUUUCCCUUCUAUUAAGUUCAACUGGUCGUAUCGAGACUGAACCCAUUUUGCUUCAUCUAAUUUCAAUUCAGCUAAUACCUGAAGAGAAGGAAUCUCCACUUCAAUGGGUAAAACAGCUUCCAUCUCAUAAACCAGAGAAAAGGGUGUUGCCCCAGUAGAGGUCCUAGCAAAUGUUCGGUAAGCUAAGAGAGCAAAUGAUAGCUUUUCAUGCCAAUCCUUGUAGGUUUCAGUCAUUUUCCCCGCAAUUCUCUUAAUAUUCUUAUUGGCCGCUUCCACUGCACCAUUCAUUUUUGGGCGAUAUGGCGACGAGUUAUGGUGACUAAUCUUGAACUGACUACAAACUUCCGCUAUUGUGCUAUUAUUCAAAUUCAACACAUUUUCGGAUAUGAUUCUUUCAGGCAUUCCACUCGACAAAUGAUCUCCUUUUUUAAGAAUUUACUAACCGCCGAUUUCGUGACAUUUGAUAUGAAGCAGCUUCCACCCAUUUGGUAAAGUAAUCGAUGACCACAAAGAUGAAACGAUGCCCAUUUGAAGCCUUCGGUGAUAUUGGACCAAUAACAUCCAUGCCCCACAUGGAGAACGGCCAUGGAGCAGUCAUAACGUGUAGAGGUGAGGGAGGUACACGUAUCUUAUCUCCAUAAAUUUGACAUUUAUGACACUUCUUGGCAUAGCUAAUGCAAUCCCCUUCCAUAGUAGACCAAUAGUAUCCAAAUCUCAUGAUCUGUCUGGCCAUUGUAAAACCAUUUGCAUGAGUUCCGCAAAUGCCCUUAUGGACUUUUUCCAGGAUCUUUCUAGCCUCCACGGCAUCUACACAUCUUAACAGCACUUGAUCUUUCCCUCUCUUGUACAACACUUCCCCAUCUAAGACAUAUUCAAUGGCUAUUCUUCUCAGUGUUCUCUUGUCAUUUUCUGUCGCUUGAUCAGGGUAUUUUCGAUUUUUCACAUAUUGUAGUAUACUCUAAUACCAAGGGUGAUCAUUUUUUCCUUCCUCUUCAAUAUUGUAGCAAUGAGCCGGAACUUCAUAUAUGCUCAUCUAAAUAGGCUUCAUGAUUUCUAACUUGUUCACCUUAAUCAUCGAGGCUAGAGUAGCCAGUGCGUCAGCCAUCUCGUUUUCAUCUCGUGGAAGAUAACAGAAAGUGAUGUCAUCAAACUCGUCAAUCAAUUCAAGAACCAGCUCUUUAUAACUGAUCAACUUAGGGUCUCUGGUUUCCCAUUCUCCUUUGAGUUGGUAUAUCACCAAUGCGGAAUCUCCACACACUUUUAGCACUUUGAUUUUACGUUCAAUGGCCACACGAAUACCCAUAAUACAUGCUUCAUAUUCGGCCAUAUUUUUUGUGCAAUCGAAGUCUAACUUGCUAGCAACAGGAUAAUGAUCUCCAGUUGGGGAUACCAAGACUGCCCCAAUUCCAUUACCCAUAGCAUUUGAAGCUCCAUCGAAAUUUAACUUCCAUAUGUGGUCUAUUCGAGGGUUUUCUUCAGUGUUUGCCACAUACAUCAAGUCCUCAUUUGGAAAAUCGAAGUUCAAAGACUCAUAGUCUUCCAAGGCUCUGCUGGCUAGAAAAUCAGCUAUUGCACUUCCUUUUAUAGCCUUCUGACUUACAUAUACUAUGUCAAAUUCAGAGAGCAGAAUUUGCCAUCUAGCCAUUCUCCCAUUUAAAGCAAUUGAUUCCAUUAUAUACUUUAAAGGAUCCAACUUUGAAAUCAGCCAAGUCGUAUGAUACAACAUGUAUUGCCUUAGUCUUCGAGUUGUCCAAAUUAAAGCACAACACAACUUUUCAAUGGAUGAGUACUUCAUUUCACAAUCAGUGAAUUUCUUGCUGAGAUAGUAUAUUGCUCUUUCUUUCUUUCCUGUUUUGUCAUGUUGGCCCAAGACGCAUCCCAUGGAAUUGUCAAACACCGUUAGAUACAAUAUCAAUGGCCUAUCUAGACUAGGCGGUGAUAGUAUUGAAGCAUUAGCCAAGUAUUGCUUUAUCUUGUCAAAAGCUUUCUGACAUUCCUCAUCCCAUUCUCUCGGAUUAUGUUUCUUCAGAAGACGAAAUACUGGAUUGUAUUUCUCAGUCAAUUGUGAAAUGAACCGAGCAAUGUAGUUCAACCUUCCUAGGAAACCUCGGACCUCUUUCUGAGUGCUUGGAGGAGGCAGAUCUCGUAUUGCUUUAACUUUAUCCGGGUCAAUCUCAAUCCCCUUCCUACUGACUAUGAAGCCCAACAACUUUCCUGAUCUGGCUCCAAAUAUGCAUUUUGCUGGGUUGAGCUUAAGCUGAAAUUUUCUCAAUCUUAAGAAUAAUUUCCUCAAGACUCGGAGAUGAUCUUCUUCAGUUCUAGAUUUUGCAAUCAUAUCAUCAACAUAGAUCUCAAUUUCUUUAUGCAUCAUGUCAUGAAACAGGGCAUUACUUUGUAACAAAAUGUUCCCCAUAGGGUAAUGAAUGUGGUUUUCCUCAUAUCUUCAGGAUGCAACUUUAUUUGAUUGUAUCAAGAAAAGUCAUCCAUGAAAGAAAAUAAUGAGUAGCUAGCUGUAUUAUCUACCAAAGUAUCAAUGUGUGGCAACGAAAAAUUAUCUUUUGGGCUAGCCUUGUUCAAGUCCCUAUAAUCCACACACAUUCGUACCUUUCCAGCCUUUUUGGGAACAUGGACAAUAUUUGCUACCCAUUCUGAAUACCUGACCUCUUGUAAGAAUCCAACAUAUAACUGCUUUUUGACCUCCUCUUUUAUUUUCAACACAAUAUCAGGUCUCAUUCUUCUGAACUUCUGCUGAACUGGUUUACAAUCUUCUUUUAUAGGUAAACGAUGUACCACAAUGCUAGUAUUUAGCCCUGGCAUAUCCUGGUAUGGCCAUGCGAAAACAUCUUUGAACUCUCGGAGUAAUUUAAUGAGGUCAUGUUUUGUCUUUGUGGUGAUAUCAGUUCCGAUUUUCACCUCUUUUCCUUCCUCUAAGCUCACAAUUUCUAAUGAUUCCUUAUGAGGUAGGAUUUGUUUAUCCUCUUGUUCCACCAUUCUCAAAAAGUCCAGAGAUACACCACCGUCUUCGUCAUUUUCAAAGUCAUGAGAUCCUUCCAAACACAUGUCUUGCUCAAAAAAAGACUCUGUGUUUGAAACAGCAUCACUCAUGUCAUUGAUAUCUGAGGACUUAUAGGGAUACACCAAAGAAUAUACAAAAAUAUAUAAAUUUAUAAAUAAUUAUUUUUACAAUCAGGUUAUAAUGAAAAAAAAUCAUUUGGAAGACAAUCAAUCAAAUGGAAAAUAUUUACUUGCCUGGAAAAAAUAAAAGAAUAAUUGCUCGAAAUGAAUGCAAUGUAUUUUAUUAGAAUAAUGAUAUUCAGACUUAAGCCUAUUUCACAAAGGAUUUCUUAUCAUUCUUAGGCUAAAAACAACAAGAAUGUUUUGAACAUUACUCUGAAUAAGCUCUAAAGAAUACAGGUAUUUCUUCCGCAGUCCAAUUGUUUAGCUCACUCCCAGGUUCGUAAGGGCAAAUCUCCAACAUGGUCCUUAUUUCAGCUGUCUCUAUAGCAUUGAUAUGAACAUUUUCCAACAUCUCUUCAAUGCCUUCCCUUCUGGACACCCUUCGCUCAGGGUAAAUAAACCCACCCGACACAAAGGAUUUAGAUAUAUGGGGGAAAGUCAAAGGCUCCCACUUGACUUCCUCUCCGUUUAAACGUGCCCUUCUUCUCUCCUUCCUUUUCUCCACUUCUUUUCUCUUUUGUUUCAUAUCUAGCUUGUAACCUAAGCUAAAACGAUCAAACUUUUCCUUCAGCAUGGGUGCUUCAAUCCUUCCUUGAAGGUAUUUUCCCAACCCUUUCCCUGGCGAAGCUCCUCUUCCUACCAUCAAUUGUAGACCCAUCUCAGUAGUCUUGGAUAUCUUUGGUACUGGAAUUUUGUUUCCUUCAGCAAUAAACGUUGCGUUCACAAAUUCCAAGGACCGGAAAGAACAUUCCACUCCCUCAUCAUUGGUCUCUACAUAAGGUACAUCACGCGUUACCAUCGCAAUGAUAUCCUCCUCUGCACUUAUUGUUAUCAAUCGACCCUCUGAUAUUAGCUUCACCUUCUCAUGUAACGAUGAAGGUACUGCCCCUGCCGAGUGUAUCCACGGUCUCCCCAAUAAACAGUUGUAGGAAGGCUUAAUAUCCAUUACUAGAAAGUCCACCUCAUAAGUAGUUGGGCCAAUUCUUAAUGGUAUUUCAAUUCUUCCUAUAAACCCUCUUUCUGUUCCAUCAAAUGCCCUUACUAUAUUCUGGCAGACUUUCAUAUGUGAACUGUCCACAGGUAGUCGAUUAAGAGUGGACAAAGGCAAUACGUUCAAUGCGGAUCUAUUAUCGAUCAAAACCCCCGGUAAUGUGUCCCCCCGACAUCGGGUAGUAAUGUGUAGAGCUUUAGUAAAACCCCUACCUGCAGAUGGUAUUUCAUCAUCUUGAAGAAAAUAAAUUGUCAGCACUUAUAUUAUUGAUCAACCGAUCCAACUUAUUGACUGAAAUGUCAUUGGCCACAUAUGUUUCAUUUAGUACCUUCAUCAGUGCAUUUCGAUGUACUUCUGAGAUGAAGAGCAAAGCUAAUACUGAAAUACGGGCUGGCUAUUUGUGCAGUUGCUCCACAACACUGUAUUUGCUAUGUUUCAAGAACUUCAAGAAUUUCUUUGCUUCUUCUUCUUUUAUUGGUUCAUUAACCAAUGGCUAAGGUUCCGCUACCUUCCCUUUCCUCUGUUCUACUAUCAGAGUCUAUUCUCUUAGCAAUUCUACUUGAGUGUCAUAACGCUUCCCAUUACGUGUAUAAAAACCCCUUUCCUGAUAUUCUUUUACCAUAUUGCCCUCAACUUCUUUUCCUGGGAUUGUCACAUUGCAUCCGUAAUUCCAUUGGACCAUUUUGUCAUCCUUAUAUGUGAAACUUGACGGUUUGGUGAUUACAAUUUUUGGUGUUACCUGAACCCUAGCCUCAUUACUCUUAGGGCGUGAGAUAAUGACCACAAGAUGAUUUAUUUUCAGAGUCCCUAUCCCGACUCUGUCGCGUAUAUGCUCCUCCUUUCUUCCGCAUCUUCAUAGAACCUCAUCUCCUUGUUAUCCAUCAUGCUUUGAACCAAAGCCCUGAAUCCUUCACAUUCUUGGAUUUCGUGCCCUAUUUUAUGGUGGAAUUCACAAUAAUUUCCCAUCUCAUACCCUUCCUUAAAAUCUAAAAUAACUAACCCUCUUUUUGCCAUCUCUUUCUAGACCCGUUUCAAUGGAGUUUUUACUUCAGCAAUGUCAGUCUUGACUUCUUCCCCCGUACCUUCGCUCAACAUAUUCACUCCCUUAUCAUCAUGAUUAGGCAACAGAAUUUCUGUGUUGGGUGAGUCAUCAAAUUUGACAACACCCAAUUUGAUAAGUCCUUCCACUACCUUCUUGAAAGCAGUACAAUUUUCUGUUGAGUGUCCUAAAAUUCCCGCAUGAUAGUCACAUUGCGUGUUCGUGUCAUACCAUUUUUGAUAUGGGGGUUGUAGAGGACUCAAGUAACGAGGAGCAACAACAUGUGCAUUAAAUAAAUUCUGGUACAACUCUUUAUAUGUCAUUGGAAUGGGAGUGAACUAGGGCUUCUCAGUAUUUUGCCUCAUUCCCGAUUCUUGUUUCGAUGAGCCUUGUUGAUUAGCAACCAUCUUCCUUGGUUGAUUCACUGUAAUUGAUUUGCUGUAUGCAUUCACAUUGUUUACUUCACUUUCUCUUUUCUUUGGAACUGGCCUUCAAUUAUUCUCUCCACCAUCUAUUUUUCCACUUUUAAUAGCAUGUUCAAUCAUUUUUCCAUUCAUGAUUAUAUCCGAGAAACUCUUUGAGGCACUUCCUAACAUGUGCGUGAUAAACGGUGCCUUCAAUGUGUUGAUGAAAAGCAUCGUCAUUUCUUUUUCCAAAAGUGGUGGCUGAACUUGAACUGCAAUCUCUCUCCACCUGUGUGCAUACUAUCUAAAACUGUCAUUUGAUUUCUUUUCCAAGUUCUGCAAAGUGAUUCUAUCAGGCAUUAUUUCAGAUACAUGACUGUACUGCCUCAUAAAAGCCUGCGUCAAAUCCUUUCAACUGCUGAUUUUGGUCCAGCUCAAUUGGUUAUACCAUUUAGAUGCCGCCCCAAUGAGGCUAUCCUGAAAACAAUGUAUUAAUAGCUGAUCAUUGUUAAUGUACCUAGUCAUUCUCCUACAGAACAUUGUAAUAUGGGUUUUAGGGCAACUGGUCCCACUAUAUUUCUCAAAUUUUGGCAUCUUAAACUUGUAAGGAAGUACCAAAUCCAGAACCAGACUCAGAUCUUUUGCAUCUAUUCCAUGAUAACGUUCAAUGUUUUCUACUGCCUUAAACUUCUCUUCAAUCCAUUUCCAUUUCUCCUCAAACUGUUUUGGUAAUUCUUCAUUUUCUUUAUCCUUCUCAGCUACUUCAUCGAAAUCCGGGACAGCAAGAUUAAUCGGGUUCUCACCAGGGUUAGAACCUGAUCCAGCUUGGGAGUUCAUCGGUAUUGGAAUAUCGGCUUGAAACCGCUGAGGCCUUAUUGAAACAGAGGAUCUACGCGGAUGCACCUCAGUCUUAACCUGCGCAUGCGGAGGCGUAAAGCCUGGAGGAUAGGUGGGUCCAUUCUUGUCUUCUUCUUCAUCAUUAAUCAUAGGACUUUUCCCCUUAUUUAUUUCUUUUAGUAAUUGCGUCAGCUCAGUCAUCAUGUCCUUUUGAGACUCUAGCAUCCUUUCUGUCAUGUCAUGUUGAAUUUUUUCCAGUUGCUCAUUCAUUUGCAUCUGUAACUGAUCUUGCAUUUCCUUUUGAAGUCAUUCCAACUUUUCCAAUUUUUGAUCCAUAAUUUUUUAUUUUGCACGGGUACCGUAGCGGUGCUUGUUUGACGAGUUUUUGUUGGUUUCAAGAUCCGUUGCCUACAGCCUUGUAAUGCGUACUCCAAUUCUUCUAUCCUCUUUUUCAUUUCUUCAAUAUUGCACAGACUUGUCUUUAAUUCCACUACAGAAUUACGACUUCUAUACGAAGCAAGUGAUCUCUCGAGUUCUGCUAUUCUAGCUUUUAAGUCCGCUUGAUAGUUUUGAGUUUCUGACACCUGCCGUUCUAAGGUCUCUUUCUGAACUUGAGCCUCCCGAGACUUUCUUUCCCACCGAUCGGCUUUGUCUCUUUCUUCCUGGAUCUCCUGUUGCCUCUGCUUCGAAGUCUUUCCCAACCUAGCAGUUCUCAUUGAUAGUCGUAGCUUUUUGUACUCUGUCUAUAAGCUAUCUAGAUCCUCCUCGACUUUAUUCUUCCUUUUUUUUAAUUUUUCAGCUUCUAACUUUUGGACGUCAACGUCUAGCCUCAAAUGCAUCUUUUCUUCUUCCAACUGCUCUAUUUUCUUUUCGAGUUCUAAAUUCCUAUUUAUAAAAUAUUGUUUUAUAAUCUCUAACUCUGAUGGGAUCACUUGUAGGUACUCUUCCAUUGGUCGAACACCCUCCGAGUUCAACUCCGGAAUGUUAUCAUUAAUUCUUUUACCUCGCCACUCACCAUACUCUGGAGUUGUCAUCGAACCCACAGCUAGCCUUUUCAUCCUAUGAACCUGAUUCCAAGCCUAAGAAAUUUCUUUCACCUUUUUCUUGUAAUUGUCUCAUCGAUAUGAGAACUCACAUUGAGCUAAACCAUACGUUGCUGGCACAAACUGUCUUGAACUGUAUUGCCUUAGGACCAGCAAAGGUGCAGACCCGAUGGCUCCCCAAAUCCCAAGCAACGGAACCCAGUCAAAGCUUCCACAACCGUAGAGAAUUCCAUCAGGAAUCAACCAAGGAGCUCUCCAUUCCACGUCAUCCUCUUGAAGAUUUUGCAGAAUUGCUAUCCAAUUUUCUUCUAAUAUGUCGUCCCUUCUUGGCGUAGCCACUAUCUCUUUUAAAGGGGAGUAAUGCCCAGAGAAAACCCGAUACGAAACUUUUUCGACCUUCCAGAAAUGACUAUGGAACCAAGCUAUCAACAAUUGCGCACAACCUAUAAAUUUUCCUUCACCAGCUCGCCUACACGCAUUCAAAGAUCUAAACGUUUCAGCCAAAAUCACAGGAACAGGCGUGACCCCUUUACCCAACCGAUCAAAGAGAUCUAAAACCGCUUCGUCAACAUGCCCCAAUGCUCUAGGGAAAAUCACUAACCCGUAGAUACUCAAAGCAAACACAUCGACCUUCUUUUUCCCAUCAGGAUGUGCUAGGAUCAAGUCUUGCAAAUUCGUCCAUGGGAUACAUUUACACUCGCCCUUCUGUUUGAUCCUGGCCGUGAUCCAUUUUUCGUUUAUUCCCGUAAUACUCAUUAAUUUCUUCCAAAACACUAGGACAUAUGCGGCUCUGAAAUAUGCUUUAUCAACCUGAAGCCUAGGGCAGUGCAGUAAAGUUGUAUAUUCCUCCACUUUGGAACCAAAUCUACGUUCCCAAAAGUAAAACAGCUAUAUGCAGGAUUCUAAUAUUGAGCGAGAGCGUGAAACAAUCGUUCAUCACCUUAAUGUUAAGUAAGUACGGCAAGUCCCCAUAAUUAGAGUAGAACAACUGCUUGGUUUCAUCAUUCCACCAAUCCCAAAUCUCAUUUAACUACUGAAGGCUAUUUUGCGUCACACUAAAACGAGUGUAGUCCCAAAAAUCUGACACAUAUCCCUUAGCUAAAUUGUCUCCUUUCUCCAAUUGCACCUUCUCUGACCAUAUACGGACAAUGGCAUUGUCUUCCACUUUAUCAAGAAAUUCUUUUUCCAUGACAAUUUUCUAAUUUAGUAACUGAACUUGAAUCGACACUCUUUGAGAUAUGCAGUGACAUGCAAAAAUAUCAACAAAACACAAACAAGUCAGUACAACACAAAACAAAAUUCAAAGCAAGUAUAAGAAAAUCAAGCACCUAUUUGGACAAUCGCUAGAGUUUGGAGUAGUUCUACCUGGGUUAGGUUCCUAAGUCCACUAUAUGGAGUUUGGUUCUAAAGUUAAGGUACCCGAACUAGCAGAUUCCUUAUCUUCACCCAUUAUAGGCUCAUGCAGACCGAGUUCGGUUCAGGGGAAUACAUUUCCCUAUCGCUGCACGGAGAUGAAAAUCUCACGAAGACAUAGGUACGGAUGUAUCCCGAAAGUGAUCCACUAUCCUGUACGGAGGUGAAAACCUCACGAAGGAGUAGCUUUUCACUCCCAUUUAGAGGGGUAAGACCAAAAUAGCCUUUAUGCAAUAUGAUGCGAAGAUUUUUACAAAACUCAACCUACAAUAAUCAUACAAAUCAAAUUCAAAGAAAGGAUCGAAAUUUUUCAAAUCAAAUUUUCAAUUUUCGACGAUAAGACAAUUAAUUUUACGGCUUGACUCUCUAAAUCGAUUCCCCAGUGGAGUCGCCAAGCUGUCGAAAUCUCUUUUAAAUUUAUUUGAAAAAACGGGGAUCGACUUUAAAAAAUGAAAAUUGGAGUCGCUACCGAUCUUUAAUGAGGUGUGAUCGGAUCACCUUGAAAAUGAUUUUAGGUCUACGAAUUUUGAGAAAACUGGUUCGGGAGUCAGUUACACACGAGGAAGGAUUAGCACCCUCGUGACGCCCAAAAUUGGUACCGAAUUGAUUGUUUAAUGUCUUAGUGUCGAAAUUUUGAAAAGAUUUUAAAAUACGAUCCUUUGAAGUUUAAAUUUGAAUAAACCAAAUUGAAUAAUGAGACGCACUCAUUUCGAGGAAAUAAAUUGCCACACUCUGUGAGUUAGGUGCAGCAAUUCAAUCGUCAAAAUUAAGUAUGUCUUUUAAUUUUUAAAUUUUAAAAUUCAUGUAUUUUGAGAAGGUUAUUUGGUCAUUUAAGUCAAACGAGAAUUCAAAAUCCAAUAAGUUAGGGUUCAAUUUCUCGAAAUUCCUAAACAUCAAACAUUGCCUUUAUUUUAAAAUCCUUAACUCAAAGUAACAAAAUGUCAUAUCCAGUGAGUUAGGAUCCAACAAUUGAAAUCUCGAAAAACUUUAUUUAGACAUCGUAUGGUUUUAUUGCAAAAGAAAUACUUGGCUAUCUAAAUUCAUCAAAAAAAAUUGAAGCCCAAUAAGUUAGGGCACAAUACUCUCGAGAAUCGGGAAUACCAAGUAUUUUGAGAAUUUACGGAAUAAAAUGAUUUUAGUGCUUUAAUGAAACACAUUUUUUAAACAAAUGUAAUAUGAUUGAAUGACAAUGUAUGAUGUAAAAGAUAAUCGCAUGAGCAAUAGAUAAAUGCAAACAAGGAUAGCAACAAUGAUUUAAAUCAUAUUAUAGAAAUAUCAACAUCAAUAUUAAAACUAGAUAAAUCUAUGAUCAAUUUUAAAAGAUACGCCAAGAUGAUAAAAAAUCAUAAAAACAAUAUGUCCUACGCAUAGAAAUUUUAAAAUAAAUUACAUACAUAAACUCAAAAUAGACUUGAAAUAAAAUAAUAAUAACAUUUAAAAUAGUAUUAAAAAAUAUUAGGUAAACAUUUAACAUAUCGAUAUACUAAAAUAAAUUUUAAGAUAUAACCUAAAACAAAACAUUAAAAUAUGUACAAACUAUAUCAGAUUAUUGUAAAAAUAUAUAUAUCAAUAAUAUCGUGUCAAGUUUGAAAAUAAAAAUAUAUAAUGGACCCUUUUUUAAAAAAAAUAAUGUAUGAUAAAUUUAAAACAUGUUAAUUUGGAAUAUUAAAAUAAUAUUAGAAAUAAAAACUAAAUUUGUCAAAAUAAGAACUAAUUUGAUUUAAAAUUAAACUAAUAAAAGUUUAGUUAAAAUUGAAACACAAUCAAAAGAAAAAUAAAACAAAAAUAAAAUAAACUAGAGGAACGAAAAUUAAAUUGAAAUUAAAACAAAACUAAAUAGGCAAUAAACAUAAAUAAGAAUAAAAGAAAGACUAAAUUCGAACUUGAUUUAAAAACUGAGGGACCACAACAGCAAAUAAACGCAUACUUCUGAAGAUUUUAAUCUUAUUGAUGGAAACGACGUCGUUUGCUUGCGGAUCAAAAUAGAAUUAGAAUAAAAUGUGCAGUAAGAUUUGAAUACCUUGAAGAGAAACUGAUUUGAAAUAGAAUACAAAGAAAAGGGACCUAAUGCGAAAUAAACCAUUUCUCAAGACGCGCGGAUCCUUCCCACGAAUUUGGUCACCGCUCGGGUAUGGCCAACACGUUGCCGUUUAGAAGUCAUGGAAGAAGACUUUAGACGGCGCCGUUUAAAUAAUCUGCAUAAAAUCUAAAAACCUAACUGAUAUUAAACAAUCAUCUAAAAUAAAACUAACAAAAACCUAAUCAAUUCUCUUUCUCUCUUGCGUCGCUCAGCCAACCAACGUUUGGAGGCCCCGAUUCCUCACUCGCCUCCGAUUGCGACGGAGGGAGCAAAAGAUCAACCACCAGGUACACUUUUUGCUUUCUAACCUUCCAUUAUUGUAUUGAAUAGGGAACAAAAGAGCAAAGAACAGAAAAGGAAGAAAGGAAAAGAAAAAAAAUCUAUUCACCUUUCAAUUUUUCUGAGUAUUUUUUCUUUUUGCAUUCAAUCUCUGUAAAAUGCGUUAAAAAAAAAAGAUCCAUUUUUACAAAUAUUGAUGGCUUUUAUAGCCAAAUUUUCAAAGAUGAAAAGAGAAUAAAAAUACAAUGUUUUUCCUUUCUCUGCUGCGCUGUUUUCGUCCCAUUUGCAGGUACGGAGGAGUGCAUAUGUACGGAGGAGCGGUGACCUGGAGAGGACGCGUGGUGGUAUGGCUCGGCUACGUACGGAGGCUGGUCAUGCGCGGAAGGCUUGGUACGUGACUAGCGGUGGCUGAGGCAAAUAGUGGUUUUAGGGUUUUGUUUUGAAAAUGUUUUAGGGCUACGUAUGUGGGUCAAUGGUUUGGGCCUUAUUGGGCCGAUUGGUUAUUGUAAAUGGACUGCUAUUGGACUGUUGUUAAUUGUAAAUGGGCUUUUAAUAUUUUUUUCUUUUAUGUUGGUUUUAUUUAUUUUUUAGUGGGCCUGGGUCAAAAUUGGGCAUUACAUGUGAGAUAGACAUAAAACUGUAGCGAACAAAAUAAAACCAUACCUUUGCUACUGGUUUUAAAUAUUUAUAAUGACAAGAAUGGCUUCUAUACUUUCUUAUAAUCCAUUGGGAUCCCGGAUUUGUCACAACAUUAAGCACUUGUUGAAAAAAAUCUCAUUUGAUAUUGUUCAUCAUAGGGUAGUACUCAUCUUCCUCAACAUCAGGUAAAUUAAACAAAACAUUGAUGGACUUAGAAGUAAGAGAUACCUUUUUCUUUCAAACGAUGACUUCAAUAGCAUCUUGUGUAGUCAAUCUAGUAUAGAAUUCUCAAACUAGUUCAUCAUCGGGAAGUGAACGAGCAUCAAAGAAUCGUUCCCACUUAGAGCAUUGAUUAUCUUUAUAAUUGGCACAGGGACAACCAUCACAUCAUUGCUCUUCAGGUUAAAACAUUUUUCCGGCAUCAUAUGUUGAUGCUUGAAAAUUGAAUCAAAUAGCUCUUUCACUUCUUCAUCGAUCAAAAUCUAGUUUUCAGAAGUAGUUUUUAACGAUCUAGUUCUUUUGCGAGGCAUGGUAUUUUCCCGAAAAUUUGGCAAAGUUUUUGCUUGCAGAGGUAAAAGAGGGUGGAUCUUGCUUCGACAAAGCUUACGAUGGUGAAGGUGUUGUGGCGGCGACAAAUACGUGCGGCAGCAAUAGUGGUAUGCGGUGGCAAUAAUGAUUGCAUGCGGCAGCGACGUCGAUGCUUCGGCAAUUCUCUUGUGGCGGCACUAGGUAGUUUCAGCCAAAGAAAAGAAAAAGGGCUAGAGAUUCCUUUUGGGAUCUGAGGCUAGUGGCACAAAAAGAGAGAUUUUAAGGAAUUUUAGGGUGUAAGUAAAUUACUUUGAGGGAUAUGAAAAUUUAGUAGAAUAAGGAGGGGUUUAUAUAGGAAAAUAUUAGGGCAACAUGUAGCAAAAAAAUUAGCUAAAUUAAAGUUACUUGGGCGGCAAGUAAUGGGUGUGACGGCAAGGGUUAAAUUUUCCCUCCUUUUUGCUAUCUUGGGCCUCAAACUCAGACUGUAUCUCACUAAAAAAUAAAUUAUUAGUACUUGGGCCAAAUUUUGACCCCCUUUAUUAACAUAAAAAUUUAAAAUUUAACAAAAUAAUUUAAACUAGAAAAACAUUUUAAAACCUAAUUAGAAGAUCUCUUCUUAACAAAUUACAUUAAAUUAAUUCUCAGGAAAGGUUGGAGGGGUCAGAGCGGUCCCACUUAAGUUUCAAUCUCCUUAGACAGAAUUAAUUAAAUGAACUUAAUUAAGAAAAAUAAAUUCUAAUUAUUUAUUUAUUUACAAGACGAGUUUAUGAAAAAUCAAGGGUCUGUUAAUUUGAACGAAAAUUCAACUCGCUCAACUUCACCAUCCUAGUAGUGUUUGAGACAUUGACCAUUAACUUUAAACGUACCUCCGUAAUUGUCGUAUAAUUCAAUAGCUCCAUAAGGAUAAACUCGGUGGAUGGUAUAAGGUCCUUUCCAUUGGGAUUCCAUCUUCCCAAGAAAUAACUUCAGCAUUGAAUUAAACAAUAACACCUUCUGACCUUCUUUAAACUCGCGAGGUUGUAUAUGACUAUCAUGCCAUCUUUUUUAUCUUUCUUUACACAUUUUGAAAUUCUAAUAGGAAAGAAACCUUAGCUCUUCCAACUCAUCAAGUUGAAACAUCCUUCUCUCACCGGCUUGCUUAAGAUCAAAAUUUAACUACUUCAAAGCCCAGUGAGCUUUAUUCUCCAAUUCUAAUGGAAAAUGACAUGCCUUUCCAAAAACUAACCGAUAAGGAGUCAUUCCUAAUGGAGUCUUGAAUGUUGUUUGAUAGGCCCAUAAUGCAUCAUCGAGCCUUCGAUACCAAUCUUUUCUGUUAGGGCAUACUACCUUUUCAAAGAUACCUUUGAUUUCACGGUUCACUCUUUCAACUUGUCCAUUAGACUGGGGGUGAUAAGCAGUAGCAAUCUUGUGCUUCACAUCAUAUUUGUCAAGCAACCACUUAAGCUAUUUGUUCACAAAGUGAGAACUUUCAUCACUAAUAAUAGCUCUUGGUAUCCCAAAUCGUGUAAACACAUGCUUAUGUAGGAAUUGCAUGACUACCUUAGCAUCAUUUGUAGGGUAUGCUUCAGCUUCAACCCACUUGGAUACAUAGUCCACAGCAACUAAGAUGUAUUUGUUCCCAUAUGAAGAAGGAAAUGGGCCUAAGAAGUCAAUGCCCCAUAUGUCGAACAAUUCAAUCUCUAAAAUGUUUGUCAAGGGCAUCUCAUUCAUCCUUGAUAUAUUUUCGGUUCCUUGGCACUUAUCACAGUUCUUCACAUAAGCGUAAGCAUCUUUAAAUAGUGUAGGUCAAAAGAAACCUGCUUGCAAAAUCUUUGCUGCAGUACGUGAACUACCAAAGUGUCCCUCACUUGGAGAUGAAUGGCAAUGAUAUAAGAUCUCAGCAAUCUCACUUUCAGCUACACACUUUCGGAUUAUAUUAUCUGCACACUGUUUAAAUAAAAACAGAUCCUCCCAAAAAUAAUACCGACUAUCAUGAAGGAAUUUCUUCUUUUAUUGGUAUGUCAUUUCUCGAGGAAUUAUUCCACAUGCAAGAUAAUUGGAAAAAUCAGCAAACCAGGGUAUUUCAUGAAUUCGAGUUACCUCAAAUAAGUGCUCAUCUGGGAAAUUCUCGUUGAUAGGCAUACCAGACUGGGUUACCUUAUCUUGCUCCAACCUCGACAGAUGAUCAGCUACUUGAUUUUUGAUACCUUUUCUAUCUUGGAUCUCAAGGUCAAAUUCUUGGAGUAAAAGUAUACAACGAAUUAGCCUUGGUUUUGCAUAUUUCUUCGUGAGCAAGUAUUUAAUGGUUGCAUGGUCAGUAAAUACUGUAACUUUGGUACCAAUAAGAUAUGAACAGAAUUUGUCAAAAGUAAAAACUAUAGCAAAUAGUUCCUUUUUAAUUACCGUAUAAUUGAGUUGGGCUCCCGUCAAGGUUCUACUUACAUAGUAAAUGGGGUGGAAUACUUUAUUUCUUCUUUGACCCAUCACAACUCCAAUAGCAUAAUCACUUGCAUUGCACAUCAACUCAAAAGAUGAGUUCCAAUUAAGUGUAACGAUUAUUGGGGUUGUAAUUAACCGAUUCUUUAGAUCUUCAAAAGCUUCCAAACAUGCUUUGUUGAAAUUGAACAUUGUAUCUUUCUCUAACAACAAACAAAGCGGCUUAAAAAUUUUCGAGAAAUCCUUGAUAAACCUUCGAUAAAAACUGGCAUGGCCUAAGAAACUUAUGACUCCUUUCACAUUAAUAGGGGCCGGUAAUCUUUCAAUUACGUCCACCUUUGCUUUGUCAACUUAAAUUUCUUUCUUGAGAACUUGUGACCUAAGACAAUUCCUUCAUUGACCAUAAAAUGGCAUUUUUCCCAAUUAAGGACAAGAUUCGUCUCUUCGCAUCUCUUUAGUACCUUAGCCAAAUUACUCAAACAGAUAUCAUAAGUGUUACCAAAAACAAAAAAAUCAUCCAUGAAAACCUCGACGAAAUUUUUGACCAUAUCAGUAAAUAUUACCAUCAUGCAUCGUUGAAAAGUUGCAGGUGCAUUGCAUAAACCAAAAGGCAUGCACCUAAAAGCAAACGCACCAUACGGACAAGUAAAGGUUAUUUUAUGUUGGUCCUCCGGGGCUACAACUAUUUGGUUAUAUCCCUAAUAGUCAUCUAAAAAAAUAAUAGAAUUCAUUACCUGUCAGUCGAUCUAACAUCUGAUCCAUAAAAGGCAACGAAACUAUGCAGAUAACAGAUUUUGGUUAGGAUUGUUAUGCAACCUGCAAUUUAAUCAGGUUAGGAUCUAAAUUGAGCAUGCACAUUUCAAUUAUGCGUCCAUUAGCCGUCGUCUGGUUAGGAUCGCUCAGCUAAUUCACGUGCAUUUCAAUCUAAAAACUAUAUAGAUAACAGGUGCAUUAGCCGUCCCUUGAGCUUUUGUCACACUUCUUCUCUGCACUCAAUGAAACAAAACACAACAUAAAAAUAUAAGCACCAUUUCUUUUAUUACUUUUUCUACUAAAAUGAGUUUUUUUUUCUCGUAAAAAACCUAGGAUGGGGAGAGGGUUUUAAAAUUCAAAGCCUUUGAAAUAUAUGAGUUUGAGGUUGUUAAUAUUAUUUUAUAUUGUUGAAUAGUAAAUUAAUUGUAUUGGUGGUUUAACCUAUUGGAUCGAGAAUUAAUGAUUUGAUUGAUUUGAGUUUGGGCUGCUCACUAUCUUGACUGCAUUUAUCAUUUAAUUCUUUUUUUAAUUAGCCAAACUCAUGUUAACAAUGGUAUAACAGUAAUUAAUGACUUCAUGGACAGAACAUCAAUAUAUAAAUACACAAACAAAUAUAAUGGGAAUUGGAGAACUCCCAUUUAUACAAACAAAUAUAAGUGGGCAAAUUCAAUACUCAUAAUAAAUACACAAAGAUAACUAAAAACAUUAUUAAACCAGAUCCAGUAUGCAGCAUACAAGAAAAAGGGGGUAUUUCAAGGAGUAGAACGAGAAGGUGGUGGAGAAAAGGAAGGAAUAGAGGGAACUGCAGUUGGGAUUGAGGGAAUGCUUGGCAGAGGCGGCAGUCCUCUUGGCAAUGUGGUAGGAAGUGGAGGAAGCGCCCCAGGGUUUGUGAGAUUAGGGAUAGAUGGCAAUGGCGGAAAAGAGAAAGGAAUAGGGGGAAUUGCAGUUGGGAUUGUGGGGACUGAGGGAAUGCUUGGCAGAGGGGGCAGUCCUGUUGGGAAUGUGGUAGGAAGUGGAGGAAGCGCCCCAGGCCAUGAGAAUGAUGGUCGGGAUGGCGUUGGGAGAUUAGGGAAAGAUGGUAAACUUUGCGUUCGAGGCUGCUGCAGAAGGUGACGAGCUGCUACCCCAACAUCAAUGCUUGCAAAUGACAAAGCAAUCAAGAAUGCUAAAGCAAAGCAAUUGAAAGAGGCCAUUUUUGUUCAAAGAUUU